rnacentral:lncRNA from 1 species
AAAAAAAGAAAUAAAAACAAAAAAAAAGAAAUAAAAACAAAAAAAACAAAAAACAAAAAAGGAGAAAAAUAUAUUGAGUCUUCUUCUUCCCUUCGUCCUUCGGAAGAGACGACCCAAUCUCCAGUCCUCCUUCGGAAUCAUUCGACUUGCACAACGAAAUCGAAUACUUCUCUCCAUCAAUCGACACGACUUCAAGCUUUCUCGCCCUUCCCAAUCCGAAAUCCGCAUCGCACAAGUCGAACUUCGGCGAACUGUCCUCAUCCCUACAAAUUUCUCACUAUCGGACAUCCAAUUCUCGACACCUUUCAAAACCUCGUCUUUGUUAUUCACCCUGUUUUUAAUAUCCAAAGCUAUAGCCUCCGCAGCAAUUACAAACCCUUCUUCCCCGACAAGUGUUUUGUGCUUGAUUUUCGCUAUUCCGCCACCCAAGCAAUUGCCGAAGUAAUUCAGUGGCAUCGGCGGAUUAGUUCUCCCUCUAACAUCGACCGUCAAAUUUUCCUCUUAAAUUCGACACCUACCUGUUAUGUCGAAAUUUUUGAAAAGAAUCGACACUUGUGUAUCGAAUUAAAAAUCGACAUUUGUGAGCGGCGAUGGAGGACGUUUUUUCGACGGCAAUAGAGGACAUCUUAGACGGCGGCGAUGGAGGACUUAUUUUCCGGCGGCGAGGCAAGUUUUGUCGGUGUGUGGGCGAGUUCUCGGCGGCAGGCAAGAUCCCGGUGAGGCUUUGAAGCUUGAAGUCAAUCUCGAAUGUGUCGUCUGAUUGUGGUCUUGCGUGAGAGGAAUUGGAUUUUAUUUAUAUAUUUAUAACCUCUCAUUAAAUAAAAUACUUACAAUUACCCCCUAAGGAUAAUUUCGUGUACAAGGGCAAAAUUGCUAUUAUCGGAGGAAUAUUCGGGAGAAUAAAAAAGAUUCUAUCGAGUUUAACACCGUUAGAGCGAUUUAUAAGAUGUCUGCAUACCUCAGGGGGCUUUUCGUAAUUACGAGAACGUGGGGGGAUUUUCGUUAUUCAGACUUACCUCAGGGGGGUUUUGGUAAUUUGCCCAUAUAUAAAUGCACCAUCCGCGAUGAGGGACUAAGACUCAAUCUUCUUGGAUUAAUGUAUCAAACUGCACAUGGAAAAUGUCAAUCGAGUAAACAUAUUACAUAAUUGACCUUGGGAGAGAGAGAAAGAGAGAUAAGCAUACGCUGGAUGUUAGAUAUUUUUUAAAAGGAUAAAUUCCACUUUCCCCCCUUUACUAUGGCUCGAUAUCACUUUGCCCCCUUCUACUCUCAAUUACAUUGAUUUGACCCCCUGUACUUGAAAAGUUGUCUCAAUGUAGCCCUUGCCGUUAGUCUUUAGACAUUUGACUUUAACACCGUUUGAUCUAAGUCUGAAAAUUACAAAAAACCUUACCUCCCAGUUUAAAUAAUAAUUUUUUUUUUUAAAUUUAAUUUUUUUUUUUUAAGUAAAAAUAAAUUGUGGUUGCCGUCGUGGACUAUACUUUCCGUCAAUUUAUUCGUCAGUUAAGUAAUGACGGGCACACGCUUGAUUCCGUUAGUACUAACUAUAAAUUAACAGAAAAGACUAAAAGUGUUGAAUUUUUGAAAUAUGAUGGAUCAAACGUGUAAUCAAUGCAAAGUUAAGAAAUGAAAUUGUAUUUUUCCCAAUAUAAGAAUGAAGCACUUGCUGAACCAAUUAAUCUUUAUCAUUGUCCGAAACAUAAUGCUUAACUUGCAGUGAGGCAAAUGAUUUCAUCAACAGCUUAAUCAUCUCGAGAACUGGUCUGUAUGCAUGUAUAUAAUUAACCGCGCAUUCAAGAAAUGGACUUUGACUAAAUCUCCUUGGAUAGCAACAGUAUAUAAUAAAGAAAAUAAUACAUUAUUACAACCUGUACGUACUUAAUUAACACAAAUUAGUUAAUGGCCAACUUGGAUUAAUUAAUAAAAAAAAUAAUUCAUAUGGUUGACUUUUUUGCACAUCGUAUCCAGAGCAAUAACUUCACAAUCAAAUGCCUAUGAAGAAGACUUGUUUUGUUCCAGACUGAAAAUUGUGUGUGUGUGUGUGUGUGAGAGAGUGAUAAGGAACGCCAAAUUGGAUUCGAAUUGGAAAAUAACUAUUUAAUUCGUAGAAGAGUUAUUGAUGGGCAUCGGUGGAGAUACCGAAAGAAAUUACGGAAAAAUAAGGGUUUUCAACGAACUCAAAUUGUACUUGAGUACGAAACGAACUCUAUCUCAAGUAAAACGGCGCAAGGAACAAAACUCAUGAGCAAUGCUCAUGAAUCACGUCAAAUUUCUGCAAUCCAACGUCGUUUGGACUCCUAAAACUUCGUUUUUGCUAUUUUAGGCAAGUUUUAGAAAAUUAAUAUCAAAUCAUAGAAAAAUCGGAUUAGGAUUCCGUAAAUUGGGUUGUUCCCAAAAUUACGAGAUCUACUAGAAUCAAACUCUAACUCGUUUUUGCCUUUUUUGGUAAUUUUUAGUAUUUUCUUAGUUUAAUUAGGGUUUUCAGUUUUUUAGUAUAAAUAGCUGCCUUAGGUCUUUAUUUUAAGGAGAUUUUUCGAAUUUUAAUAAAAUAUUUAGAGUUUUCUCUAUUUUUCUGGUGGAUUCCAGAGUUUUCGGUGGAUUCCGAAUGUUAUUUUGUUCUAUAGGAUUAAUUCGUAGAAAUUAAUUCUUUACCGUGCUUCCGUUCUGCGUCAGUUGGCAUCAGUAGCGAGGUUUUUCCUGGUUAGAUGGCGAAAGGUGCGAGAUAUGGAGACAACAACUACGUUGGCGAUGACCGCGGGGUUGAGAAACUGCAAAAUCUGCGGUUGGUGCGCGAGGGAUUUGCCCUUGACAACAACAACAGAAGAACUGGAUCUAGCAUGGGUAUUGCCGACGGUGUAGCCCGAGGUGCAUAUGUUAGACACAAUUAUCAUGGAUCUGUUCAACUUCAAUCAAGGUAUGACGAUUAUUCAAAGGUGAGCGACAACUCUGAUUUUGAAGAAAAUCCGCCUAUAAAGAGGCAAAAGGAUCGUGAUAAAUAUCGGGUAAGAGCUGAAAUUCCUUCUUUUAGUGGAAAUUUUCUUGAAGUUGAGGAUUUUAUCGAUUGGGUGUCAGAAGUUGAAAAUUAUUUUGAAUUGAUGGGUAUUUUGCCGAAUAAGAUGGUAAAAUUGGUUAGGUGUGAGUUAAAGGGUUGUGCAGCCGCAUGGUGGGAUGAAAUACAGAGGAAGAGAGCUAGACAAGAAAAAUUUCCAAUCCAAUCAUGGAGGAGGAUGAGAAAAAUGUUGAUGGAUCGUUUUUUACCCCUAGAUUAUGAGCAACGUCUAUUUCAACUAUAUAGUAAUUGUUCGCAAGGGAGUAGAUCUGUUAACAAGUAUACUGCUGAGUUUAUGAGACUAGCAGACUUAAAUAACCUGCAAGAAUCCGAAAGUAUGGAAAUUUCAAGGUACUUGCAAGGAUUGAAUAUUUCAAUCCGUCUUAGGAUGGGGUGGCGCGCAUUCGACUCCCUUGAAGAGGCUGAAGAGUUAGCAUGGAGCGAGGAAUAUUAUCAGAAGCGAAAUAGUUCUUCUAGAAAAAUCAAAGAUGUUCUACCCAUUGCCAAAGUUAAGGAGGUACAAGAUACUUCGUUCGUUAUUCAAGCAUCCGGUUUGGUGGAGGAUCAUGGCGUACGAGUUAACAAAGUUGAAGAAGAAAUUGUUGAUGCAAAAGUUAAAAUUAGCGUAGAUAUGAUUAACGAUGACAUUAACAAAAUCAAGGUGAAAGUCAAUGAAGUUGAAGGGGGAGUCAACGAGGUUGAAGAGAGCAUCAACAAAGUCGAAGAUAUCAUCAACGAGGUAGAAGAGAACGUUAGCAAGGUUGAAGAGGGAGUCGGUGAGUUUCGAGAGGGUGUUAAAAAUAAAUUUGAGGAAGAAUUUGAAGUUGUAAAAUUUGUUCAAGAAGAGGAAGGUGCACGUGAAGAGAAGGAACAAGUGGAUUGCGUUGAGGUAUGUGAUCUAAUUGUAGAUAAUGUUUGCUGUGAAGUUCCUGCAUCGGGGAAAUUGGUGGAGCCAUUGAGAUUUUCGAUUAAGAAGCCAAUUUUUCCAACGCCUCGUUUGGAUGAAGAUUUUGAAAGCGAGAUUUUUGUGCCGGGAAUAUUGGUGGAGCACUUGAAGUUGUUUCGAAAGAAAUAUGCAUCGCUAUAUUUUGAUCAUAGCUCGAGGUCGAGCUCUUUUGAAGAAGAGGAGAUUGAUAAGGAACGCCAAAUUGGAUUCGAAUUGGAAAAUAACUAUUUAAUUCGUAGAAGAGUUAUUGAUGGGCAUCGGUGGAGAUACCGAAAGAAAUUACGGAAAAAUAAGGGUUUUCAACGAACUCAAAUUGUACUUGAGUACGAAACGAACUCUAUCUCAAGUAAAACGGCGCAAGGAACAAAACUCAUGAGCAAAGCUCAUGAAUCACGUCAAAUUUCUGCAAUCCAACGUCGUUUGGACUCCUAAAACUUCGUUUUUGCUAUUUUAGGCAAGUUUUAGAAAAUUAAUAUCAAAUCAUAGAAAAAUCGGAUUAGGAUUCCGUAAAUUGGGUUGUUCCCAAAAUUACGAGAUCUACUAGAAUCAAACUCUAACUCGUUUUUGCCUUUUUUGGUAAUUUUUAGUAUUUUCUUAGUUUAAUUAGGGUUUUCAGUUUUUUAGUAUAAAUAGCUGCCUUAGGUCUUUAUUUUAAGGAGAUUUUUCGAAUUUUAAUAAAAUAUUUAGAGUUUUCUCUAUUUUUCUGGUGGAUUCCAGAGUUUUCGGUGGAUUCCGAAUGUUAUUUUGUUCUAUAGGAUUAAUUCGUAGAAAUUAAUUCUUUACCGUGCUUCCGUUCUGCGUCAGAGAGAGAGAGAGAGAGAGAGAGAGAGAGAGAGAGAGAGAGAGAGAGAGAGAGAGAGAGAGAGAGAGAGAGAGAGAGAGAUGAUCGUCUCGCUCAAUGGGAUGGCGGGCAUUGGUAAGACUACUCUUGCCAAGAAACUCUUUCAAGAUCCAUUCAUUGUGAGUUGUUAUAGCAAGCUCGUGUUCGUGACCAUAGGCCCUAAAUAUCGACUAGCAGAUAUCUUGGUGGAUAUUCUAACACAAGUGAAUCCCGACAUUGAUGAAAUAAUGCUUAUGAAAGGAGAAAAAGGAUUAGCUGGAUUGAAAAGAAUGGUUCAAGAAAGUUUAAAGUAUUUGAGAUACUUGAUCGUGUUGGAUGAUGUAUGGGAAAUAGACCUCUGUUUUGUGUUGUUGGAGUUAUUUCCAGACGACAAAAAUAGAAGUCGAGUGUUGGUCACAACUAGGAUGCAAGAAGUAGCUGAUUGUGCUAAGCCUUUGAAUAUUUGCAAUAUACCCUUCCUUGAUAAGAAAGAAAGUUGGGAUCUUCUUCGCGAGAAGGUGUUUGGUGAAGAAGAACCGUGCUCUUAUAGACUUGAGAAAGCUGGAAAGAAGAUUGCCGAGAAUUGUGAAGGUCUUCCUCUUACAAUCAUCACGGUUGCCAAUAUCCUGUCAAAAGUUGACAAGACAAUAGAGUACUGGAACGAGGUAGCGGAUGAUAAACGAAAUUCAGUAUACAAGGAUGCAUAUGAACAAAUGUCAAAGGUACUAUAUCCAAGCUAUGACUACUUAGAUCAACAUUUAAAAGCAUGUUUUCUCUACAUUGGAGCUUUCCCACAAAUUUUUUUACUAGACGUGUCCCAACUAGCCAACUUGUCGAGUGCUGAAGGAUUUCUUAACUCAGAAUCAGUGCAUUACUAUGAGGAGACCAUGGAUUAUGCAUAUGAUAGCUAUGGAUAUUUUGAUGACCUUUAUGCCACAAAUGUUAUCAUGUUCGACAAUGAAACAUUUGAUUUUUACCUUCAUUCGUCCUUUUGGUACUUGUGUAACAAAGAAGCUGCCAGGACCAAGUUUUUCUAUGCCUUAAAUUGCCAUGGCGAUACUCUACCGGAAGAAGGUAUAGAAAGCCAGCGCCGAUUGUGCAUCCGUAAUAAUGUUCUACUUGCCAUCAAAGAUGUGCACAACUCAAUUGCAUCUGAUUCAAAGGUACGAUCUCUUCUUUGUACAGAUUAUUUUCAUAAAUAUCCAGUACCGCUGUUUUUGGAACAUUUGAGGUUGCUGAGGGUAUUGGAUGCUCGUUCUAUUAGAUUCUAUGAGUUCCCGAUGGAAGUAUUGAAACUAGUUCAAUUAAGAUACCUCGCCCUCCUUUAUAAUGGAAACCUCCCUUCUUCCAUUUCCAAACUCUGGAACCUUCAAAACUUGAUUGUUGUUCGACAUCUAAGGAUAGUAAAAUCUGUUGGGAAUCUAUUGUAUCUGCCUAUUGAGAUAUGGAAUAUGAAUGAAUUGAAGUAUCUUUACACAUGCGGAAGAGACCUACCACAUCCUUGUUGUGAAGGAUCUCUCCUACCAAACCUAUUAAAACUAAGUGGUGUCGGUCCUCAAAGUUGUGCCAAAUCUGUGCUCGAAAAAAUCCCUAAAUUGAAGGCGUUAUCGAUUGAUAUCGAGCUGGCUCCUGAUGCUACAGAGCCCUUGACAUGCUUUGAUCACAUUUCCCAUCUCCAUCAACUACAAGAACUAGGAUGUUACAUUAUGAAUCCUACAUUGAAGACAGAGGUUGUUACCCCACUUGCUCCUCUUUCAGACUUCCCAUCAAGUCUUACAAAGUUAACUUUGAACGGCUUAGGAUAUCAGUGGGAAGAAAUGAGAAAGAUUUCUUCAUUGCCAAAUCUUACUCGUCUCUACCUGGAAUGCUAUGCCUUUCGAGGCCCAAAAUGGGAGGUUCGUGACAACGAAUUCCAAAGUCUCUUACAUCUUGAGUUUGAAGACAUCGAUCUGGAGCAAUGGACAUUUGAAAAUUGUCUAUGCCUCCCUGUGAUUGAGAGCCUUCGCAUCGCACAUUGCUACAAGUUAAAAGAGAUCCCUCUCACAUUUGGUAAAUCUCUUGUACGCAUUCAAGUAGUCGAAUGCAACCCUAUGGCUGUGAAAUGUGCAAUCAAGUUAAAAGAGGAGUGGGACGACAAAUAUGCUAAUCGUGAACGUUUGUUACAACUUGAUGUUCGUUCUUCACUGUAACAAUGGGAACACCAAGCCGUGAGUGACUCUACCAUAUCAUUGAUUCUUCAAAAGGUUAGUCGUUAAAUUUUUAUAUCUAUCGAUCGAAAAUACUAAUAUUUUAGUCAAUGCCCAUUCAGGUAAAAGGAAUUGAACAACCUUCAAUUUUUAGCAUUAGAUUUGAAUUAAUAUAUAUAUAUAUAUAUAUAUAUAUAUAUAUAUAUAUAUAUAUAUAUAUAUAUAUAUAUAUAUAUAUAUAUAUUUUUUUUAUUAUUAUAAUUUCAUCAUACAGUGAAUAUUACCAAAGAAUAGAUAUACUCAGUAUAUAUGCAUACAUUCUCCUACAAAACAAUAGAAAUAGACAAUAUAGAUAUAUGGUUGAUAACACAUAUAUAUAAUAGGAUCAUAUAAGUUGCGUUUGGAUGAAACAGUUUGAAUUUGCUACAACAGAGAUAGAUUUUACUAUAGGGUAAAUUACGAAAACUCCCUGAACUUAGGCUAAAUAACAAAAAAAACCCCACAUAUUCGUAAUUACCAAAAAUCACUGAGGUUUGUUUCCAUCUUACACCAACCUUUUACAGUGUCAGUUUUCACGGAUUUUUUUUAUUCCAAGAAAUAGACUUUACACAAUUUCAGAUAUUUUCUUUUAUUUCUCACCUAUUUAAUGGAAGGUAUUUAAAACUCUAUUAACACUUAAUCAGAUGGGGAUUUCGGUUAUUACGGAUAAGUGGGGGUGUUUUUCGUUAUUCAGUCUAAGUUUAGGGAGAUUUUCGUAAUUUACCCUUUAUUAUAUUACAAAUUAAUUUAUUUGAUUACUGAUCAAUGAAUUUGCUAUUAUGGAUUAAAAAAAAAUUAACAUCCGAAAUCAUUGAACAUUCUCCUUUAUUACAGGUGUAUCGUCUCGAGAGCCGUAGGCUGAUUGAUCGCGAGAGAAAUUACAUCGACAUUGUUUGCAUCAGGAAUCGGAGGAACGUACUUUCAGUUUUGAGACGGACAAAUCAAAGCGUGUUUAAAUAUUUUGUUAAUGUUAUUUGGUGUGUUUAAUUUUUCUUGAUUUAAUUUUUAUAACAUCCUCAUCAGUUAUAUGUUGUGAGGUUAAAAUUAAGACUAUUGCGCAAUUAAGAAAGUGCACGUGUGUCGCACAUAUUGUCGAAUGUACGAGUUUUACCUGUCUCUGCCGGAAACAGGUAAAGCAAAGAUAGUUACAUACAUACGAUAACCGAAGUAUAAAGAACAUAUAUGCAACAGUAAGCCAUAUUUUCUAUCGGAAAAAAGCCAUGUUGAGUCUCUCGAUUUCAUAUUUUAAAGAACUUAAAAAAAUCCCUAUGUUUCAUUACUUGAAGUUAGGUGUAAAAUUCUCCACUUUGACAGUUUUCGCGAAGCAAAAUCUCACCUUAGAAUACACAUAGCAAAUGAAGAGAAAAUCGAGGAACGUUAUAAGCAUAUGCAGCCUCGAAACUCAAUAUUAAACAUCAAAUAAAACGAGCAAUGGGGGGUGUGUUUUGCGUAUUUAUGAAAUUCUACCUUUACGUGAAUGGGGGUAUCUUUCUUUGUUAUGUGCGGUGCACAUGCUAUUCUCCGUCCCUACUAACCGGACAAACGGACGGAGGGACAAAAACAACAUAAAAGUAGCAUGUUUAGGGACGUAAAUUGUAACUUCAUCUUGUUUAUGGACGAAAAUCGAAUAAGUGGUAUAGUAUAUGAACGAAAAGUGUAAUUAUCCCCAGAGAUGUUUUUGAAAGAAUCCCUAGGUUAGAGGUUUUAGCAAUCUAAAUAGAAAUUGCUCCCGACAAUUUUCAACCCUUGAGAUGCUUUUUGUCAUAUUUUUCAUCUCCAUAAACCAAUGCCUCGUUUGUUUGAAAAGAUAAGAUUAGCCAGGAUAAAAUUAAAUAUUCUAAUAAAACCCAAUUGUAUUAUUGGAUAUUGGAAGAUCCAAUAAAAAACAUGCCUAAAAGGCGAGAUAAUGCAUAAUAACAUAAUUUAUGCGGGUCGACCCGGUAAGUUAUUGGGAUAUCAGACAUCAAACAAAGUCCCAUUAUUUAGUUAAGUGUAAAUUACAGCCACCCCCUGAGGUACGGUUAAAUUACGAAAAAACCCCUCUUGUUUGGGUAAUUACAACCACCCAUCAACUAUGAAUUUUUGUACAUGUCCAUCUCUGUGGUGUCAAAUUUAGUGGAAUCUUCUAAAUUAUGUAAUAUUCUCCUGUUUGUAUCUUUUUUAAUAUAUUCGAGUUCCACAUUUUGAAACAAGAUGAUCAUAAGAUGUGUUUCUUGACAUGUAAAUAUCAUAUUGUGGUGCAUCAAAAACUGCAUUUUACAAACUAGAAGAUUUUGUUGAAUUUGACACCAUAAGGAUGAAUGUGCAAGAAGAUUCAUACUUGAUGGGGGUGGUUAUAAUUACCCAAACAAGAGGGAGUUUUUCAUAAUAUAACCAUACUUCAGAGUAUUAGAGUAUAUUAUAUUAUUAGAUAUUAUAGGAUAUUAGAAUUCUAGUAUGAUUCGGUUACCUAGAUUAGUUAGGAUUUAUUUACCUAGUCAAACUCUAUUACCUUGCAAUAUUUCUCUAUAUAUAUUCCAUGUAAUCAACCCAUAACACAAUGGGGGUUUCUAUUCUAUCACGUAUUCUAUUCCUAUAUGGUAUCAGAGCACCAGGUUUUUUAACCUAGCCUAGCCGCCUUCUUCUCCAUGGCGGUGACCACCCAAUUUUCUCUUUCCCCCGGUGGUGGUACUCUAAUAUCUUUCUUUUUCUAUCUUUUCCAUGAACACCACCCAAUUUUCUCCCUCCCCGGUGGUUCAUCUUCUAUCUGCUUCUUCUUUUUCUUCUUCGUAUAUGGUCUAAGACCUAGCCGCCGCUUCUCUUCUUCUCCAUGGCCGGCGAACAACACCCAAUCUUCUCCCCCCUCUCUCAUCUCUUCUAUCUAUCUCGAUAAAAAAAAAAAAAAAAAAAAAAAAAAAAAAAAAAAAAAAAAAAGAAGAAGAAGAAAGGUUGCUUAUUUUUCUAUCACCCGUUAUUAUUAUUAUUAUUAUUUUUUAAAUUUGGCAGAUAUUUCAACAGAGGAAGUCUCUAGUGUUGUGUUUCGCGACUUAUUUUCCAGUCUUCACUUUUGGAGUAUAUUUGUUCCGACUGCGGGAGCGUGUUAGCAAGUGAUUUUCCAGUCUUCACGUUCGUCAAGUUUCGACUGCGGGGGCGUAUUAGAGUAUAUUAUUAGAUAUUAUAGGAUAUUAGAAUUCUAGUAUGAUUCGGUUACCUAGAUUAGUUAGGAUUUAGUUACCUAGUCAAACUUUAUUACCUUGCAAUAUUUCUCUAUAUAUAUUCCAUGUAAUCAACCCAUAACACAAUGGGGGUUUCUAUUCUAUCACGUAUUCUAUUCUUCCUAUACAGAGGUGGUUGUAAUUUACCCUUUAGUUAAUCAUGGCUAUCUCUCGAACCAAACAAGUCCUAAAAGUACUAGAAUGUGUCACUGUGAAUCCCAUAUUGAAGACAGAAGUUGUAGAAAAUCUACGGCAAAUUGCUUUCUUCAAAAGGUUAGUCAUUCAAUUUCUCGCAAAAGCUCACAUUGCAAAUUAAAGAGUAUGUCAAAAUCGAAAAGAAAAACGAGAACGACGGUAUAAGCAUAUGCAGUCUCGGGCCUCUUACACGAGUUGGGAUUGUCCCUCCCAGGUCGACCGACGACCCAUCGGCUGAUUAUAUUAGUUGUUUACUCUAUGUAGUUUGAUUUUCUAUUUUUUUUUUAAGCUGUCUAGCUUAUACAUAAUAAAGAAUAAUACAGUACAACCUGUAAGACAAGUUAAUUAGUGGCCAUCUUGGAUUAAAUAUCAUUAUGGUUGGUUGACUCUUUUGUCACAUCUUUGCAGAGCAAUAAUUUCACAAACAAUGCCUAUGAAGAAGACUUAUUCCAGACUGAAAACUAUGUGAUAUCUUAGAGAGAGAGAGAUGGCUUAUGGAGCUGUUGGUUGUCUUGAGCUGACAACUGAGCGCCUUUUGAAAUCAUCACAUAUUUCGAUUGUUCAAAAUUCAUCCCCACAAAUAAUUAACCUUCUGUACGAUGAGAUUCUUUCCUUAAAAGAAGCUCUCAGAGAAUUCAAUACAAGGAGGAGCACCAUCAACAUGAAGAUGGUCAAAACUUUGGAGGCACAAAUCAUAGAUGUUGUAUACGAAUUCGAAGAUGUAUUUGACUCCCAUCUCGCAAAUCAGUUAUAUUCACAAUCUGAAGAAGAGACCGGUGAUCCUCCAUUAAUGUUAUUCUCAGUAGAUCUUCAAGAAAUAAAGCAAGAUGUCGAUUCCUUUGUCGAAAGGAUGAACAAGAUGAAGAAGGCCUACAUUCAUGAGUUAUGCAACCCCUCGCCAGAAGAAGAUGAUUGUGUGGGCCCGUCAUCAAGGAUUGAUUUUGGUGGAAAUGAUGAUUAUAACAUGGUUGGAUUAUCUGAUAUAUUUACUGAAAUCAAAGAUCUGUCUCGUUGGUCGGGAUGGCGGGCAUUGGUAAGACCACUCUUGCCAAGAAACUCUUUCAAGAUCCAUUCAUUGUAAGUUGUUACACCAGACAUGUAUUCGUAAGUCGUAACCAUAGGCCCUAAAUAUCGACUAGCGGACAUCUUGGUGGAUAUUCUGACACAAUUGAAUAAUCUUGACAUUGAUGAAGUAAUAUUGCUUAUGAAAGGGGCAGAAUUAUUAGUCGAGUUGAAACGAAUGGUGUUCAAAAGUUUAAGGUUUUUGAGAUACUUGAUUGUGCCGGAUGAUUUAUGGGACGUUGAGCUCUAUUUUGACUUGACGGAAUUCUUUCCAGACGACAAUAACGGAAGUCGAGUGCUACUGACGACUAGGACAGAAGAAGUAGGUUAUUGUGCUAGUAUGUGGAGGGAUUACAAUUUACGCUUCUUGGAUAAGAAAGAAAGUUGGGAACUUCUUCGUCACAAGGUGUUUGGUGAAGAAGAACCGUGCUCUUAUGAACUUGAGAAAGCUGGAAAGAAGAUUGCCGAGAAUUGUGAAGGACUUCCUCUUACAAUCAUCACGAUUGCCAAUAUCCUGUCAAAAGCUGACAAGACAAUAGAGUACUGGAACGAGGUAGCGGAUGAUAAACGAAAUUCAGUAUACAAGGAUGCAUAUGAACAAAUGUCAAAGGUACUAUAUCCAAGCUAUGACUACUUAGAACAACAUUUAAAAGCAUUCUUUCUCUACCUUGGAGCUUUCCCAAAAAAUUAUUCGGUGUAUGGAUACCAAAUGGUCAACUUGUGUGGUGCUGAAGGAUUUCUUAACCCAGACCCAAUCGCGACUUUCGAAAAUAAUAGCUAUGGAUACUUGAAUGAGCUUUGUUUUAAAAAUGUUAUCAUGAGCGCCAAAGAAGAACGCGGUUUUCACCUUCAUUCGUCAUUUUGGUACCUGUGUAACAAAGAAGCUCCCAAGAACAAUUUUUACUAUGCCUUGAAUUUUUGUGCUGAUGCUUUACAAGAAGAAGGUAUAAAAUACCAGCGGCGAUUGUGCAUUCGCAAUAGUUUUUCACCCCUUAAGUUUGCACUAAUUCCAUAUUUGGUCCUCCAUGUUCACAAAAAACACAUUUGAUCCUUCAUAUUUCAAUAAUUUAAUAUUUUUGGUCAUUUUCGUCAGUUUACCGUUAGUUCAUCAGUUAAGUUAAUGACGGGCACAUGCUUGAUUCCGUUAAUACUAACAAAAAAAUUGACGAAAAAGACUUAAAGUGUUGAAUUUUUUAAAUAGGAGGGACCAAAUGUGAUUUUUGUGAACAUAAGGGACUAAAUGUGAAAUCAACGCUAAGUUAAGGGAUGAAAAGUGUACUUUUACUUGUAUAAGAAUGAAGCACUUGCUGAACCAAGUAAUCUUAAUUAUUGUCCGAAAAUUAUAUACAUACAGACCAGUUCUCGAGUUUGACUUAAUUAAUCUCCUUGGAUUGUAACAGUAUAUAAUAAAGAGAAUAAUACAAUAUUACAACCUGACGUCCGAUAACUUCGUUCAUAUGGUUGACUCUUUUGCACAUCGUAUCCAGAGCAAUAAACUUCACAAUCAAAUGCCUAUGAAGAAGACUUGUUUUGUUCCAGACUGAAAAUUGUGUGUGUGUGUGUGUGUGUGUGAGAGAGAGAGAGAGAGAGAGAGAGAGAGAGAGAGAGAGAGAGAGAGAGAGAAGCAUUUCAAGAUGGCUUAUGGUGCUGUUGGUUGUCUUGAGCUGACAAUUGAGCGACUUUCGAAAUCAUCACAUAAUUCGAUUAUUCAAAAUUCAUCCCCACAAAUCAUCAAACUUCUGUACAAGGAGAUUCUUUUCUUAAAAGAAGCUCUCAGAGAAUUCGAUAAAAGGAGGAGCACUAUUAGCAUGAAGAUGGUGAAAACACUGGAGGCAGAAAUCAUAGAUGCAAUAUACGAAUUCGAAGAUGUGCUCGAACCCCAUCUCUUGAAUCAGUUCCAUUCACAAUAUGAAGAAGAGUCCGUUCAUUAAUGUUAUACUCAGUAGACAUGCAAGAAAUAAGGCAAGAUGUCGAUUCCUUUAUCGAAAUGGUGAACAAGAUGAAGAGGGCCUACAUUCAUGAGUUACGCAACCCUUCCCCCGAACAAGAAGAAGAAGAAGAAGAAGACUGGGAUGAUUGUGUGGAUUUUGGUGGAAACGAGUCUUAUAACACGGUUGAAUCAUCUCAUCUAUUUAUGAGAAUCAAGGAUCGGCUUGUAAAUUCCUUUUUCGAAACAGUGAACAAGAUGAUCAAGAAGCCCUACACUCGCGAGAUACGCAGCCCUUUAUAUCUAUUUACGAGAAUCAAAGACCGGCUUAAUUCCUCACAAUCUGAAGGGAUGAGUGUGUCUCUCGUCGGGAUGGCGGGCAUCGGUAAGACUACUCUUGCCAAGAAAGUCUUUCAAGAUCCAUUCAUUGUGAGUCGUUUCAGCCUACGUGUGUUUGUGUCCAUAGGCCCGAAAUAUCGAUUACAUGAUAUCUUGUUAGAUAUUCUAAGGCAAUUGGAUCCUGUAUAUAAUGAAUUAAGGCUUCCAACAGAUACAUUAUUAGCCAAGAUCAAAUGGGUGCUGCUGUCAUAUUUAAGAGAUUUAAGAUUUCUGAUUGUAUUGGAUGAUGUAUGGGAUGCAGAGCUCUGUUCUCAGUUGUAACUAGGCUAUGCGAAGUAGCUGUGUGUGCUCACCCUUUGAAUUCUUUCAAAAUACCAUUCCUUGAUAGAAAGAAAGUUGGGAUCUUCUUCGUGAGAAAAUAUUCGGUGAACAAGAGUCGUCAUUCUCUUAUGGAGCACCAGCGCCGAUUGUGCAUUCGAAAUAGUAUUCUAUUUGCUAUUGAAGAUGUGCACAACUCAAUUGCAUCUGCGUCAACUGUACGCUCUCUCUUAUGUACUGGUCCAUUUCAUCAAUAUCCAGUGCCAUUACCUUUGGAACAUUUAAGGUUGCUCAGGGUAUUGGAAGCUCGAAUCAGACUGUAUGAGUUCCCAUUGGAUGUGGUGCAACUAUUUCAACUAAGAUACCUUGUCCUCACUUAUGAUGGAGACCUCCCUCCUUCUAUUUCCAAACUUUCGAACCUUCAGCAGUUGAUUGUUGGUCGAUACUGCAUCGUAAAUUAUGUUGACAAUGUAGUGUAUCUGCCUAUUGAGAUAUGGAAUAUGAAAGAAUUGGAGUAUCUACAGUGUGUGGAAAGAGACCUACCACAUCCAUGUGAAGGAUCUCUCCUACCAAAACUCUUACAACUUAUUGGUGUUGUACGAAAGACGUGCUUGAAAAAAUCCCGAAUCUGAAGGAUUUAGGAAUUCAAAUCGUACUAUCUCUUGAGAGUCUUUGAUCACAUUUCCAAUCUCCAUCAACUACAAACACUGCAAUGUGACAUUGUGAAUCCUAUAUGGAAGACAAAGGUUGUAACUGCCCCACUUGCUCCUCUUUCCGACUUGCCAUCAAGUCUUACAAAGUUAAUAUUGAAAGGCUCGGGAUAUCCAUGGGAAGAAAUGAGAAAGAUUUCUUCAUUGACAAAGCUUAAGUAUCUGACAUUGAGUCUUUACGCCUUUCGAGGCCCAAAGUGGAAGGUUCAUGACUGUGAAUUCCAAAGUUUUGAAUUUCUUCACAUUGAAGACGCUGAUCGGGUGCAAUGGAAGUUUGUGUCAACGAAUUUGUGCCUCCCUGCGAUUAAGUACUUUCGCAUCGUACAUUGCUACAAGUUAAAAGAUAUCCCUCUUAAGUUUGGUACAUCUCUUCUAAACAUUCGAGUAGUCAACUGCAACCCUAUGGCGAUGAAUUGGGCAACAAAGUUAAAGGAGUGGGACGACAACUAUGGCGAUGGUAAACGUUCAUUAACUGUUGAUAUUCGUUCUUCAUUGUAAUGAAAUGAUCGGAACACCAAGCCAUAACUCUACCAUGAUAUUGAUUCUUCAAAAGGUUAGUCAUUAAAUUUUUUAUUUCUAUCAAAAGUUUAGAAUUUGAGGUCUAUAAGACUGAUACAUUUGAAUUUAAUUUUUAUUUAUUUAUAAUUUCGUCAUACAGUGAAUAUUAUUAAUAAUAUACUCAAAAUAUAUGUAUAUAUUCUACUACAAAACAGCUAUAAAUAGCCAAUAGAUAUAUAUGGUUGAUAACACAUGGGUACUUUUUACAGUUUACUCUAAUAUAAGUUGCAUUUGGAUGAAACUGUUUGAAUUGUGAGGAGAGAAUUUGAAGGAAAGCUAGUAUGAAAUUGAGAUGGAUUUGAAAUUCACUACUGUAAUGGUUUCUUCCUUUUUUUUGUUACAAAAUUACCCUUUGGCCAAUAGUUUAUUUGAAGGAUGAUAUGGUAAAUGAUCAACUAUUUUUUAAACAAAUAAUUCGUCAUUCUUUUGAACGUGUAGGAUGUUUUGUAACCGAAAUUUCCAUCAAUUAAUCCUUUGCAUUAAUAUCAAUAAACUAGCAAUUUUAGAGGAAAAAAAACCUCUCAUGCACAUAAUAAUAAUAAUAAUAAUAAUAAUAAUAAUAAUAAUAAUAAUAAUAAUAAUAAUAAUAAUAAUAAUAAUAAUAAUAAUAUUAUUAUUAUUAUUAUUAUUAUUAUUAUUAUUAUUAUUAUUAUUAUUAUUAUUAUUAUUAUUAUUAUUAUUAUUAUUAUUAUUAUUAUUAUUAUUAUUAUUAUUAUUAUUAUUAUUAUUAUUAUUAUUAUUAUUAUUAUUAUUAUUAUUAUUAUUAUUAUUAUUAUUAUUAUUAUUAUUAUUAUUAUUAUUAUUAUUAUUAUUAUUAUUAUUAUUAUUAUUAUUAUUAUUUAAAUAAUUUAAGCAGACAUUUCAUCAUUAUUUUGUUCGUUUUGUAACAUACAUUUUCAUCCAUCCUUUGCAUUAAUAUAAUUAAUCUAGCAAUUGAACUAAAAAUUUCACACAAAACAAAAAAGAAAGAAAAGAACAAAAAGAAAACCUCACAUACCAAAUGAUCCCAAACUAGUCAACUAUUAAUAAGAAAAGGGAAUACACUUUGCACCCCUGAAGCAUAAACUAUGUAACACUUCCCCUUAAAAUGUCAUUUGUAUUACUUACUCACCUCAACAUUAAUUAUUUUAUAUUUUAAAAAUUAGAACAUAAUAAACAUAACAACUAAUAUUUAUGGGAUCAUAUAAAAUUGAAAACAACUAAAAUUAAAUUAUUGGAGAGAAAUUAAAAAGUAACAUAUAUUGUAUAAUAAUGAAUGAAAAUAUAUUUUUAAGAAAUUAAAGAACUAAAAUAAAUUUAAAUACUUCAGAUUACUAUUGGCUAAGUAUUGAUUUCUUAAAAUUUAUCGAUAAGAAUAUAUUCGAUUAAUUGGUCCAACAACAAUCAGAUGUUAUUUAUUAAAUAUAUACCCAAUGCAAGAUAAUAUUUUAAAAUUUUGAAAUACUGCCUUUUUCCAUAUAUAUAUUUUAGUUGUAUAAUUUAAUUAUUCUUUGAAUUAUUUGUUUCAAUAAUAGAGAAAUUUUAAAGUAUUAGAAUUUAAAAUACAAAUUAAAUUGUGUUUGAGGGGGUAAGUGUUACAUAAGAGCAUCUCCAACCGGUUUCACCAUUUUUUCACCAAAUCCUAUUUAUGGUGGUGAAAAAAUGGGUUCAUCUCCUACCGGUAGCACACCAUUUUACUCUUCCACCAUUUUUAGUGGAAAAAUGGUGGUUUUGGUCUUCAAUGGGUAUCACCAAAAUUUAGACCAAAUAUUAAAAUAAUAAUAUUUCACCAUUUCACCACUUAUAGGAAAUGGAAUUUGGUUUGGUCUCCAAUGGCAUUUCACCAUAUAUACCCCAAAACUAUAAAUCUAAUGUUAAUCGUAAUUUUAUAAUAUUUUAUUUCCUAAAUAUUAAUUAUAGAACCAAUACUAAGUAAUAAAUUUUCUCAACUAAAUAAUUUAAAAAUUAUGUUAUUAAUCUUAAAAAAAUGUCCAAACAUGAAAUAACAUGAACUCAAAUUAUUUUAAAUAUAAUAAAAUUAUACAUAAACAAUAAUCUCAUAAAUUAUUGCAUAAAUAAAAUAUUACAACAUAAAUCAAUUUGAAAUCAUAAAAAAAAUCUCAUUCACCAUUAUUAUCAUCAUCAUCACCAUCAUAAUCUUCAACAUCACCGAUUUGAGCACGUUUAUCCCACAAGUGUGCUUUUCCUUGAUUUAUCAGAUUUCGAUGUCGACCAAGAAAACUAACAUAUGCCGUAUUAUUAAAAUCUCUCAAAAGCUCAACAGAAAUGAACUAAUAAACAUUGAUACCAACAAAAUAAACAAAUUAAUUAAAAAUAAGCAUAUUUAUAUUUUUAGAGUUAAUGUUUUGUUAAUAAUAACAAAUGUAUUUAUAUUUUAAAAACUAAUUUAAUAAUUAAUACCAAUGUAUUUACGAUAAUUAUGCUAAUAAGUUGGUAAUCGGGUGCAAUUAGUUAAAAUCGUCAUUUUAUAUGGUACUAAUAAAAUGGUGUUAAUUACGACAAAUCCUAUUUUCACCUCUAUAUUUGGUAGGAAAAAUAGGAUUUGGUGGAAAAAAUAGGAAAAUGGUGGACCGGUGGGAGAUGAAAAUUUCUUCACCAAAAAAUUUGGUGGAAAAAUAGGAUUUGAGUAUUUGGUGAUAUGGGGGUUGACCACGGUGGGAGGCUAAAACCAAAUCUCUAUAAUUUUAGGUGUAAUGGUAAUAUAGGAAUUUCGGGUGGGAGGCUAAAAACACCUAAAUAAGAUGAAAAAAUGGCGUUAUGGUGUCCGGUCGGAGAUGUAAAAUGUAUUUAACCCAUAAGAAAAUAAAUACCUUGAUUGUGCGUUUUGUAACAGACUUGAUAAUAAUAACUGAUGCAAAGCUUUUAAUGCACAUUCAAUCCCAUUAUCUUGCAUGUGGAAAAAAACGGUCGAAACGAAAAUGCAUCUCCCUAAAAGGUGUGAAUGUUGGAGAAGAUGGUGAGAUUUAGCACCCAAUUAGUAGCAACAACAAAAGGUUCAGAGGUUACUUUUUUGUCUUCUUACAAAAUAGGAGUUUUUUGAAUUGGAAGCAUGUAAAUCUAAUUUUUUAUUUGUCGGAUUAUCUGUUCUUGGUAUGUUGUAAUUAAGAUUUUGGGUUUUUUUUUUUCUUUCCUCCAUGGUAUUGAGAAUUGGGUUUUGGUGCACGGGAAAAUUGUAGAUUAUUUCUUUUGUUGAUCUAUGUAUUCGUUCAAUUUGACUAUCAAUCUAAUUUAUUUAUUUAUUUAUUUUGCUUUGAAUUUCAGUUGUGCAACAUGAAAUUAGAAUAUGCUAUUGGUUGAGCAAGAUGCAUGAUAUAAUUAAUGGAAAUGGCCUUUUUCUCAAAAAAUGCAUGAUCAUUCAAGGUAAUAACUAAAUUUCCCUUUUUCAUAAGCUAUUAAUAUUCGUAAUUUUUUUUCUUGCAUUUUUAGAUCUCCAUCUUUCAUCUUAAAAAUCAAUUGAAUCGUAUAAAAUAAAACUAAAUCGAAGAAAUAGAUAGAAUUAUAUCAAAUCACAUUUAUUUUAAGGUAGAUACAUUUUGAAUCCUAGAAAUCAACUGAAUCGUAAAAUUCCUGUAAAAUCGUACUAAAUAAUAAAAAAUCGUAGAGUUAUAUCAAGUCGAAUUUGUUUUAAGAUUCUAAUCAAAAAGUUCAAAAAUACAAAUGAAUCGUUUUAUUAUAAAUAGUAAAUAGUAAGAGUUUGUAAUUUUCUUAGAAAGUUGUGUUGUAAACAAUAGGGGUACUAGGUUAUUAAAGAGGUAUGUUAUGGGAGAAUGAAUAUCUUAUCAAAGAAAUUCAUCAACAACUAAAGGAUAAUUGGAGGCUAAUUCACAUUUUCAGAAAGAAAACAUGGUAGCAGAUGGCUUAGCAAUGGAUUGAUGAUCUAAGGAUGCCAUAUACCUCCAAAGUUUCAACAAUUUGACGGCAAAGGCAACCCCAAGCAGCAUGUGGCACACUUCGUCGAGACUUGCAAUGAUGCCGGGACGUACGGAGAUCACCUCGUCAAGCAAUUCGUCCGAUCGCUCAAGGACAACGCGUUUGAUUGGUACAUUGAUUUGGGGGCAAACUCCAUUGAUAGUUGGAAGCACUUGGAGGAAGAAUUUCUCAACCGCUUUUACAGCACUCGAAGAACAGUCACCAUGAUUGAGCUCACCAGUUCCCGCCAAUGUAAGAAGGAACCUGUCAUCCACUACAUCAACCGUUGGAGAAAUUUGAGUCUUAAUUGCAAGGAUCGACUGCCCGAGACAUCAGCUAUUGAGCUGUGCAUCCAAGUAAUGCAAUGGGGACUCCGAUAUAUCCUUCAAGGAAUUCAACCUAAAAGUUUUGAAGAGUUGGCCACUCGAGCACAUGAUAUGGAAUUGAGCAUAACUGCAAAUGAAGUCGAAGAACCUUCAUUCCAAAAGUCGUAUCAGCUCAAAGAAGAACAUGUUGAAGAAGAACAAGAAGAUCAUGAGGAUGGGGGCAAGUCUUUUGAAGAAACAACAUCCUAUGCAAUGUGACAAGUCAAAUCAAAUGAAACACUCCUUGACACGAGUUUAAAAGGUCCACAUCUUCAAAUCAAUUGAAAUACUCCUUGACACGAGUUUAAAAGUUCUACAUGUCCAAAUAAAACGAAGCACUCCUUGACAUGAGUUUAAAAGGUCUACAUGUCCAAAUUAAAUGAAACACUCAUUGACACGAGUUUAAAAGGUCUACAUGUCCGAAUCAAAUGACAUACUCAUUGACACGAGUUUAAAAAGUCUACAGGUCCAAAUAAAAUACUCCUUGACACGAGUUUAAAAGGUCUACGAGUUCAAAUCAAGUCAAGGCUCCUCAAUAUGAGCAUAAACUAUCUAUAUAUCCAAAUCAAAUCAAAGCUCCUCGAUAUGAGCAUAAACUAUCUAUAUAUCCAAAUCAAGUAAAGGCUCCUUGAUACGAGCAUAAACUAUCUAUAUAUCCAAGUCAAGUCAAGGCUCCUCGAUACGAGCAUAAAUUUGUUGGAAUAAACUUGAAUAAAUCCCAUGGAACCGUCAUGCCGAAUCAUCAAGAAUAUUGUGCAUAAACUUAAAUCGGAAGCGUACCUUACUCCGGUGGAAUUGAUAUGAAACGAUCAUGGAUCUUCCAGAUCAUCAUGUACAUCCGAACCCGAGAACCCUUUAGACUUCUCUUUGUUUUCUUUAUGUCGAUGGAAUACAUAGAGAAUGGAAUUCGUACAUGUGACCCGGGGACCAUGACCAAUAUAUAUAGAUAACCUAAUGGGCUAUCUUGUGUAAUUUUAUUUUAGCCCAUCACUAUAAUAAAAUUACCCUAAUGUCUCUACACAUUAAAGGCCCACACCCUAUUAGACACAUUAAAGCCCAAUCCAAAUAAACUUUAGUCGAUCACUUUAACGGGCUUAACUUUACGUGACAGUCUUGCAACACAUAAUAUUUCACAUAUAAGUCCAACGUUGGAAUAAUGUUCCAACAAUCUCCCACUUGGACUAUAUGUGUAACUUUAUAAUUAUAGGUUGCAUAAAUAAAUUUUGAGCUCAACUUUGCUGUCAUUACUGAAGUGUGUCUAUAACCAAUCUCGUCCAUCAAUCAUGCUAACACUGAAUCAAAGGGGCCUUCGUUCACAUUAGUCGUAACGGGACCCAACAAUGGUCACAAUAUCAACACAAUUGAAUGACAUAGAUUAUGAUGUGGAUGUGUAGCAUGGAAAUGUCAUGCAAUGUGACCUUAACAUACCUAUUCCCAAUUAGUCCUCCUUAACGAGAUCAAACCUUAACAAAUCAGAGUGUGAAUAAACCAAAACCUUAUUUCUGCAGAAAUUAUCCUAAGAGUAUCCUUAAUCCGAAUUAACCCAAAAAUUAUGUCUACCCCAAAAGAACACAUUUAUUAUAAACUCCCACUAAAACCGAAUAUCCUUAAUUAAUAUGACACCCAUACGAGCAAUAUGCUCAUGAGACCUUUUGGGUGACAUCCUUAGUGUGCACACAUAAUGGAGUUUAUAUCGACGUAUUCUAUAGACACCUUUCCACUCUGUAUAUUAUAAAAUAAGAUGCUUUUAUAAACUGAUUACCGUAGUUAAAAAAGAGUUUUGGGUGUUGGCUAAACACUCGUACUUAAAUUCUCUUUUAAUUAGGUAUACAUUAAAUGGAUCUAUAAUGUACAAGCAUCAUACAAACUCGAAAUCAAAAAACCAAAUGAUCUCCCAAAUGAACUGAUUUCGAUAAAUGAGCAUAAAUGACCUUAUGUUCUCUAUAAUUACUGUAUAAUCCUUUUGUUUCUAUUCAAAGAUCCACUUUAAAGAAUUAUUUAAAUAUCUGCCUAACUUUAUGUACGAUUUAGCCGAAUGCGUACAUACCGAAGUGUGCAUAUAAUUUCCCAAAGCUGACAGCAAGGGAACCUUUUGCAUUCUUCCUUACCGUAAGAUCUUUAUUGGGCAUUGAAUGAGAUGUGCAGGAUUAUCUCCCACGUAUCACAUGGUAUAUACAAACAUUAACUUUAUUUACCUAAAACUCUAAAAUAGAGUCCGUAUUGAGUGAAACUCUAGGUGAUUAGACUUUGUUUAUAACUUUUUCAACAUUGUCUAUUGAAAUUCAAACGGUCUCAAACAUACAUUUGUGACCAAAUGAUUUCACACUUUUGACAAUUGAUAAGAUCCCAAAUGUCAUUAUCAUCUUAAGUUUAACUCAGUUUAAUAUUGUAUUCUCUUAAGGUUGUUGAGUUUAUCUUUAAGGAGCAAUUUCCUUUAUGUGGGAGAAGACAGUAUUUUUUAUUAUUGUCUAUAGCAACAAAAUGAGAAAAAUAAAUUCUCUCUUUCAUACAAUAAUGAGUAUAACCCUUCCCCCCCUUAAACUCAAUAUCCUUAAGAGAUCUUAUACAUCCCGUCUUUAACCAUAUGUUGCAGUCUUUAGUGCUUCUCUUAAGAUUAGAAGCAAAACCUUACUUGUCAUUUGACAUACUUUGGAGACUCAUAUCUUUAAAUAACAGAUAAAGCGGACAUGAUUCUGUUACUUUUGGAAAAUCUAUUAUGAUGUCUCUACUGCAACAAUGUGUCAUUCUAUGGGAUAGUAGUUAACUGAGUACUUUUAGUCUUUUCUCGUUUCUGUCAUUUUAUUCCUACACAUAGUCAAAUAAAAGCUGACAAAGAAUUCAUUUAUCCUUCAGAUUUUGAAACAAACCUUAUGUUGACUAUAGAUGUAGAAAGAAAAAUCAAACCAUAUGCACUUUAAAGUUAAUAAAUCGUAACUUUAGUGCUUAAGCCGAAAGUGAGAUAAAACUAAUACCGAAUGUACUCCUUUAUAUUUCUUUUCUUUUAUUAAUAAUGAAACAAGAUUAGUCAAAACUAUACUUGAUUCAAACUUGUCAUUUUAAUAAUAAAACGUAUCAAAAGUGCCUUAAGAAAUAUUCCAGUACUUGCCCUAUCAAUCUUGAUGCCCCUAAAGAUUUCUUAAAUAGUGCUCCAAUUGAUCUUAAUACUUAUAAUUAGAACGAUCAUAUUCUUUAAGUCCCUUUUACCUUAACCUUAAGGAAACUUUUAAUUCCGAAGUAACUAGUUGGUCGUUCUAUUUAAAAGGUAAAAUCAAGAUCUAUGCACCCUAAAUAAUAAGUAAAUUGUGCUAUAAAGCACAAGAACCAAAAUUAACAUUGACAGAUAACGCAGAAGCGGAAGCAUGAACUAAAUAGAGAACAUAAACAAGAAGACAUGCUCACAACUACUAUUAUGUCAUAAAAAUAUCAAAUAAAAUCUAUGUAUGUAUGACAUAAUUAAACAUAAUUGGGUUCAUUUAUCAUAAAAUACCUAGCCCAAUGUUAACAUGACGUUAUGGACUACUCGUUAACUUUUAAGUGGCAACUUUUUAUAAAUAAAUAUUGACGGUAAACUAUCGUGUAAAACAAUAAAUCUACCUUAGGGCCAAUUUACAGUUCACAUGAAAUUCUAAUAACCGUCACAUAUUUAUUAUAUAUCAACCACAAAUUCAAAUAAAGGUAUAUUCCAUCUCAAGAUAUCGGGCACUCCAUUAAUAACUUAUCUUUGGACAAUGAUAUUAACUUGUAAGUGAUAUCUUGGUGUAGUAAUCAAACACUGACAAUAAGAGCACAUCGAAUAAUAAUUCUACCUUAGGGCCAAACUAUUAUUCACAUGCAAAACACCAAAUAAUCGCCACGCGUUUACCACCACAAUGUGCACAUGCAAUUCUGCAAAGUAUUGGCCUUCCUUAGGGCCGACACAAUACCCACAUUAUUACAUGCACAAAACCUUUUGUAUUUUAAAAUAAAUUAAGUUUCACAGGAGAGCUCACUUAGGCGAGAUGCCGCUUCUCUUAAUUCAUAUCAAAAUACAUAAACCAAACCAAUAUUUGAAUUUUAACUGGAUUUAAGCCUUUAGACUUUCUCAAACAAUCUUUAGUCAGAGGCUUAAUUAAAUUACCUUAUGAACCCAAAUUUCACGUUAUUUAGAUUUAAAGUCAAAAUAAAGUCGACUAGAAAUCUUCACUUUAUAACCCAAAGAUGAGCCUAAACCAUAAAUCAUAAAAAUUCAUAUUUAUUUGAAUUUGAGCUUAAAGUACAAAAAUGAGCUCACAAAUUCAACCUUAUUAGAUUUAAAGCCAACAAUAAAUUUCGGACAAAUAAAUUCAAAUUCUUAUGAAUUUUCACAAUACAAUGAAGACUCAAAUUUAUAAAAAAGUCACGAGUCUACGUGCCAAAUAUCGAUUGGGUCAAAGCUUAUUGAGUUAUACAUGAUAACCCAUACAUAUAUUGACAAACAACCAUUACUUUAAUGAGUCAAAACCUAUUGAAUUAUAAUAAUUCAUAUCCAUAAUUUGACUAUUUAAUCCAAAUUUCAAUCCAAAAAAAAGACCCGAACUUUAGAAAUAUGAAAAUUCCCCAAAAUAAAAUGCCUCAGGAAACUAAAUUGAAAUUCAAACUGAAUCUCACUUUAUUGACCAAACAAGUUCUUAAAGAGAAUUAAAAAAUAAUUCACUUAUUCGUUUGAUUCUUCACAAUAACUUUAAUUUCAAGUGGCCCCAAAACCUUUUGUAAAAAACUUAAAAUCAAUUUUCCAUUCCUUAAAAAAUUGCAUUUGCCCCAAAUUCAGAAAAGCCAAAAAAAAACUUGAAGGACUGAAUAGAAAUUUUGAAAGAAAAGCUUUUGAGUGAAAAGGGACCUAAGAUUCAGAAAUACUUAUAUUGGGGGUUAAAAUAUAUUUUCUGAAUGUAAAUCACAGUUUUGAGAGAAACUUUAAAGCUGGGGACUGAAAUGCACUUUUCGGAAGCUUUAGGCCCAAAAUCAGAUUUUCAUUUAUUACAAAUCACCCCGGCCCAAAAUCAGGAAUAACUUAAAUUUGGAGACCAAAUUAAAAUUUCAGAGAAUUUCAAUUACAACCUCAGGGGGCCAAAUUUUAAUUUCAUAAACCAUAAAUUCCUUGACCUAAUCCAAAUCCACAAAGCGGCCGUGCAAAUUAGCAGAACAUAAAUGGGGGACUUAAUAGCAACUUUAAUGAACCUUAACGUGGUAAAUUGCAAUUUCGCAAAAACUUAAUCAACCUAAUUUUGCUUCUUCAGCAAACAAACCGCCGUCACACACCUUCUGCCAUCAAAACCGCCGCUAGACCACCAUAUCACCCCGUCUCGCCUGAACUAUUGCCGGAAGAGGAAAAUUACUGUUGUGACCUCGCAUCAUCGCGUAUCUAGAACCCGUCGCGAAGAGGAGCGCGGUUACUAUCCCCUCCGUCGGCGUCAUAGCAGGGCUGCAGUAUGUGGGUUUGAUGGUGGUGGGCGGCGUGGCCAUAUAACAUAUACCAGUUGGUUGCCGCCCCUUAUUGCGAGGUGUUGAGUUUUGACAGAAAAAAAAAACUAAUCGACCGCCGCACCAGUCCUUGAUCCUUAAUUUUCAGAUUUGAUUCCUUUAACCUUAAUUCUUAUUCUUAAUGAAUGAAUCCUUAAAACUUUAAUCCGAAUUUUCAAAUUCAGGCAACAAUUGUGCAAUUCACUUAAUAUGGAUAAAAUAUCAUAUAUAAUCAUGAAACCCUAAUUCAGAAAAGCUACUACCUAAUACAAGGCAACAGGUUUCAUAAUAUUAAUAUAAACAUAUCUAAUUCGAGAUUAAAACCUAAUUGCAGAACGUACUGAAUAUCAUAUAAAUAUCUGGCCGAAACUUUGAAAAUUAAAUUCAUGAAAAACAUAGAUUUCUCGUAAUAACAACUUGACGAGAAUUGUUAAAAUUCUCGAUGAUUCAAAACAUGGUGGCUCUGAUACCACUUGUUGGAAUAAACUUGAAUAAAUCCCAUGGAACCGUCAUGCCGAAUCAUCAAGAAUAUUGUGCAUAAACUUAAAUCGGAAGCGUACCUUACUCCGGUGGAAUUGAUAUGAAACGAUCAUGGAUCUUCCAGAUCAUCAUGUACAUCCGAACCCGAGAACCCUUUAGACUUCUCUUUGUUUUCUUUAUGUCGAUGGAAUACAUAGAGAAUGGAAUUCGUACAUGUGACCCGGGGACCAUGACCAAUAUAUAUAGAUAACCUAAUGGGCUAUCUUGUGUAAUUUUAUUUUAGCCCAUCACUAUAAUAAAAUUACCCUAAUGUCUCUACACAUUAAAGGCCCACACCCUAUUAGACACAUUAAAGCCCAAUCCAAAUAAACUUUAGUCGAUCACUUUAACGGGCUUAACUUUACGUGACAGUCUUGCAACACAUAAUAUUUCACAUAUAAGUCCAACGUUGGAAUAAUGUUCCAACAAAAUUAUCUAUAUAUCCAAAUCAAAUCAAGGCUCUUGAUACGAGCAUAAACUAUCUAUAUAUCCAAAUAAAGUCAAGGCUCCUCGAUACGAGCAUAAACUAUCUAUAUAUCGAAAUCAAGUCAAGGCUCCUUGAUACGAGCGUAAACUAUCUACAAAUUCAAGUCAAAUGCUCCUUCAGCACGAGCUUAAACUGCAAAUGUUUCUCCUUGUCCACAUGAGUGUAAACUGUGCAUGACAUCCCUCAAAAGGAUAUAUUUUGAACUACGUUACGACUUGAUCCCUCUAUAGGGUACGUAGGCAACUUAGACUCUCUCUAAGUCCAGUCAUGAUUUCAAAAGAUGUAUGUGCUUUUCUAGAUCAAGCUGCAAUUGAAGUUAAGCAAUUAUCGAGACUCAUUCACUCCAAGACGCAUUGUCCGUGAAUAAGUCUCGAAGGGGCAUUUGUAGACACAUAAAUUUAAUAUAAUUUAUAUUAUAUUAAAUUGAAUCCCAAGAUUAUAAUUUAUCUUGCAAAAUAAGUCAUGGAGAUAAUUAUCAAUUAAUUAUUGACCAAUAGGAUUGUUUCUUCUCUUCCAAGUUAUAAGAGAUAAAUAUCAAUUUAAAGAGAGCCAAUCAAAUCGCACCACGUCAUCAAGAAGACUUCAUGUAGGACUCUUAUUCUACCACUAUAAAUAGGGACCCUCCCUACACAAUUCAAGACACAACUCAAGAAGAAUAAAAAUCGUAGGAGAAAAUUCUCUCUACAACAUUCAAGUCAUCUUCAUCAAAUUCAAGGCGUUCUUCAUCAAAUCGAGGGCGUUCUUCAACAAAUCAAGAUCGAAGGAAGAUCGAAGGGCCAAAUCCAUCAAGAACUCCAAGAUCUUCAAGUCAAAACCCGUCAAAGUUCAAUAAAUCAAGAUCGAAUGAAGAUUGAAGGGCCAAAUCCAUCAAGAACUCCAAGAUCUUCAAGUCAAAACCCGUCAAAGUUCUGCGUUCGAUCCGAGAUUCAAGUCGCAAGACCCUCGGAAGACGUUAUUCAAGUUCAAAAUCAAAUCCGGAGCAGAUCAAGUCAACAACCCGACUCCGAAAUUCAAAGUCAAUAUAUAUUGUUCUUGAGAGAAGAAUCAGAGGAUUAAAUUAGAGUUUGUAACCCGCAAUAUUUUAUUUUAAUUCAAUAAAAUUAUCUUUGUGCAAGUUUUUCUUGUUUGUUUAAAUUGCAGAUAAGAAUUUUGUUGCUACAGUAUAAUCUCCCCUCUUAUCAGUAUUUUUUUUUUCGGAAAAAGAAAGUAAACAAUAGGGGCACUCUUUCCUUGAUAGGUGAAACUUUGAUUUAAGAAGGCCUUUGAUGCAAUAAAACUUUUAUGUUUGGCCCAAAUAUAAUCUAAAUAACACACCUGCCUAGUUGCCAAAAAAGUCCAUGUGUUGAAACAAUCAGCAAGAACUCCCCUAUUAAAGUUAGUCAAUGCAGUAAGGCCCUUCCAAGUUGAUGGUGGCAUACGCUCGCGAAAUAUGCGACUGGGGGUUGGUUUUUUAACUUGAAAAGACUGAACUACUCUUUAAUUUAGAAAUUUGGAAAACAAGCCUCAAAAUGAAGUUCUCAAUUAAUAUUUUCAAUUAAGUUCCCUUCAAUUUCAGAAAAGCCCUCUUCUCCCUUAUGUCAGGGACUGUUCUGCAAUUUUUCAUUCAGGCAACAAGUCAUGAGUCCUUUAGUUUCGGUCGCAGCUCCUUUACGACGAAAGGCAAAACUCCGAUGACUCUUCCACGGUAAAGAAAGAUGAUUCAGAUGAUUGCUUUGUAAAGCACAUUUCAACUCACUCUUCUCUCUAAAUUUUCAAGCCUCAAGCUCUCUUGAAAAACAAAAAACACCCAGAUUUGAGCCUCAAACUAUGUUCUGAUCAAGAUCCAAAAAAAUCUAACAGGGGAAAAAGAAUAAUCUUCAAGCUCGUUUUUUUACUGCAAAAACCUCAGCAACAACCCGUGCAAAUUCGCCACAAGAAAACAGAUCUCAAACCCCUUGAAAAUCCGAGGAAACAUCUGGCCCGGUCGAUAUUUUCAGAAAAAAACACAAAUAAUUUGAGAUUUUCAGAACAACAAUCCGUGAACAAAUACUAAUUUUCGUGUUUUUCCAGUGGCUUCCCCGACGUCCCUCUGUCUUUUUUCCCUUUAUUAUUUAAAAUUGAAUUGUUUAAAAUUUACUGAGGUAGUUUAUUCUUUUCACGAAAGUCAGCAGACAAUUUUGAUGCAAGGACCCGUAUGCGCUGCAAAACACGACGUAAGGGGGUUUUCGUUAAUUUUUUUUAACAGAUGGGCUUUUUGGACAAUAUAAUUAGAGAUAACGCAGGUCUAUGCUAAUUAGGGGUGAAUACGGCCGGGUUUGAGCGGGUUUCGGUAAAAAAUCAACCCGACCCGAGUUGUGCGGGUUGACAAAUUAGCAAACUGCAACUGCUAAUUUCUAUACACAAACUGCUGGGUUCGGGUGGCGGUCAGGUCUGGCAGGUGGCGGUCGGGUGGCGGGCUGGUUCAACAAAUAUCCAAUACCAAAGAAAGUUUUGACAAAAUUUAAUCCAAUUCAUUUCCAAAAAAAAUCCUUUAAAAAAAAAUCUUCCAAAGAAAAUGACAUCAUUCACGAAAGAAUUGUCAACCUCCUUCAAUUUUUUAUAGUUCUCCCACUGUUUCCUCACCUGCUCCUUUUUCCUCUCUUUUGUCCAUUUUCUAUUUUUCUUUCUUUUUUCUUUUUAUUUUUUGCUCUACAAACAGUCGGAUAGCUUCUCGUCGAAAUUUGCCAUCACUUUAUGCUUGACAUUGCUAAAUGAGAAUGACAAUAGUUUUGAAGUGCGCUCCACCGAUGUCGUACACUAUUUUUAUGGCGAUCGAUAACAUAAAAAUAUUGGCUGGAAAAUAAAUAUGUGAGAGAAGCAACCAUGAAAUAGAUAAAGAGAAGACAAGAAGAGGCGCUCGACAGGGGAGGCGCAAAUAAAGUGCAAAUCCCUAGAUUUCCCUAAUUAUUUGAUAUUAUAUAUAUUUGUAUGAGUUGUAUGCGGGCGGGUCGGGUGGGUUGCGGGUUGUAAUUGUCAAACCUGCUACCCGACCCGUUCUGCUCGGGUGUUCAUUUUGCCAAGCUGCUGGGCAUAAUUUUGUAGGUAAAAAUUGCGGGUUUCGGGCGGGUCGGUUCGGGUCGGGCGGAUCGGGCGGGUUUAUGUUCACCCCUAUAAAUGCGCUAAUACCUCAUUUAUUUUAUGACACCCCUUAUAUAUUUAUUUUAUUAAUUUCACAUUCCUCUACAAGAAACAACAUGUAGGGGUACAUCAGUCUGACAAAAAAGUGAGGAUAGUCAUUAGCCGCAUAAGCUACAGAUGAACAUAGAACGAGCUCGAACUUCGUCGGCCAUCUGUAACCUUUGUUUCAACUAUUUGUUUUGGUAAAAUCCCAAUUAGAAGACUUUCAUUAAAUAUUAAGAAAUAUAAAUACAUUCAGCUGUGACAAAUUGUCUUCAUGUUUAGAAUUUAAUAUUUUGUAUUUAGAACUAAUUUGUUUGAGAUGCAUAAGUCCAUUUCUCUCGUUGUGUUUUUCAAAUUUUAAUUGCGCAGCAGCCGGAGUUCCCUUGUAUUCUCCUAAUUCACAAAACAAGUUUUAAAGAGGAUCAUAUCAUAUAUCAUAAAAGGCAUGCAGCUCUAGUUUCUGUUUUUAAUUUGUUAAUGCAAAUUUAAAACACUGACAUUGGUACUUUGCAAUUAUAUUUAGGUGCAAAAUUAGAGUUUCUAGACAAAAAAUUGAAUGGCCAUUUAGGCCAAUUUGAAAGGCCGGCUUACGUCGUGGUUGGUGCAGCGUAUUAGUCGAAACAAAUAGCUAAUCGAUGUUCUAAAAAAAUUAAUAAUUCAGGGGUUUUUGUUUAAUUUGGUAUCAAGACUUGGCUAUAUAAUAACUUUCGUGAUACGUCGGUAUUUUCGUAUUGAUCCAUAUUGGUUAGGUGAUUGACAAUAACUAACCAUGACGGCAACUUGCUGUUGCCAAUUAACAAGUAACAACCAUAUGUCCGUUGUAUGUAAUUGACUAAUCAUACAAUAUGUUAGGUAAAUAUGUUUACUCAAAAAAAAUUGUUAGGUAAGUUUGUUAGGUGAGUGAUAUCAAUCAACAAUGGACAACUUGUCAAUUGUCAUUUGCAUUAUUCUCUUAAUGUAUAUAUAUAUUGUCUAUCGGUAGUGGCGACUCCAGAAAUUCGGUAUACGAAAUUGUUGGGGGUUCCCAAAAAAAUUUAGGACAUUUUUUCUUAUGCAUAAAUUAGGACAUAAUCAUAAAACAUGAAAGGAAAAAAAAAAGGAAACGAUAAUUUUAAUCAUUAUUUAACAUAUAAUGACGAGUUCAUAUAUAUUGUUAGACCUUGAGAAACUUUAUCGCGCACUUGAAAUAUUUGAAUGAGUGAUUGUGGGAUUCAAACUCAUGACUCGAAUUCAGAACCUUUUCAUUUGAACUGGCUCUGAUACCAUGUUGAAUGAUCAUCUCAACCAAAAACUUAAGCCGUUAGUGAAAUGUAUUAUUUAAUAUUAAUAUCUCCAAUAACAUAUACAUGAACUUAUUAGAAUUUCAAAUUUAUUGCUUACCCUUAAGAUAAUGAUCAACUUAAUUUCGAGGUAAGUACCUAUCCACGUCCUACACGUCAGUGACAAUUAUUUGCUCUAGUUAAUAGACAGUUUUUUUAGUUAGUCGAUUGAGUUAUUUGCUUAGUCGACAAAGGUUUUCUAGUUAGUUGCUAAUUAUUUGAUUUAGCAGAAUGCAACAGUAAGUUAUAUUUUCAUCGGCAAAAAAAAGGCGCAAGUCCAGACAAUUUUGAGCAAUAAGUCUUUCUCGACGAAGAGUAAUGGUAGGUGAUCAUUUGUUGAGCUCGAUUCCAUUACCUGAAGUUAGGCGGAACAGUUUAUUUGGUGGAAACACAUUUCUAUUUUUUCCAUUAUUACCACGAACAUCCUCGAAACUUUUAAAUAUUUACGGAAAUGACCCCGAAAUGUUUCCGACAAAUGUCAUGGUGUUUCUAUUUCCAAAAUGCAAAAACGUGUUUACCGAAGUUUCCGUGCACCAUAGCGUUUCAUUUAUGGGAUUUUAUAAUUUUCGGGAUGAAAUUGUAAGAUUAAAGUGAAAUUGAGGCUGAAUCAAGUAAAUUGGAUUAAUGUAUCAAACUGCACAUGGAAAAUGUCAAUCGAGGAACAUAUUACAUAAUUGACCUUGGGAGAAAGAGAAAGAGAGAGAAGCAUACGUUGGAUGUUAGAUAUUUUUUAAAAGGAUAAAUUUCACUUGUUGGAUGUUAGAUAUUUUUUAAAAGGAUAAAUUUCACUUUCCCCCUUUUAUUAUGGUUCAAUAUCACUUUACUCUCUUUCACUCUUAAUUGCAUUGAUUUGACCCUAUAUACUUAGAAAAUUGUCUCAAUGUUGCCCUUACCGUUAGUCUCUAGACAUUUGACCUUAACACCAUUUGAUCUAAGUCUCAAAGUUACAAAAAAACCACACCUCCCAGUUUAAAUAAUAAUUUAUUUUUAAAAUUUAAUUUUUUUUAAUAAAAAUUAAAAAUAAAUUGUGGUUGCCGUCGUGGACUAUGCUUUCUCGUUGUCUUGGAAUUUUUUUUAUUAUUUUUUAUUUUUUAUUUUAAUAAUUAUUUAAACUGGGAGAGGUGGCGUUUUUGUAAUUUCAGAGCUUAGACCGACUGUGUUAAGGUUAAAUGUCUUACAACUAACAGCGAGGGGCACAUUGAGAUAAUUUAUCAAGUACAGGAUGCAAUCGAAAAUAUAAGGAUUUAAAUUGAUACCAUGUCAAAGCACAAAUGUGGAAAGUGAAAUUUACACUUUUUAAAACUGAAGACAAAAGGUUGACAAACGUCCCUGUCAAGAAUUAUUAUACCUGUUGUUCAAGUAAUUCUCAUCUUCAACUUUCUUGUGCAAUACUCGACUCAACUUCCUUUUUGUCUUGUUUGUUCGAUGUCGAUCCUAAUAUUUCAGUUAAUAGACGGUUUUUUUAGUUAGUCGAUUGAGUUAUUUGCUUAGUCGGUCGACUAAGGUUUUUUAGUUAGUUGCUAAUUAUUUGAUUUAGCAGAAUGCAACAGCAAGUUAUAUUUUCAUCGGAAAAAAAAAGGCGCGAGUCCCGACAAUUUUGAGCAAUAAAUCUUUCUCGACGAAGAGUAAUGGUAGGUGAUCAUUUGUUGAGUCUCUCAAUUUCAUUACCUGAAGUUAGGCGGAACAGUUUAUUUGGUGGAAACACAUUUCUAUUUUUUCCAUUACUACCAGGAACAUCCUCGAAACUUUUAAAUAUUUACGGAAAUGACCCCGAAACGUUUCCGACAAGUGUCGUGGUGUUUCGAUUUCCGAAAUGCGAAAACACGUUUACUGAAGUUUCCGUGCACCAUAGCGUUUCAUUUAUGGGAUUUUAUAAUUUUUUGGGAUGAAAUUGUAAGAUUAAAGUGAAAUUGAGGCUGAAUCAAGAAAAUUGGAUUAAUGUAUCAAACUGCACAUGGAAAAUGUCAAUCGAGUAAACAUAUUACAUAAUUGACCCCGGAAGAGAGAGAAAGAGAGAGAAGCAUACGUUGGAUGUUAGAUAUUUUUUAAAAGGAUAAAUUUCAGUUGUUGGAUGUUAGAUAUUUUUAAAAAGGAUAAAUUUCACUUUCCCUGUAUUAUGCCUCGAUAUCACUUUACUCCCUUCUACUCUCAAUUGCAUCGAUUUGACCCCAUAUACUUGGAAAAUUGUCUCAAUGUGGCCAUUGACGUUAGUCUCUAGACAUUUGACCUUAACACUAUUUGAUCUAAGUCUGAAAAUUACAAAAAAAAUCAUACCUUCCAGUUUAAAUAAUUAUUAAAUUUUUUUAAAUAAAAAUUAAAAAUAAAUUGUGGUUGCCGUUGUGGACUAUGCUUUCUCGUUGUCUUGAAUUUUUUUUUUUAUUAUCAUUAUUAUUAUUAUUAUUAUUAUUAUUAUUAUUAUUAUUAUUAUUAUUAUUAUUAUUAUUAUUAUUAUUAUUAUUAUUAUUAUUAUUAUUAUAUAUAUAUAUAUAUUUUUUUUUUUUAAUAAUUAUUUAAACUGGGAGAGGUGAUGUUUUUGUAAUUUCAGAGCUUAGACCGAACUGUGUUAAUGUUAAAUGUCUGACAACUAACAACGAUGACCACAUUGAGACAAUUUUUCAAGUACGAUGGCCCAAAUCGAUGCAAUCGAUAAUAUAAUGGUGUAAAGUGAUAUCGAGCCAAAGUACAAAUGUGGAAAGUGAAAUUUACCCAUUUUAAAACCGAAGACAAAAGGUAGAUAAACGUCUCUGUCAAGAAUUAUAAUAGCUGUUGGACAAAAAUGGAUAUUCAGCGUUUCAAUUUUUCUUCCUUUCACAUUUGUCAUUGAAAAAUCAACCAUUGAGUUUCUCCUUAAAUAACUUUUGAGUUCGGAAACACUAAAUUAAUCUUCUUCUCUUAGAUAAUUCUCUUGCAUAGUUAUAAUUUCACAAACAAAUGCUUAUGUAGAAGAGUUUUUCCAGUUCACUGAAAUUAGUUGUGUGAGAUCUGAGAGAGAGAGAGAGAGAGAGAGAGAGAGAGAGAGAGAGAGAGAGAGAGAGAGCAUUGAAAGAGAUGGCUUAUGGUGCUGCUGGUAGUCUGGAGCUGACAAUUGAGCGGCUUUUGAAAUCAUCUUAUAUUUCGAUUGUUCAAAAUUCAUCUCCACAAAUCAUCAAACUUUUGUACAAAGAGAUUCUUUCCUUAAAAGAAGCUCUCAGAGUAUUCGAUAAAAAGAGGAGCACCAUCAACAUGAAGAUGGUGAAAAGUUUGGAGGCGGAAAUGGUAGAGGCAAUAUACAAAUUCGAAGAUGUAAUUGACCCUCAUCUCUCAAAUCAGUUCCAUUCACAAUCUGAAGAAGAAGAAGAGACGGCCGAUCAUCCUCCAUCAAUGGUGUACUCAGUAGAUGUGCAGGAAAUACAGCAAGAUGUCGAUUCCUUUAUCCAAACAAUGAACAUUAUGAAGAGGGCCUACAUCCAUGAGUUAUGCAACCCUUCGCCUGAAGAAGAAGAAGAUGGUGUUGUCCCGUCAAGAAUCGAUUUUGGUAUAAAUGAGUCUAACAUGGUUGGUUUAUCUGAUCUAUUCGUGACAAUCAAAGAUCGGCUUGAUUCCGAGCAAUCUGAAAGGAUGAUCGUCUCGCUCGAUGGGAUGGCGGGCAUUGGUAAGACUACUCUUGCCAAGAAACUCUUUCAAGAUCCAUUCAUUGUGAGUUGUUAUAGCAGGCUCGUGUUCGUGACCAUAGGCCCUAAAUAUCGACUAGCGGAUAUCUUGGUGGAUAUUCUAACACAAGUGAAUCCCGACAUUGAUGAAAUAAUGCUUAUGAAAGGAGAAAAAGUAUUAGCUGGAUUGAAAAGAAUGGUUUACGAAAGUUUAAAGCAUUUGAGAUUCUUGAUCGUGUUGGAUGAUGUAUGGGAAAUAGACCUCUAUUUUGUGUUGUUGGAGUUAUUUCCAGACGAGAAAAAGGGAAGUCGAGUGUUGGUCACAACUAGGAUGAAAGAAGUAGCUGACUCUGUUAAGCCUUUGAAUAUUUUCGAAAUACCAUUUCUUAAUAAGAAAGAAAGUUGGGAUCUUCUUCGUGAGAAGGUGUUUGGUGAACAAGAGUCAUUACCUUACGAACUUGAAAAAGCUGGAAAGAAGAUUGCCGAGAAUUGUGAAGGUCUUCCACUAACAAUAGUUACAGUUGCCAACAUCCUUUCCAAAGCUGACAAGACUUUAGAGUACUGGAACAAAGUAGCUGACGAGAAACAAAAUUCGGUUUACAAGGAUGCAUAUGAUCAAAUGUCAAAGGUACUAUAUCCAAGCUAUGACUACUUAGAUCAACAUUUAAAAGCAUGUUUUCUCUAUAUUGGAGCUUUCCCACAAAAUUAUUCGCUAAACCUGCCCCAACUAACCAACUUGUUGAGUGCUGAAGGAUUUCUUAACUCAGAAUCAAUGUAUUACUAUGCGCCGACCAAUAAUUAUGCAUAUGAUAGCUAUGGAUAUUUUGAUGACCUUUAUGCCACAAAUGUUAUCGUGCGCAAUGAAACAUUUGAUUUUCACCUUCAUUCGUCCUUUUGGUACUUGUGUAACAAAGAAGCUGCCAGGACCAAGUUUUUCUAUGCCUUAAAUUGCCAUGGCGAUACUCUACCGGAAGAAGGUAUAGAAAGCCAGCGCCGAUUGUGCAUCCGUAAUAAUGUUCUACUUGCCAUCAAAGAUGUGCACAACUCAAUUGCAUCUGAUUCAAAGGUACGAUCUUUCCUUUGUACCGGUUAUUUUCAUAAAUAUCCAGUACCGCUGUUUUUGGAACAUUUGAGGUUGCUGAGGGUAUUGGAAGCUCGUUCUAUUAGAUUCUAUGAGUUCCCGAUGGAAGUAUUGAAACUAGUUCAAUUAAGAUACCUCGCCCUCCUUUAUAAUGGAAACCUCCCUUCUUCCAUUUCCAAACUCUGGAACCUUCAAUACUUGAUUGUUUUUCAACAUCCAAGGAUAGUAAAAUCUGUUGGGAAUCUAUUGUAUCUGCCUAUUGAGAUAUGGAAUAUGAAUGAAUUGAAGUAUCUUCAAACCUACGGAAGAGAGCUACCACAUCCUUGUUGUGAAGGAUCUCUCAUACCAAACCUCUUAAACCUAAGUGGUGUCGGUCCUCAAAGUUGUGCCAAAUCUGUGCUCGAAAAAAUCCCUAAUUUGAAGGAAUUAAGAAUUAAUAUCGAGCUGGCUCCUGAUGCUACAGAGCCCUUGACAUGCUUUGAUCACAUUUCCCUUCUCCAUCAACUACAAGAACUAGGAUGUUACAUUAUGAAUCCUACAUUGAAGACAGAUGUUGUUACCCCACUUGUUCCUCUUUCAGACUUCCCAUCAAGUCUUACAGAGUUACAUUUGAGAGGCUUAGGAUAUCCGUGGGAAGAAAUGAGAAAGAUCUCUUCAUUGCCAAAUCUUACACAUCUCUUGCUGGAAUGCUAUGCCUUUCGAGGCCCAAAAUGGGAGGUUCGUGACAACGAAUUCCAAAGGCUUGAAUCUCUUGAGAUUGAAGACAUUGAUCUGGAGCAAUGGACAUUUCAAAAUUGUCAUUGCCUCCCUGUGAUUGUGAGCCUUCACAUCGCACAUUGCUACAAGUUAAAAGAGAUCCCUCUCACAUUUGGUAAAUCUCUUGUACACAUUACAUUAGUCGAAUGCAACCCUAUGGCUGUGAAAUGUGCAAUCAAGUUAAAAAAGGAGUGGGACGACAAAUAUGCUGGUCGUGAACGUUUCUUACGUCUUGAUGUUCGUUCUUCACUGUAACAAUGGGAACACCAAGCCGUGACCGACUCUACCAUAUCAUUGAUUCUGAAAAGGUUAGUCGUUAAAUUUUUAUAUCUAUCGAAAAUACUAAUAAUUUAGUCAAUGCCCAUUCAGGUAAAAGGAAUUAAACAACCAUAAAUUUUUUAGUAUUAAAUUUGACUUAACAUAUAUAUUUUUUUAUUAUAAUUUCAUCAUACAAUGAAUAUUACCAAAGAUAUACUCGGUAUAUAUGCAUACAUUCUCCUACAAAACAAUAGAAAUAGACAAUAUAGGUAUAUGGUUGAUGACACAUAUAAUUGGAUGAUAUAAGUUGCGUUUGGAUGAAACAGUUUGAAUUUGCUACAAUAGAGAUAGAUUUUAUUAUAGGGUAAAUUACGAAAACUCCCUGAACUUAGGCUAAAUAACGAAAGAAAAAAACCCACCUAUUCGUAAUUACCAAAAGCCCCUGAGGUUUGUUUCCGUCUUACACCAACCCUUUACAGUGUGAGUUUUCACGGAUUUUUUUGCAUCCAAGAAAUAGACUUUACAUAAUUUCGGAUAUUUUCUUUUAUUUAUCACCUAUUUAAUAGAAGGUAUUUAAAACUCUAUUAACAAUUAAUUAGAGGGGGAUUUCGGUUAUUACAAAUAGGUGGGGUGUUUUUCAUUAUUUAGCCUAAGUUCAGGGAGGUGUUCGUAAUUUACCCUUUAUUAUUUGAUUACUGAUCAAUGAAUUUGCUAUUAUGGAUUAAAAAAAAAAUUAACAUCCGAAAUCAUUGAACAUUCUCCUUUAUUACAGGUGUAUCGUCUCGAGAGCCGUAGGCUGAUUGAUCACGAGAGAAAUUACAUCGACAUUGUUUGCAUCAAGAAAUCGGAGGAACGUACUUUCAGUUUUGAGACGGACAAAUCAAAGCGUGUUUGAAUAUUUUGUUAAUGUUAUUUGGUGUGUUUAAUUUUUCUUGAUUGAUUUUUUAUUACAUCCUCAUCAGUUAUAUGUUGUGAGGUUAAAAUUAAUACUAUUGCGCAAUUAAUAAAGUGCACGUGUGUCGCACAUAUUGUCGAAUUUACAAGUUUUACCCGUCUCUGCCAAAAAAGGUAAAUCAAAGAUAACGACAUACAUACGAUAACCGAAGUAUAAGGAACAUAUAUGCUAGUAAGUCAUAUUUUCUAUCGGAAAAAAGCCGUGUUGAGUCUCUCGAUUUCAUAUUUCAAAGAACUAAAAAGCCCUCUGUUUCAUUACUUGAAGUUAGGUGUAAAAUUCUCCCCUUUGACAGUUUUUGCGGAGCAAAAUCUCACCUUAGAAAACACAUUGCAAAUUAUGAAAAGAAAAUCGAGGAAUGGUAUAAGCAUAUGCAGCCUCGAAACACAAUAUCAAACAUCAAACAAAACGAGGAAUGGGGGGUGUCUUUUGUGUAUUUAUGAAAUUCCUCUUAAAAUUCUACAUUUACAUGAAUGGGGGUAUUUUUUUUCUGAGUCAUGUGUGGUGCAAAUGCUAUUUUCCGUACAUACUAACUGGACAAACGGACGGAGGGACAAAAACAACAUAAAAAUGGCAUAUUUAGGGACGUAAAUUGUAACUUUAUCUUGUUUAGGACGAAAAUCGAAUAAGUGGUAUAGUAUAGAGAUGAAAAGUGUAGUUAUCCCUAAGAUGUUUUUGAAAGAAUCCCUAGUCUAGAGGUUUUAGCAAUCCAAAUAGAAAUGGCUCCCGACAAUUUUCCACCCUUGAGAUGCUUUUGGUCAUAUUUUCCAUCUCCAUAAAAUAAGGUCUCGUUCCUUCGGGAAGAUAAGAUUAGCCAACAUAAAAUUAAAUAAUCUAAUAAAACUCAAUUGUAUUAUUGGACAUUGGAAGAUCCAAUAAAAAACAUGCAUGCUUAAAAGGCGAGACAAAGUAUGAUAACAUAAUAUUUGCAGGUCGACCCAGUAAAUUAUUCAGGAUACCAAACAUCAAACAAAGUCUCUUUAUUUAGUUAAGGGUAAAUUACAGCCACCCCCUGAGGUACGGUUAAAUUACGAAAAAACCCCUCUUGUUUGGGUAAUUACAACCACCCCUCAACUAUGAAUUUUUGUACAUGUCCAUCCUUGUGGUGUCAAAUUUAGUGGAAUCUUCUAGAUUAUGUGGAAUAUUCUCCAGUUUGUAUCCUUUUUAAUAUAUUCGAGCUCCACAUUUUGAAACAAAAUGAUCAUAAGAUGUGUAAUUUGAUACGUAAAUAUCAUAUUGUGGGGCAUCAGAAACUGCAUUUUUGUACAAAACUAGUACAAACUAAAGAACACUUCACGGAAUCUAGAAGAUUCUGUUGAAUUUGAAACCAUAAGGAUGAAUGUGUAAGAAGAUUCAUAAUUGAUGGGGUGAUUGUAAUUACCCAAACAAGAGGGCAUUUUCAUAAUUUAACCAUACCUCAGGGGUGGCCGUAAGUACUAGAAUGUGUCACUGUGAAUCCCAUAUUGAAGACAGAGGUUGUAGAAAAUCUACAGCAAAUUGCUUCUUCAAAAGGUUAGUCAUUCAAUUUCUCGCAAAAUAUCACAUGGAAAUUAAUGAAGUACGUCAAAAUCGAAAAGAAAAUCGAGAACGACGGUAUAAGCAUAUGCCGUGUCGGGCUUCUUACACGAGUUGGGAUUGUCCCUCUCAGGUCGACCGACGACCCAUCGGCUGAUUGUAUUAGUUGUUUACUCUAUGUAGUGUGAUUUUCUAUUUUUUUUUAAAAGCUGUCUAGCUUAUACAUAAUAAAGAAUAAUGCAGUACAACCUGUAAGACAAGUUAAUUAGUGCACAUCUUUAUGGUUGACUCUUUUGUCACAUCUUUGAAGAGCAAUAAUUUCACAAACAAAUGCAAGAAGACUUAUUCCAGACUGAAAACUAUGUGAUAUCUUAGAGAGAGAGAGCAUUGAGAGAGAUGGCUUAUGGUGCUGUUGGUUGUCUUGAGCUGACAACUGAGCGCCUUUUAAAAUCAUCACAUAUUUCGAUUGUUCAAAAUUCAUCCCCACAAAUAAUUAACCUUCUGUACGAGGAGAUUCUUUCCUUAAAACUUUGGAGGCAGAAAUCAUAGAGGCAAUAUACGAAUUCGAAGAUGUAUUUGACUCUCAUCUCGCAAAUCAGUUCUAUUCACAAUCUGAAGAAGAGACCGGUGAUCCUCCAUUAAUGUUAUUCUCAGUAGAUCUUCAAGAAAUAAAGCAAGAUGUCGAUUCCUUUGUCGAAAGGAUGAACAAGAUGAAGAAGGCCUACAUUCAUGAGUUAUGCAACCCCUCGCCGGAAGAAGAUGAUUGUGUCGGCCCGUCAUCAAGGAUUGAUUUUGGUGGAAAUGAUCGAUGAUUAUAACAUGGUAGGAAUAUCUGAUCUAUUUACUGAAAUCAAAGAUCUGUUUGGAGAAAAUUCCUCACAAUCUGAAGGGAUAUUGACUGUCUCGUUGGUCGGGAUGGCAGGCAUUGGUAAGACCACUCUUGCCAAGAAACUCUUUCAAGAUCCAUCCAUUUUCAGUUGUUACACCAGACAUGUAUUCGUAACCAUAGGCCCUAAAUAUCGACUAGCGGACAUCUUGGUGGAUAUUCUGACACAAUUGAAUAAUCUUGCUACAAGUUAAAGGAGAUCCCUCUCACAUUUGGUAAAUCUCUUGUAUGCAUUCAAGUAGUCGAAUGCAACCCUAUGGCUGUGAAAUGUGCAAUCAAGUUAAAAGAGGAGUGGGACGACAAAUAUGCUGGUCCUGAAUGUUUGUUACAUCUUCAUGUUCGUUCUUCACUGUAACAAUGGGAACACCAGGCCGUGAGUGACUCUACUAUAGAGAAAUAAGAUAAAAUAAUACACUUUUUGAUUACUGCAAUUUUCUCUCUAUUCCACAUUACAUUGGCCUCAUACCUAUUUAUACAUAAUAAAGGCGGUGGUUUGGGAGCACUAAUUAAAUCCACCAACCUAAUUAAUGUUAUAGUUAAAAUUAGUUGGCCUAAUGAAGCUUCUAGUGAAAAGACUUCUGGAGAGUUUUCUAGAACAAUGGAGUUCUUGCUAAUCUUAACACUCCCCCUCAAGAACUACUCUCCUUCAAUGUGGAACUUCGGUUGAUUCCUAACUUUUUUCGAAAAUCUUCGAACUUGACGCCAUUGACUCCUUUUGUGAAUAUAUCUGCAAGCUGCUCUCCUGUUCUUAUGUGUUUGAUUUCAAUUUCUCCUCGUAGUACCUUCUCACGCAGGAAAUGAUAGUGUACUUCAAUGUGUUUCGUCCUUGCAUGAAACACGGGAUUCUCCGCAAGACGGAUUGCUGCCACAUUGUCACAGUAUAUUUGUGCAGAGGUGUUAUCAGAUUGCCCAAGAUCUUUCAAAAGUUGAUGCAACCAUGUGCAUUCUUGAGCUGCCAUAGCUGCCGCACGAUACUCUGCCUCGGUGCUUGAUAAUGAAACUGUGGGUUGUCGUUUGCUGCACCACGAGAUUGGUCCAGAUCCAAUAUUAAAGACAUAUCCUGAUGUCGAUCGCCGUGUGUUGUGAUCACUAGUAUAGUCAGAGUCACAAUAUCCAAUAAUCUCACAUUUCUCGCAUUUCUUGUACAGAAUCCCGUAGUCAAUCGUGCUUUUCACGUACCGCAAUUUUCUUCUUACAGCUUCCAAGUGAGGUUUUUUUGGGGUCUGCAUAAAUCGACUCACUAUGCCUACUGCAUAUGAUAAAUCUGGUCGGGUUAUUGUGAGAUAGAUGAGGCUGCCGACUAUUUGUCUGUACAUUGUAGCGUCUUCUAAUUCUUUUCCUUCGGCAGAGCAUAAUCGCGCAUUUACUUCGAUAGGAGUAGAGACAGGUUUGCACUCCGUCAUCCCGUAUUUUUCAAGUAAUUCCUUUGCAUACUUGUGCUGACACAAGAAUAUUCCUUCGCCGUCUCUUUCUACUUCAAGACCGAGAAAGUGUUUUAAUUCUCCGAGUGCUUUCAUGUGAAAACGUACUGAUAAGUUGGCUUGGACUUGAUGUAUUUCCUUCUCGUCGUCUCCGGUUAUGAUUAGAUCAUCCACGUACACUAGCACGAUUGCCUUCUUUCCAUUCUGAGUUCUCACAAAUAAACUUGAAUCUGCUCUGGAUAAGGAACUCCGCAAUUUUUCCAUACCAUGCUCGUGGCGCCUGUUUUAAACCGUAAAGUGCCUUCUUUAAUUUGCACACAUAAUCUGGAUCAGUUUUGCUCUCGAAGCCUUGAGGUUGUUCCAUGUAUAUUUCUCGAUCUAGUUCUCCAUGCAAAAAUGCAUUUUUCACAUCCAUCUGGCACAACUUCCAUUGCUUGCUUGCUGCGAGGGCUAGCAAAACGCGUACUGUAGUCAUCUUUGCGACUGGGCUGAAUGUUUCUUCAUAAUCGAUGCCAUACUUUUGCGAAAAACCUCGAGCCACCAACCUUGCUUUACAUCGUUCGAUUGAGCCAUCUGGCUUACUCUUUACUUUGUAGACCCAUUUGCAUGAUAUGGGCUGCACGUCUUUUGGUUUAGGUACCAAAUCCCAUGUUUCAUUUUGCUCCAACGCAUCCAUUUCUUCUUUCAUGGCUCUCUUCCACUCGUCAUUUGAAGCUGCUUCCUCGUACGACAUAGGCUCUUUUAUCAUGUGCUCCUCUACCAUUGCUGCAUUGGCAUAUUUUGGAUUUGGUUUUCGUUGCCUCGUAGACCUUCUAAGUUGUACCUCAUUUUCACGUGGUUCUUCUCGUGUCUCCUCAAAUUGACUCAUUUGUUCUUCUUCGUGAGUUUGGUGUACUCCAGUUUUCCAUGGUGACUUGUCUUUUUCCGGUUGCAUGGCAUCUACAUGUGCCUCGGUUGGUGAAUGCUCAGUACCUUCAUUUUCUUCGAUAUUCCUUCUCAAUUCUUCCUCAAUUUCUUUUGAAUCCGGUAAUGUUAUUGCUUGGGGCGACCACAAUGACGAUAACUCAUCGAACACCACAUUUCGAGAAGUAUAGCAUCUUCCUGUACUUGGGUCGCAACAUCUCCACCCUUUUCUUUCAUUAUCAUAUCCCACAAAUAUACACCGUAUUGCUUUCUUAUCAAAUUUAUUGCGUAGAUUGUCUGGAACAAAAACAUAGCAUACACACCCAAAUACGCGAAAAUGACUUACCGUGGGCUUAGUCUUCCAUAACUUUUCGUACGGCGAGACAAACCCAAGUGUUGCUUGAGGCAGCCUAUUAAUCACGUGGGCAGCAGUGUUCAUACAUUCUGCCCAGAAUCGUGGUGGCACAUUCUUCGCAUGUAACAUGCUCCUACAUGUCUCAGCAAGGUGUCUAUUCUUCCGCUCCGCCACACCAUUUUGUUGUGGAGUACUCGGACAAGUCAGUUGUCUACGUAUCUUACACUCCUUGAGAUAGUUUAUGAACUCCAAAGAUGUGUACUCGCCUCCGUUAUCGGUCCGUAGACUUUUUAUUUUAUAACCAAAUUCAUUUUCCACGUCUUCUUUAAAUUUCUUAAACUUGACUAGUGCCUCAGAUUUUUCUUUCAUGAAGUGUACCCACACGUACCUGGAAAGGUCGUCAAUAAAUGUGAUCAUGUACCGAGAGCCACCUAUAGAUGGUUGUUUCACCGGACCAAAUACAUCUGAGUGGAUUAGCUCGAGAUGAUCCUUUGCUCUGAAUUUUGACUCCUUGUAAGGUAGUUGGUGUGCUUUCCCAUAUUGGCAGCCUGCACAAACUGUACUCUCUCGAACAUCUAAUUGAGGAAGCCCCUUUAGCAAAGAUUUCGUUAUCAUGACCUUCAACUUGAGAUAGUUAAUGUUAAGUAUCUAUUUUUAUACUUUAUCGUACCUUUUUAUUUGAGCUUUUGGUGUGAUUUAACGAUAAUUGGUGCUUAAAAAGUUGAUUUAUUGUAUUUUAGGUAUAAAUUGAAGAAUUGGAAAAGUUUUGGGUCAAAACUGCAAUUUUGGAGAAAAUAUGGGCCAAAAGUGAAAUAAUCAAAAAUAUGAAGAAAUUGGCACGGGACGGCCGUCCCAAAUUUACCCCUAAAAAUGGGACGGCCGUGCCAAAUGCAGAAAUUGGGCAGAAGGUUUCGGCGAUUCUCGCACGGCCGUGUGAGAAUUGCACUGAUUUUCGCGCGGCCGUGCCAACACACGCUGGAGACAAUUUUGGACUUUUAAUCACACAAGGAAACCUAAAAUCAUCCACCAAGUUGGGACAUCUAUUUAAGCCCAAACGAAGCACGAAUUAGAGAACUUUUGACACAACCUUGGAGCAAGAGGAGGGAGAGAACGGAAGAACGAAGACGAAGACCUGACGAAUCUUCAUCACAAUUCUUCUUUCACCUAUCUUUUCUUGAAUCUAUGAAUUUUAUUACUUUUAUUAUGUUUUUCGUUAUGCGUAGCUAAGUUUUUAAUCUAGGAUUUUGUUGGAACCCUAUGUGGGGAUGGUGAACCCGUUUUCUUGAGAUUAUGCAAUUAUGAUUUUAUGAUUAUUUCUUCUACUUGUUAUGAUUGUUAGUGCAUGAACUUGAUCAAUUUAUGUGCUUUAUCUGUGAUUAUUGGGAUUGACUCGACAGAGCUAUUUUGAUAAUUAGACGGUAAGUAGAAGAGCCUUCGAGUAGUUUUCACCGGAUGAGUGUGUCAAUUGCAUGUAUUAUCGUAGACAUACAGAUAAUACCUUAGGUAGCCGUUUACGAGACUUGUUAUUUAAUGCUUUAUUUAUACUAGGUUUGCAUAGACAUAUAGUGAAUCUUUUAUGAAUAAUAGACUUAUAAUACAGCGACAGCUGGUUAUGAGUAAUUUCGUGUCUUGGGUUAAUAAUCGGGAAUCGUAACUUGCAUGAUAGAAGAUUAAUUGGGUGAAGAAUUAUCGCAUAGGGGGAAGAUAAAAUCCUAGAUCCGUUUUAUAUUGAUAUUUUCUCGUGCUUAAUUGCUUUCUUAAUUAGUUUAAUUUAUUUAGUUAAUUAAUUUGACAACCCUGAGUAGGCUUGAUAAAAAUCGUAAUUGUUAGAAUUUGGUACUUAGGAUUAAAUAAUUUGCGUAUUCCCUGUGGGAUCGACAUCCGACUCUCACGAGUCUACUUUACUACUUGUUUGCGAUACGUGCACUUGCGUGUUGGUAUUUAGCACCCAACAAGUUUUUGGCGCCGUUGCCGGGGAAUACGGCUAAAUUAUCUAUUUAUCCUAAUAUUAAAUUUGAGCAAUUUUUCUUACUUCAGCCGUUUUAUUUAUUUUAUUUAAUUAUUUUCUUUGCUUAUUAUUUUUUUUUUUUUAGGUACUUUUUAUGCGAAGAGAGCACGACACGAGCUUGCUACCUUUUGAUCCCGAAAUUGACCGAACGUUUAGGCACGCGAGGAAAAAUCAACGGUUAGCUCGAAACGUUCCCGCAACAAUGGAAGAAGAAAUUAAUCGUGGGGGAGAUGACCAAGGGCGUCUACCGAAUGCGGCAGGAAAUAUAAUCAACGAGCAAGAGCAACUUCAGCUAAUUAAUCCACCACCUCGUCAACGAGCAUUGCAUAAGUACACCGUUCCAACACUCAAUGGGUUUCAAUCAAGCAUCUAGCAGCCCCCCAUUGAAGCCAACAAUUUCGAAAUUCGAGCGGGACUCCUUACUAUGCUCCAAAACAAUGGAUUGUUCAGCGGAUUAGCUCACGAAGAUCCACAUCUCCACUUGGUCAAUUUUCUCGAGACGUGCGACUCGCAUAAGAUGAACGGAGUUUCACCCGAAGCACUACAACUCCGCCUGUUCAAGCACUCUUUACAAGGUGCAGCCCGGGAAUGGUUACAAACUCGUGCACCGCACUCCAUCUCGUCUUGGCCCCAGCUAGCACAACUCUUUAUGAACACAUACAACUCCCCAACAAAAACUGAGAGAAUCCGGAGAGAAAUACAAAACUUCUUACAAGAAGCCGGUGAAGCGUUGUUCGAGACGUGGGAGCGGUUCAAACAAUUAAUUCGGAGGUGCCCGAAUCACGGACUUCAAGAGUGGCGCCAACUGCAAAUAUUCUAUGAUGGAUUGCAAGAUAAUUCGUGAACGGUGCUCGAUUCAGCAGCUGGCGGUAUGUUCAUGAGCUUGACCUAUGACGAAGCUUACGAACUUUUGGAGCGGAUCGCAAGAAACAAAUACAUGAGGGCAUCGGAUCGGUCAAAUAGCGGAGCCAAUAAGACGGGAGGAAUUUUAGAGUUAGACGGGGUCACCACAAUCACCGCCCAGUUAGAAAAGCUAUCAAAGCAAGUAGCAGCUUUGCAGACUCAGCAAGUCCAUGCAGUCCAAGGUCCGGACCGACGCUUAGAAGAAACGGAGUCUAUAAAUUACGUGAAUGACACCAACCGACAACAGAGGAACCCGUACUCCAACACUUAUAAUCCGGGAUGGAAAGAUCACCCCAACUUUGGAUGGGGAGGAAAUCAGCAGGACAAAGGCCAGCUCCCGGAUUCCAAAAUCCGCCUCAAGCUUCACCCCAAGGAGUUGACCUCGCUGACAUCUUAGCAAAAUUCAUGACAUCGACUCAAGCAUCCAUUCGGAACCUUGAGACACAAAUGGGUCAACUUGCAACCCAGCUAACCGCGAGGCCAUCGGGAGCACUGCCGUCGAAUACGGAAGAUCCUCGAAAGAGCAACAUCGAGCAGUGCAAUGCUGUAAGUUUAAGGAAUGGGAGACAAUUGGAGGAAGCCCCACGAAAAAGGAAGCCCCACGAAAAGAGAAGAGAAGUACGGUAAUCGAGAAGACGAGUGUGAUUGGGGAAAAAAAAGCAACUCACGAAGAAUCACUAUCAUCAACAGUGAAAUCACGAGCCCCUCCAAUUCCAUAUCCUCAAACGUUUCUCAAGAAAAAGCUCGAUGCCGAAUACCAAUGGUUUUUGGACAAGUUGAAGGAGAUUCACAUAAACAUCCCUUUUAUCGAAGCACUUCAAAAGAUGCCAAAGUGGGUGAAAUUCCUCAAGGAUCUCGUGACAAAGAGGAAGAAAUUGCAAGGGAACGAGAUGAUCCAACUCACGGAGCAAUGCAGUGCAAUUCUUACACGGCCCCUUCCACAAAAACUCGGCGAUCCAGGUAAGUUCACUAUUCCUUGUACUAUAGGAGGUAAAAAUUUUAGAUCGCUCAUUGAUUUAGGAGCUAGCAUCAAUCUUAUGCCUUAUUCGACUUAUAAAAAUCUUGGGUUAGGUGAGAUUGAACCGACGGCUAUAACUCUUCAAUUAGCCGAUAGGUCUUUAGUUUACCCAAAAGGUAUUUUAGAGAAUGUGCUAGUAAAAGUGAACAAAUUUAUCUUCCCUGUUGAUUUCGUUAUACUUGAUAUAGAUGAAGAUAGGGAGAUACCUCUUAUUUUAGGGAGACCGUUUUUAGCCACGUCGAAAACUCUAAUUGAUUGUGUAAGUGGUGAUCUUACAAUGACGGUGCAUGAUCAAACGAUCAAAUUUAAUGUUUUUAGUGCUAAUAAAAAUCCAUGUAAUAAUAAUGAUUGUUUUGCUAUUGAUCUUAUGGAUUUUACAAAUCAUGAAAAAUUUGACGUUUCGAUCUUGGACCAUGGGAAAGCAUCUUUGAGUGCAGGAGAUGAUGGCGGAAACGGGAGUCGGAAGGAGCAAGUUAAUUUUAUGAACUCAAUUCAAACUCUUCCGGGAGAUAGUCAAAAGAGUUGGGGUUUUAAAGAUGAUGUUGGCAAGCCUCAUGACAUCAAGAAGAAUAAGCGAACCAGUCGAAAGAAGAAUCGGGUCAACCCAUUUAUUCAAGACUACCUCCAAAAGGAAGUACGGAGAUGGGUUCAAAAGCUAAGGAAUUGAAGAGCAAGAACAAAGUCUGGCUGAAGACUAUAAACUUAGCGCUUCUCGGGAGGCAACCCGAGAUUUUCGUUUUUUUAUUUUAUUUUAUUUAUUUUUCUUGUUUUAUUUUGUUUAUUUAUUUUAUAAGCAUGCAAGCUAAUAAAUUAAACGUGUUUUUAAUUUUUAGGACCAAAAAUCGCAAUUUUGCAGCUCAUACGGCCGUCCCAAAACAAGGCUUAAUUUCACACCGUGUGAAAAAUCUGGAAGCUACUGCCCAAUUUUGGCAAAUCGCACGGCCGUGCGGAAAAUAGUUCAAAAUCUCAUACGGCCGUGCGAAACUCAACAGAAGCAUAAUAAAGGCGAGGGUGGAAGAGCAGCCCGGACACGGCCAAAACGACUUAUUCAGGUGUAUUCUAUCCUUGAACUUCGUGCUAAUUACAUUGAGGGCAAUGUAAAUUUUAAGUUUGGGGGUGAAAAAUUGCUUGUUUUUAUGUGCUUUAAUUUUUUAGUUUGCAUGCCUUUGGAUUUUUUAUUUUUAUUUUAGUUGUUUUAGUUUAUUUAUUGCUUUCGAAAAAAAAAUUGCUUGAGAUAAAUGCUUUGAUGAAUCAUGAUGAUGAAAGAUGGUCGAUGUUUAAUGAUGAAAUUGCUUGUUUUAUCUUGAUUUUGAUCGAAUUUUGGUGAGCUUUUGAUUCAAAGUGUCGUAAGAAGGAGUCAUUGUUAGGAAUCUCGAAUUAUGCGUUGCUUUGGUUGAAAGUUUUGUGUUUUAAAAUUUGAGUUAAUUUAUGUUAUAUCAUAUGUUAUUCGGUUUUAGAACUUGUCUUAUGAAUUUACAAAGUGAAAUAUUAAAUUGUUGAGCAAUUUGGGAAGUGAUUUGGGCCAUCUUUGAACCGUUUGAGCCUUUCAAGCCUACCUUUAAAUUUUUAUCAUUCGAACCUUGAUUGAGCCUUGGAGAAACGGUGUUCUUUCUUUUAGCCAAUGUGUAUAAGGUAGAAUAAGUGGAGAUUUUUGAAAAAUUAACCCUUGGAGUUCGGUCGAAAUUUUUUUAUAAGGUCCUUCUUCUUCGAAAAAAAGAGAGAAAGAAAAUGAAGAAGAAGAGACUAGAAGGGGAAGUAAGGACUAGUUGUUGAAUUGUUUUGAAAGCUCAAUCCAUUGUCUUAAGAGCAAAAGUGGAGACUUUUGAACUCUUAAGAAUCGAGUUUAUUAAAGUCCUUAGAGGUGAAUUCAUUGUUUCAAACGCCUAUCUAUCAAAAUUUGGCGUAAUCAUCUCAAUUCAAGAAGCAUAGCCACCUAUACCCGUAUCUCCUACCUUGAACCAAAAAGCCCAACAUUUGAAAGCAAAAAAAAGUCCCAAUGAUCCCAAUAGCUCAAUUAUUUGAUACUAGCCGAGUAAAGAAAUUUUGUGAGUAUUUGGAGUUGAAUAUUAAUAUGUAAGUAUAAAUUUUGUCAAUUUUUAAUGUACAAAUAUGGAAUACUUGAAGCGAUAGCAUGGUUUGUGGUUUUUAGCAAUGGCGAGUGAAUACGUAUCUUUGAAUUACGAGCUUGUAAAUUUUUGAGGAUUGUCAUGAUAAUUGCAAGUUCUGAAAAAAUGAAAGUUGACCAUUAAUCUAUGUGAUGAGAGGCAUUUGUUGAGAGUGUUGCUGUGAAAGUUGCUAGUUUUUGCUUGAGGACAAACAAAAGAUCAAGUUUGGGGGUGUGUUAAGUAUCUAUUUUUAUACUUUAUCGUACCUUUUUAUUUGAGCUUUUGGUGUGAUUUAACGAUAAUUGGUGCUUAAAAAGUUGAUUUAUUGUAUUUUAGGUAUAAAUUGAAGAAUUGGAAAAGUUUGGGGUCAAAACUGCAAUUUUGGAGAAAAUAUGGGCCAAAAGUGAAAUAAUCAAAAAUAUGAAGAAAUUGGCACGGGACGGCCGUCCCAAAUUUACACCUAAAAAUGGGACGGCCGUGCCAAAUGCAGAAAUUGGGCAGAAGGUUUCGGCGAUUCUCGCACGGCCGUGUGAGAAUUGCACUGAUUUUCGCGCGGCCGUGCCAACACACGCUGGAGACAAUUUUGGACUUUUAAUCACACAAGGAAACCUAAAAUCAUCCACCAAGUUGGGACAUCUAUUUAAGCCCAAACGAAGCACGAAUUAGAGAACUUUUGACACAACCUUGGAGCAAGAGGAGGGAGAGAACGGAAGAACGAAGACGAAGACCUGACGAAUCUUCAUCACAAUUCUUCUUUCACCUAUCUUUUCUUGAAUCUAUGAAUUUUAUUACUUUUAUUAUGUUUUUCGUUAUGCGUAGCUAAGUUUUUAAUCUAGGAUUUUGUUGGAACCCUAUGUGGGGAUGGUGAACCCGUUUUCUUGAGAUUAUGCAAUUAUGAUUUUAUGAUUAUAUUUCUUCUAGUUGUUAUGAUUGUUAGUGCAUGAACUUGAUCAAUUUAUGUGCUUUAUCUGUGAUUAUUGGGAUUGACUCGACAUAGCUAUUUUGAUAAUUAGACGGUAAGUAGAAGAGCCUUCGAGUAGUUUUCACCGGAUGAGUGUGUCAAUUGCAUGUAUUAUCGUAGACAUACAGAUAAUACCUUAGGUAGCCGUUUACGAGACUUGUUAUUUAAUGCUUUAUUUAUACUAGGCUUGCAUAGACAUAUAGUGAAUCUUUUAUGAAUAAUAGACUUAUAAUACAGCGACAGCUGGUUAUGAGUAAUUUCGUGUCUUGGGUUAAUAAUCGGGAAUCGUAACUUGCAUGAUAGAAGAUUAAUUGGGUGAAGAAUUAUCGCAUAGGGGGAAGAUAAAAUCCUAGAUCCGUUUUAUAUUGAUAUUUUCUCGUGCUUAAUUGCUUUCUUAAUUAGUUUAAUUCAUUUAGUUAAUUAAUUUGACAACCCUGCGUAGGCUGGAUAAAAAUCGUAAUUGUUAGAAUUUGGUACUUAGAAUUAAAUAAUUUGCGUAUUCCCUGUGGGAUCGACAUCCGACUCUCACGAGUCUACUUUACUACUUGUUUGCGAUACGUGCACUUGCGUGUUGGUAUUUAGCACCCAACAGUUAACAUGCCCUAAUCGCGCAUGCCAUAGAUCCGAUGUUUCAUGGCUUCGAGUUUUAUCAACAUAGGCUUUUUGAGCUGACAUCACAUAGACGGAUUCUACUUUUCGUCCUUCCAUAAGAGGUGUACCAGUUACCUUGAUCUUUGAAUAUAACUUCACGUCAUUGGGCCCAAAUAAUACAUAAUUUCCCGACGCCGUUAGUUGUGACACUGAGAGUAAAUUCUUUGUCAUACCUGGUACAUGAUAUACAUUUUGCAAGUGUACUUGGCCCGGGCUGUGGCGAGGUGUAACCACUGUUCUACCAACAUGGGUAAUUGGUAGCUUGGAAUUAUCAGCCGUGACUACGACUCUUCCUCCUUCAUAUUUAGACAUGCUCAGUAGUUUUUUCCUAUCUCCAGUCAUGUGAUUCGAACAUCCAGAAUCUACAAUCCAAUCAUCAUCAUAAUUGACCUUUUUCAGGCUUUCCGUGACGAGUGCAGGUUCUUCUUCUAUGCAAGAAAGUGCCAUUGUCUCAACUGGUUCUACGUAUAAUGCUUCGACGGCAAACGAUGCUUGAAAAUCCCAUUCUUCUUCGCUCUCAUUUUGAGGGCAUAAAGAGGUCGCUAUAUUUCCUUCCUCCCGUUUAUAUCGGCAAUCUCGUGCAUAGUGAUUAUUCCUCCCACAGUUGUAACAUUGAUUAUUUUUGCGACGUAAUAUCUUUUCUUUUGAUUCAGUUUGGCCCUGUAGUCCUCCCCCUUGCCGUGGACUUCUUUCUUGUGGUCUUCUAUCCCACCUUCCUAGGUUUUCAUUAGAUCCAUCGUUGUUAUAUCUAGCACUUCUUUGCUCUUUUUGGCUAUAUCUUCUUCCACUGAAGAGAGCCUUCUCUUCGUCAUUGAUCGAGGUUUUAGACAUUUGUUUAUCUAAGGCCUCUUGAUUCGCCAAUAUAUUCUCCAACUCAUUUAAUGAUGGUUCUUGAGCCCAUUCGCGAGUUGCCGUAACCAAACCAAGGAAUUCGGGCCGUAAACCAUGAAUAAUAAUUCUUCUUAUCCUCGUCUCAGUAAUUGAAUUUUGAGAAUCUAGCUUCGAAAUUUCUGAGCAUAAAGAUUUUACUUUGGUAAAGUACUCACUUACCGACGAGUCAUGUUGCGAGAUCGACAACAACUCAUUCUCGAGCUGCUGUAGCUUGGCGUCAUUUGUUCGAGCAAAUAUACCAGAGAGAGUAUCCCAUGCUUCCUUUGGUGUUUUUGCAUCUUUGAUGCGGUGCAGUAAGUCAUCCUCCACGGCAACUGAGAGAGCAUACAUUGCUUUUCCGGCUCGAACCUUCCAUUUCUUUAGUUCUUCUUCUUCGGUUGGUGGUUGAGUCUCGCCUCCUCCAACAAUACUCCAGAGAUCUUGUCCAAGCAAGUAAAAUUGCAUACGGAUGCUCCAUGUAUUGUAAUUGUUGUUAUUCAAUUUUUCGAUUCCAUUUACCGACGUCGCCAUAUCUGUCAUUGUAACGUAGUGAAUCCUAACCAAGUAAGCUCGAUCCCUGAUCUAUUAGCUUCACAGUCCCUGACUGCUUUUUGACGGCACUUGGACGUGGCAAAGUAUUGUAAGCAGCACCUCGAAGACGAUCCCAGAAAGCCUGCUCUUGAUACCACUUGUAGAGAAAUAAGAUAAAAUAAUACACUUUUUGAUUACUGCAAUUUUCUCUUUAUUCCACAUUACAUUGGCCUCAUGCCUAUUUAUACAUAAUAAAGGCGGUGGUUUGGGAGCACUAAUUAAAUCCACCAACCUAAUUAAUGUUAUAAUUAAAAUUAGUUGGCCUAAUGAAGCUUCUAGUGAAAAGACUUCUGGAGAGUUUUCUAGAACAAUGGAGUUCUUGCUAAUCUUAACAUCUACCAUAUCAUUGAUUCUUCAAAAGGUUAGUCGUUAAAUUUUUAUAUCUAUCGAAAAUACUAAUAUUUUAGUCAAUCCCCAUUCAGGUAAAAAGGAAUUGAACAACCUUAAACUUUUUAGCAUUAGAUUUGAAUUAAUAUAUAUAUAUAUAUAUUUUUAUAAUUAUAAUUUCAUCAUACAGUGAAUAUUACCAAAGAUAUACUCGGUAUAUAUGCAUACAUUCUCCUAUAAAACAAUAGAAAUAGACAAUAUAGAUAAAUGGUUGAUAACACAUAUAAUAGGAUCAUAUAAGUUGCGUUUGGAUGAAACAGUUUGAAUUUGCUACAACAGAGAUAGAUUUUAGGGUUAAUAGCAUUUUGCCACCUGUACUUUGCCCCUUUUUGCACUUUGCCACCUUAACUAAAAAAAGUUGCACAGGCACACCCAAACUUUCAUUUUUGACGCACAUAACCACCUGGGGCGAAUAUUCCGACGAAUCUUCUCAUAUUCCGGCGCACGUGCGUUGCACAUGCUUAUUUUUGGGUUUUUUAGUCUUUUCCACUCCAAAAAUUAGUGUGUAUGUUAUUUUCUCUCUUUCUUUCUCCUUCUCUCUCUUUGUCUCUCUCCCUCAUACGCACACACAUACACACAUUUAUUCUCUAAUAACUGAAUAUUUCUACUCAUGAAAUUUAAUUUGAUGCUUUCUGGAAUUCACUUUGAACUAUGAUUCUCUCUUUCAUAUGAGUUUAUCUCUAAUAAGUUUGACUUGGAGAACAUUGUUAACCAUUUCUUUUUUUAAUUCCUUGUCUUGGUCAAGAAUUUUUGUUUUUACGAUUGAUGCUCUGGUUCUCCAAAAAAAAGAAUUCAUCAUGAGCAAGAAUUUAUUCACAUUUCUCAUCACAAAGGUUAUGAUUUAUUUGUUUCUUUACUCCUUGAAUAUUAAGCCCAACAAAAAUUGGAAAGAAAUCGAAAAUAUUCGGUUUUCCAAACAAAUCAACAAUCUUUGGUGCCACGACCAGAAACUCAGACGCAAUUCCUUCAUCCUCUUCACCUAUAGACUUCCCACCCCACAACAUGUUCAUCAUGACCUUUAGUUUGGUUCAGAAAAUCAAGGGCCCAAUUUCGACGGAUUUUUCAUCAUGGUCCUUGCUAAGAUUAUAGAACGAGUCGAGACCUUUGAUGUUCAUCAUCUCUUGAGCGAAUGCUUUUCUCAUCGCUCGCCACUUAUUGUUUGCACCAUAAGUGGCAACAAUUGCUACAGGAAUGUCCCGAUGAGUGAAAAUGGAGUCUUGAUCUCGAACCACCUCUUUUACAGCACACCUUUUGUCCUAAGAGAAAUCCUGAAUAUUGUACCAUAUUUGUGCCUCAAAUCUGUGAACUUUUGAAAUAAAUUGUUGCCAAGAAAUGAAAAAUAUCCGAGGAUUGGAAUCCCAAGGGGACCUGGUGGCAAGGGAGGAUUUUUAUUUCCGCUUCGUUUGUACGAGUGUGCGUUUGAGAAAAAGAAAGAAAGGAGAGAGAAAGAGAGAGAGGAGAAAGAAAGAGAGAAAAGAACUGGGCCCACAAUUUUUUGGAGUGGAAAAGACUAAAAAGUCCUUACAUUAGGCAUGUGCAACGCGUGUGCGCCGGAAUAUGAGAAGAUUCGUCGGAAUAUUCGCCCCAGGUGGUUAUGUGCGUAAAAAAGUGUGCCCGUGCAACUUUUUUUAGUUAAGGUGGCAAAGUGCAAAAACGGAAAAAGUACAGGUGGCAAAAUGCUAUUAACCCUAGAUUUUAUUAUAGGGUAAAUUACGAAAACUCCCUGAACUUAGGCUAAAUAAGGAAAAAAAAACCCACCUAUUCGUAAUUACCAAAAACCCAUGAGGUUUGUUUCCGUCUUACACCAACCCUUUACAGUGUGAGUUUUCACGUAUUUUUUUUUUAAUUCCAAGAAAUAGACUUUACACUAUUGCACAUAUUUUCUUUUAUUUCUCACCUAUUUAAUAAAAGGUAUAAUAGAUUGUACAAAUUUUCUGUUAAAAAACUCGGUUAACAGUUAAUAAGAGGGGGAUUUCGGUUAUUACGGAUAGGUGGUGGUGUUUUUCGUUAUUUAUCCUAAGUUCAGGGAGGUUUUCGUAAUUUACGCUUUAUUAUAUUACAAAUUAAUUUAUUUGAUUACUGAUCAAUGAAUUUGAUAUUAUGGAUUAAAAAAAAAUUAGCAUCCGAAAUCAUUGAACAUUCUCCUUUAUUACAGGUGUAUUGUCUCAAGAGCCGUAGGCUAAUUGAUCACGAGAGAAAUUACAUCGACAUUGUUUGCAUCAAGGAAUCGGAGGAACGUACUUUCAGUUUUGAGAUGGACAAAUCAAAGCGUGUUUGGAUAUUUUGUUAAUGUUAUUUGGUGUGUUUAAUUUUUCUUGAUUGAGUUUUAUUACAUCCUCAUCAGUUAUAUGUUGUGAGGUUAAAACUUAAAAUUAAGACUAUUGCGCAAUUAAGAAAGCGCGAGUGUGUCGCACAUAUUGUUGAAUGUACAAGUUUUACCCGUCUCUGCCAAAAACAUGUACGCAAAGAUAGUUACAUAUACAUACGAUAACCGAAGUAUAAAGAACAUAUAUGCAACAGUAAGCCAUAUUUUCCAUCGGAAAAAGCCGUGUUGAGUCUCUUGAUUUCAUAUUUCAAAGAACUAAAAAGCCAUCUGUUUCAUUACUUGAAGUUAGGUGUAAAAAACUCCCCUUUGACAGUUUUCGCGGAGCAAAAUCUCACCUUAGAAAACACAUUGCAAAUUAUGAAAAGAAAAUCGAGGAAUGUUAAUGCAGCCUCGAAACACAAUAUCAAACAUCAAACAAAACGAGCAAUGGGGGGUGUCUUUUGCUUAUUUAUGAAAUUCCUCUUAAAAUUCUACAUUUACAUGAAUGGGGGUAUCUUUUAUGGUCAUGUGCGGUGCACAUGCUAUUUUCCGUCCAUACUAACUAGACAAACGGACAGAGGGACAAAAACAACAUAAAAGUGUCAUGUUUAGUGACGUAAAUUGUAACUUCAUCUUGCUUAGGGACGAAAAUAGAAUACGUUGUAUAGUAUAGAAAUUGCUAGUUUUUAUUCAAUACAUGUUCAUGGUUUAACGAAAAGGAAAAAAUGUCCAUUUAAAAUUUGUUCAUUAAAAUAUUUAACUAAUGAAUGUGAAAAAAAAAAAAAAAAAAAAACCCUAUCUACUUAUUUUUGUCUCUCUUUAAAUAAAUCUAAAUAAAUCCUAUUAGUAUUAAAACGGGAAUGAAAAGUUUUUCUUUUUUUCGCGGAAUAAUUGUUUUUUAAUAAAUUAAUUAUUUUAAUUUUAAAACCCAACAAUAAAUUAUACAUAAGAAUAUAUUUUGAGUAUUGAGUGUGGCAUUAAAGAAGACACUGCAGUAAAAAAAUUCAAUCUUGCCAAAUUGAAUAGAGUAUUACAAUAUUAUCCCUUGUAGACUUCAGCAUUAAGUUUUGUGUAUAGUGGACCAAGUCAAAUGAAUAAUACGUGUUGUUUACUAGUUAAUAGUUAGCCGUUUGUUUAUAGGUGGCAUCAUGCAUGUGCAUGGAUUUCUCUAUAUAUAACUUGAGCUUGUAAUGUAAAUAGAUCAUAUCAGAUAAUAGUUUUGCUAAAGAUUCCUAUAAACACCACUUUCGAUAUUUUGUUAUACAGUAGAUGCUUUCAAUUCUCACAAACAUAUUUAUGUGCUUGUAUUGUACGAGACCAGUUGGUUCUUGUUAAAUUGUAAAGCUAAUUACUGUUCUUCAAUAUAUUAUAUACAUAUUUCGUUCUAUAUUUUAUAUUUCACAACACGUUAUCAGCACGAGCUUUUGCUCUACAAAAUUAUAGGUUUGUAAAAUUUAUCUUCUUGUUGUACCAUUUCUACUUAUUUUAUUUUACGAUGGCCGAAAUCGAAAAACAAAAAUUUCAAAUCCUUGAUGUUACCGGCAGUAAUUUUUUAUCCUGGUGCUUAGAUAUCAAAUUACACCUCCAAGGGCUAGAUCUUGUAAAAGCCUUGGAUUGUGUAGAUAUCAAGGAGGCAAACAGGAAAGAUGAGGCAAAUGCUAUGAUUUUUAUCCGCCAUCAUCUUUCUGAGGAUUUGAAAGACGAAUAUAUACAACUUGAAAGGCCAUCAGAGAUAUGGCAAAAACUCAAAGAAAUGUUUGAUCACACAAAAACUGUGAUUCUCCCACAGGCCCAAUAUAAUUGACAGCACCUAAGGCUGCAGGACUUCAAAUCUGUUGCCGACUAUAAUUCGGCACUGUUUAAACUUGAGUCUCGAUUAGCCUUGUGCGGAGUUAAAAUAUCUGAAUAUGAUAAAUUGGAAAAAACUUUUUGCACUAUGCAUGCCUCGAACUUGGUGCUCCAACAGCAAUAUAGGCAGCGCCAGUUUAAAACAUAUUCGGAGUUGAUCUCUGUACUCCUCACAGCAGAAAAAACAAAUGAAUUGCUGUUGAAAAAUCAUGAUUUACGACCAUGUGGGUCCCAAGCUGUGCCUGAAGCACAUGCUAAUCAAACUAGAAAUAUGGGCCGAUUUAGAGGCCGUGGGCGUAAAUUUUGGCGUGGUGCACGCAGAGGUGGUGGACGCGGUCCCCCUCAAGAUGCCCGAAAUAAUGACCGAGGUGGAUAUGAAUAUCGCCGUCGAAAUAAUAAUAAUACGGUCUGGCAGAGACAACCAUUUCAGGCAAAACGCGAUAAAGGCAAGAUGCCCGCGGAGAGAAUUCCAGAAAAUGUGUGUAUUAGAUGUGGAAUGACUGGACACUGGGCCAAAGUUUGCAGAACCGCCCAACAUCUGGUAAACCUGUACCAGGACUCAAAAAGAGAUAAAACAAAAAAUGUCCAGACACAUGCCACUGAGGCAGAAAUGCCACUUGCUGUUCUUGAAGCCAGCACAUCUGGGAGCAUCCUUGAUCAAGAUCCUGCUCAAGAUGGAGCCUCUCUUGAGUUAUCAGAUUUCUUUACAGAUCUUGAUCCUCUUGUGUAAAUUGCCAUAUGAGCAUCUAUUUUGAGUUAUUUUGUACUCACUAUGUAUACUUUGUAUAUAUCUCUCUGAUGAUGUAGUACCCGAGAUUGAGCUAGUUUGUCUUUUGAUGUAUCCAUGUACAUAUCUCCCUUGGAAGUUAUGUUCCCGAGGUCGAGCUGAUAUUUUGACUAUGUAUAAAAUUAUGAGUUUGUUAUUAUAUCAUUUGCAAACUAUACUACGAUUCAAUAUUAAUUUUAUGUUAUUUAAUUCAGGCAAACAUGGAGAACAUCGACAAAAGAGAAAAUUGCCUACUCGAUAGUGCAACUACACACUCAAUAUUCAAUAAUAAAAUAUAUUUCUCGAGUGUGACUUUGUGCAAGGCACAAGUUAAAACCAUUGCAGGUUCCGCGGAAAUAAUAGAUGGCUCCGGGAACGCAACAAUUGUGUUGCCUAAUGGUACCACUUUGCAUAUUGAAAAUGCAUUGAUAUCAGGUAGAUCAAAUAAGAAUCUACUGAGUUUUAAAGAUGUGAGACGUAAUGGAUAUCAUUUAGAGACACUGGUUGAAUAUACCGUGGAAUGUCUCUGCAUCACAUCAUAUGUUAUGGACAAAAGAAUUGUUCAUGAAAAACUCGAAGCGACAGCUUCUGGAGUGUAUUGUUUCGAAAUUAGAGCUUUCGAAUCCUAUGCCACUAUGCCAUGGAAACUUGUUAAUCCCGAUAUACACGGGUUAUGGCAUGAUCGACUGGGUCACCCAGGAACGACAAUGAUGCGUAGGAUUGUACAACAUACUAAGGGACAUCCAUUAAAAGAUACAAAGAUCUUAAUGUCCAAUGAAUAUUUUUGUGAAUCAUGUUCACAAGGAAAGCUCAUUAUAAAAACUUCCAUCGAAAAAGUCGAUUAUGAAUCACCAUCGUUUUUACAACGUAUUCAUGGUGAUAUUUGUGGACCAAUACACCCUGCAAGUGGGCCAUUUAGAUAUUUUAUGGUUUUGGUGGACGCAUCUUGUAGAUGGUCCCACGUAUGCUUAUUAUCUACGCGAAAUGUUGCAUUUGCGCGUUUGCUAGCACAAAUUAUUAAACUCCGAGCACAUUUCCCUGAUUAUCCCAUUAAAAACAUAAGAAUGGAUAAUGCCGGAGAAUUUACAUCAAAAACUUUUGAUGAGUAUUGUGCAGCACUGGGAAUAAAUGUCGAGCACCCAGUAGCAUACGUUCACACUCAAAAUGGACUGGCGGAAUCUUUGAUUAAACGCGUCCAAAUAAUUGCUCGUACUUUGCUGAUGAGAUCUAAACUUACUAGUGCAGAAUGGGGCCAUGCAGUAUUGCAUGCAUCAGCACUGAUUAAAUUACGCCCCACUGCUUAUCAUAUGCAUUCCCCAAUGAAAUUGGCAUUAGGCUUUGAGCCCGAUAUUUCGCACCUUCGCACAUUUGGUUGCGCUGUGUAAGUGCCAAUUCCUCCUCCUCAGAUGACUAAAAUGGGUCCCCAACGCCGACUUGGCAUAUACGUUGGGUUUGAUUCACCGUCGAUUAUUAGGUUCUUAGAACCAAUGACGGGUGAUUUAUUUACCGCUAGAUUUGCGGAUUGUCAUUUUGAUGAGACAUUAUUUAUACCGAUUGGUAAGGAUAUUCAGAAUAUCCGUGAUAAUGAUAAACAAAAACCAAUCGAGAAUCUCACAUGGUGUGAGCAACGCUUAUCUCAUCUCGACCCACGUACCUCUGAAUGUGAAAAUGAGAUCCAUAGAAUCAUUUAUUUACAAAAUAUUGCCAAUAGACUUCCUGAUGCAUUUAAUGAUGCAAGUAAAGUUACGAAGUCUUAUAUUCCAGCUGUGAAUGUUCCAGCUAGGAUCGCUGUUCCUGAAGAACAUGCGAAAAUGAAUGAUGAUCCCCCACGACAAAAAUGGGGUACACCUAUUGGAUCAAAGGACGUUGUUCCUAGAAAAAGAAAGGGGAAAAUCGAUGAACCCUCGAACCAAGUGGUUCUUACUGAGAAUGCUCCAGAUGAAUCUGUUGAGCCUGAUAUUGAAAAAACGAUAUCAAAUCCCGGGAAUACCGAGAAUCCCAUAAGUUAUUGCAAUGAAAUAUGGGAUAGAAAUGAGAUAAUCAUCGAUAAUAUUUUUGCAUUCUCGGUUGCACAAGAAAUUAUGUACGAUGAUUAUGAUAGUGAACCGCGUUCCAUAAUGGAAUGUCGCCAAAGAAAUGAUUGGCCUAAAUGGGAGAAAACAAUAAAAUCUUAAUUGGCUUCCUUAGAAAAACGGAAAGUAUUCGGGCAAAUCGUUCAAACUCCGGAUAAUGUAAAGCCCGUUGGGUAUAAAUGGGUAUUUGUCCGUAAGAGAAACGAGAACAAUGAAAUUGUAAGAUAUAAAGCCCGCCUUGUAGCUCAAGGUUUCUCCCAGCGACCUGGGAUUGAUUAUGAUGAGACGUAUUCACCAGUGAUGGAUACGAUCACUUUCCGUUUUCUUAUAAAUAUGGUCGUCCAAGAGGGACUGGACUUACGUCUAAUGGACGUUGUAACGGCCUAUUUAUAUGGUUCACUAGAUUCUGAUAUCUUUAUGAAAAUUCCCGAUGGAUUUAAAAUGCCAAACUCCGGCGCUCCUCGUAAUCUGAUUUAGUAUUUACACAUAAAUAUUUACAUGUAUAUUAAUGAUUCUACGAACAUAAGUACAUUAACUAUACUAAGAAAAAUAUUAUUUUAGAUCAAACCCUUAAUUUUAGUUUAUUGUAUAACCUACAUUUGUUCAUAAAAAAAUAUUCUUUAAAGCGGCUUAAUCCCACUUUGCACCCUUGAAAUGGGGCAUUUUUGCACUUUACACCCUCAAAACACAAUAAAUCAUUCACAAUGCACCCUUAGUUGAAUAAUAAAGGAUAAUUCAUUUUUUAUUGAGUUUUGUUUUAUCUGUGUGCAAUUGUUAUUUCUUCAAUUCCAAUCUAAUUUCGAGUGUACAAAGUGCGAAAAAUAAAAAUCACACCGUAUAAUUGAAAAAAAAAUUAUAUUUUAUGACAAAAUAAAAUUAAAUAAACCUUUAUCACUAAAUUAUUCGAUCGAUAGACCUUUUAUUCUAAUUGACGGAAAUAUUAUGUAGAAAUAUUUGAAAGAAAAUAUGAUUUUUAGAUAACUUGAUAACGAAGUAGAAGGAUUUUUUUUCGUAAAAUAUUUUUGUGAUAAAAUUAUAAUUUUUAAAUACCAUACCACUAAAAAUAUUAAAUUACAUUUAUUAGCUUUAAAACCUCAUAUGCAUGAUAUAUUGUGUUUCGUGAGUGCAAAAUGCUAUUAAUCUUUUUGUUUCUACCAAGUAUUUUAAUCAAUUACAAUAUAAGACCAAAUAAUUUAGUGACAAAAUUUUGAAUUUAUCUUUUUGUAAGAACAUACAUUUUUUUAAGUAAUUCGGUGUGAUUUUCAUUUUCGCAUUUAUGAUCGAAAUUCGGUUGGAGGUAGAAGAAAAUAACAAUUUAAUUUGUUAUUUUGCACCCUGGAAAUAAAAAAAAAAAUUAAAUUGACCUCGUUAAGUUUAAAUUAUUCAAUUCAGAGUUCAUUGUGAAUGAUUUAUUUUGUCUCGAUGGUGCAAAGUGCUAAUAAUUCUUUCAAGGAUACAAAGUGUCAAAUGCUAUAUUUCAAGGGUGCAAAGCGAGAUUAAACCUUCUUUUGGUCGAAUUUGGUGCAUUGGAUGGAUGUAGGAAAUGCCUUUUUUUUCUUUUUUUUUCUCUUCUUCGUCAGCGAUAAUUAUGUAAAAACAAAAAAAAAAUGAAAUAUUUUUAUUCCAUUUGACAAAGCUUUUCUCUCGGAUUGACACACCUUAAUGUUAUAUAUAUGGACAAGUCAAAUUUUUUAUUCAAUUCCAUUUGGAUGAUGUUUGUAAUUAAGAAACUUAAAAAGGAAAUAAAUAAAUGAAAGGAUUUAAUGAAAACCUCUUUUUCGUCCAACAUCAGUGUUGAAUGUCGAUGAUGUCGAGAAAUUCAAUAUCAAUUACAGCUCCGGUCUGUAUUUCUUUAUCACUUUUGCCUCGUGAAACCCCAUCAAUGGAAUCAGAGUUGCGAUUAACCAAACAGACCAAAUUCAACUUUAUUGCUCGAUAUCAAAUAGCCUCGGAUCAAGUUAUAUAUAAUCAAUUUCAAUAGGUGAAUUAGAUUAAAAAAAAAAUAGAAGCAACAUAUGAGAGCAAUAUGACUGCAUGUAAAAAUUACUGCAUGAUUCGUCAAGAGAGUGUGAUUUUUGAUGUGUAGAAUAUAUAAAUUGUCGUCUUUGUCUAUCGAACUAUGGAUGAAAGACGAUCUUACCAUGCUCAUAUUUAAGCAAAAACAUAUUUUUUCUAAUAUAAUUGCAGUCAUAUUUCAAAGAAUGCUAAUUCAAGAAUGUUAAUUCAGGGUUACAUAGAUACUUGUCUAAUGACAAGACAGUGAAGAGUCUCUGGAAAUUAUGACUAAUAUGAGAAGGAGAUGUUUCAUCUUACUUUUAGUAACCUCUAAUAUAAAUUGGUAUAAUUAAUAGCUCAAUCAAUGUGUGUUAGUGCAUUGGGAAUGGGUUGAAGAAAUAGAUCAACCGUAUGCAUAUUUGAUUAUAACUAAUUAGUAAUAUUACAUAGCUAUCCUUCAAAUAUGCCUAUGUAAAGGGGCAUUUUUGUCGUUACAAAAAAUGGAAGAAACCCACUAUCAUUCAUACUUUUAUAGAUAGUAUAGAAGUAUAGAUAUAGAUAAUUCGAAAUUACUAGUGGAGGCAUGAAAAUAGCAAAAAUUACGAAACAACUAUUUUAUAAUAGGAGUUAAGUGCGAUUCAUACCGGUAACGAGUUUAAAAGGAAAUAGUUAGGUUUCAUAUUACAUCACCAAAAGAAAAUAACCAAAGGACUUUAGCAUCGUUCAUAGGUCCUCGUACAACUCCCAAAAAAAUCCCGAGCAAGACCUCGAUUCGCUACUCGAUCCAUCCCGGUUGAGGGUUACUAGCACUACUACCUGCAAUUAAAAGACAUCUAUAUGAGCUAUAAAGCUCAGUAAGAAAUCCGAUGAAAUAUCGAACUUUGAAAAUACGUUAUACAUAAUAUAUAAUAUUAUAUAUCCAUUCUUACCCACAUUCCAAACCACAACACAAGACAAUCGGUAAAAUCACAUAACUCACGAAAACACAUCAUUCGCGCAAAAUCACGUACUUAUGCAAAAUGACUAAAAUGCCUUUUUUUAUGAAAAUUGUGAAAAACACAUUUUUCGUGUUAUCGGAUCCGUGAAAGAUUAAUUUAUGUACCUGGAUAAUAAACCUGUUACGAGCCCAUUUUCACUAAGUGGAAUCAAACCACAACACAUGAUCCUAGUUGGAUACCGGCCCUCUAUAUCCAAGUUGUUUAUUACCCAAUAUUCCAUUAAUCUUUCAAUUUGAAAACCAUUAAAUGCAACUUUUCAAAAUCAUGCUUAUGACCCACACAUAACAUCACAAAUAUCAAUCAAGUGCCACCAAAUCACACAAAUAUCACAAUUCACCACAUAUUUAUAAUUUGGGCAAAAAUCCCCAAAUUCACACAUAUAAACACACAACCACACACGGCACACACCACAUGCACAUUCAGCACACACACACUCACACAUAUUCAGCAUACACACAUGCAGCCAACACAUUAAACAUCACCAUUUAACAUUAAACCAUUCUUGUAAAGCAAGCACCCCUUUUUCACCUUUCAUUUAAUGAAUUAAUUACCACUUCUAGGUAAUAAUCCAUUCCAAUAAAUUCCAGCAGUAAUAAACACAUCCAUGCAGCCAUUUAAGGUAUAAAAUCUCAAAUCUCAUCCCUCAUAGUUAUUUAAUUAAAGAUAUGAAAGUAAAGGCACAAACAUAAUAAAUGACAUGCAAAAUGUCCUAAUUCCGAAAUAAUAGCAAACUAAUUCCAAAAAUUCUCAAAUUAAAUCCUAGAACUCCAAACUGAUCCAAAUUCCAGAUUCUGAAAUUUAUUUUAAAUUUGCACAAAGUUUCAAAUUUUCUUGAAAUUAAAAACUAGAAAAUUGCCUUUUUCUUUUAAAAAUUCAAAACUCUAAUAUAACCUCAAUUACUUUGAAAACCUUUGUAAAGAAAAUUUUCCCCAUUUAAUACUUGCUGGAAAAAAAGAUUCAAACUUUACAAAUGAAGAUUUUUCGGAAAUUGCAGUUUUGACCCCAAAGUUUCAAGAUUUAUACAUGCAACCACACUAGAAGUUCAAAAUCCACUUUUUCGUGAAAAACCCCUAACAAUCUGAAAUUUUACUUUACUAAAUGCAGAAAACAAAGUUAAAAAGUUACUUUAUGCAGAAAUUUCGAAAAUUAUAUAUUUUACCCCAACAUCUCUAGAUCUAUGCAUGCAAGACCACUAGAAGUUCAAAAAUCACUUUUUCUUACAAAAUUUCUUUAAAUCCGAAAUUUUUGUUCGAUAAAUGCUGGAAACCAGUUUUGAAAACACAUUUACGACAGACUUCUCAAAAAUUACAGAUUUGACCCAAAACUUCUUAAGAUACACAUGCAACCCCAUAAAAGUUCAAAAUUCAUUUUUCUUGAAACCCCUUUUUGAAAUCCGAAAUUUUCAAUGCUUUUGGCCAACAAAAGUUGUAUUUACCCACUUACAACAUAGAUGAUGCAUGCAAGAACAAGAAAUCAACAUUAAACACCUCUUUUCCAUUUUUCCCCAAAAAGCCCUAAAUUUUCAAAAUCACUCCCAAUCUUUUAAAUUUUUUUUUGAAAACUAUUUUAAUACUAUUGAUGCCAUUUAAUUGCAGCACGAAAUCGGAAUUUCUUACCUUAAAAUCGAAGAGAAGAAAACAACCGAAGGAAGAUAGGCUUUCAAGCACUGAAAUCUAACCAAGCUACUUUGAUUGUGAAUGAAAUAGUGUGAGCUUCAAGGAGGGAUGAGUUGUCAUCUCCCGUAAGGAGGCAAGUAGUUUUGAUGGUGUUUUUGGUGUAGUCUAUAGCAAGGGUUAAAUAGGGGACCUUCAUUUUAUUUUUGGGAUUUUCUUGAAAAUGGGAGUUUGAGGUGGAAGAAGAAGAAGGCCGAUGGUGGUGGUGGUGAUGAAUUCGGUGAAGAGAGGAUGAGGAGACAAGUAAGGUGUUGAGGUGUUGAAAGGGAAAAUAUGAAGGGUGUCUCUUCAUCUUACUAAGUAGGGUGGAGUGUGGGAUUAGUACUAAUCAUGGUUAAAUGCCAAGUGGAAAGGCAUGCAAUAUUUCUUAAUUUUAUUUAUUUAAAUUAAAGCACAACUUGCACUCUCACACACACAUUUUCGGACAUAUAUAUAUACUCAAAUAUAUAUAAUGCAUGUAAUAGUAUGUAUAUGUGUAUAUCUAUAUGCAUGCACAAAAUGUACAUAUCUAUGCAUGUGUAUAUAUAUAUAUAUAUAUAUAUAUAUAUAUAUAUAUAUAUAUAUAUUUGUAAUUCACAUAAGUUAUCAAUCACAUUUCAAAAAUAAUUUACCAAAUAAUCAAGGCACGUAAUUAUUCAUAUAAGUCACGUAAUUCACGAAAUUCCUAGAAUUUCAAUUUACCGGAAUGAUACUAAAUCGCGCAAUUCACACAUAUAUAUCUACUCACGAAUUUCACAAAAUGAAAUCACCCCAUUCCAAUAAUUAAAUAACGCAUGUAAGUAUUCACGUAAGUCACAUAAUUAGAUUUACGUAAUGCAGAUAAUUAAUAUCAUGAAAUAAUAUUAUCUAAGGAUUCUUGAGUUAGAAAUAUUAGUUUCGGGUUUUAGGGUUUUCGGAUUUUGGAAAGGUGGGGUGUUACACCACUCUCUUUAUUUGCUGGAAAUAUAUUUAGAAGCAAAAGAUUUCUUUUAUAUUCUAUCUUUGGAAGAAAUUCCUUUAUUCAAAAAUCAAACCUGCUUUGGAUUGAAGUUUGGCUGAUUGAGACUCUAUCUCUUUAUUUUGGAAACCCUUCAAUCACUUUGCAAUCAACCAAUCAAAGAUUUAUAAUAAUUGUUGUCUGUCCGGAAGAUGCUCACUUCUGCCGGAAGUUGUUCUGCUGAAAUUUAUUUAUGUUGAAGAAAGUUUUGUUCUUGAUUUCAAAAUUCAAAUGCUUUCCUAUUUGAGCUGAUCUAAUUGAGUCUAAUCAAUCAUAACCUCAAUCAAGUCAAUCAAGAAAAUCAAGAUUGAUGUUUUUCAUUCAGAAGAUAGAGGAGCUCACCUAUAAAUAGUGAUCGAAGUCAUUCAAGUAAUGUACGGAAGUGAAAUUCGAAAAAGAGCUGAAAAGAGUUGCUUGCUGAAAAUUUCAAGUCCUACCUCUCGUUGUUCAUUUGAGUCCAUAUUUUGAGUGAGGAAUUUUUUAGCUAUUAGUUAGCGCAUUCAAUUCAUAUUGUGAGGGUAAUAAGCAGGUUGCCCCUAAACUAAGGGUUGAUUUGCACUUCGCCCCUUUGUUUGGGGGACAAAAUGCAAAUCAACCUUAAUUUAGGGUGCAAACUGCUUUUUACCCUUCUUGUUAUAUUCUUGCUCAAGUUAUUUUUAUAUGCUCAACUCUUGAGACCUUCAUUCUUAUCAAAAAGUACUGAAUAUAACUGAGCCGCAGCACAUUCUUAUAUAAAUGUGAAAAUUACACUUUUCAUCCCUCCAGUACAUGAAUUUAACAUUUGGUCCCCCAUGUUCAAAAAAACAUAUUUGACCUCUCAUGUUUCAAUAAUUUAAUACUUUUGAUUCUUUCCGUCAAAUUUAUGUUAGUACUAACCGAAUCAAGCAUGUGUCUUAACUGACAGACUGACGGUAAAUUGAGGGAAAUGACUAAAAAGUCAAAUUAUUAAAACAUGAGUGACCGAAUGUGUUUCUUGUGAACAUAGUGACCAAAUACAAAAUCAAUGCAAACUUGAGGGACGGAAAGUGAAAUUUUCCCAUAUAAGAAUGAAGCACUUGCAGAAGCCAUUAAUCUUAAUUAUUUUCUGAAAAUUAAUGCUUACUUGCAGUGAGGCAUAUGAUAUUACCAACAGCUUAAUCAUCUCCCAAAAUGGUCGGAAAUUAUAUAUAAACCGAAAAGGAGUAGUAUAUUAAUAGGAAAAAAAACAGUUCUGUCCCUCAAGUUUACACUGAUUUCACUUUUGGUCCUCAAUGUUUACAAAAAACACAUUUAGUCCCUCAAGUUUCAAAAAUUCAAUAUUUUUUAGUCAUUUCCGCCAAUUUUCCGUCAGUACUAACGGAAUCAAUCAUGUGUACAUCACUGCCUUAACUGCCGGACUAACGGUAAAUUGAUGAAAAUGACCAAAAGUGUUAAACUAUUAAAACAUGAGGGACCAAAUGUAUUUUUUGCUAACAUAGAGGACCAAUUAUAAAAUCAGAGCAAACUUGAGGGAUGAAAACUGUAAUUUUCGCUGUAUUAAUAUAAUGAAGAAUAAUACAAUAUCACAACCUGUAACUAAGAUAAGUUAUAAUUAAUGGCCAACUUGGAUUAAUAUGUAAAUAUUAUUUCAUAUAGUUGACUCUUUUGCACAUCUUUCCAGAGAAAUAACUUCACAAACAUAUGUUUAUGAAGAAGACUUCUUUUUUACACAGAGAGAAAGAGAGAGAGAUGGCUUAUGGUGCUGUUUGUUGUCUUGAGCUGACAAUUGAUCGCCUUUUGAAAUCAUCACACAUUUCCAUUAAUGUUCAAAAUUCAUCCCAUCAAAUCUUAAAGCAUCUGUACGAUGAGAUUCUUUCCUUAAAAGAAGCUCUCGGAGAAUUCGAUAAAAGGAGGAGCACCAUUAACAUGAAGAUGGUCAAAACUUUGGAGGCAGAAAUCAUAGAUGCAAUAUACGAAUUCGAAGAUGUAAUUGACUCCCAUCUCUCAAAUCAGUUUCAUUCACCACAAUCUGAAGAAGAGACUGAUCAUCCUAGAUUAAUGUUAUUCUCAGUAGACCUGCAUCAAAUAAAGCAAGAUGUCGAUUCCGUUAUCGAAACGGUGAACGAGAUGAAGAGGGCCUACAUUCACGAGUUGUGCAACCCUUCGCCCGAAGACGAAGACGAUGUUGUGCCGUCAAUAAAUUAUUUUGAUGGACAUAAUGAGUCUAACAUGGUUGGGUUAUCUCGUUUAUUUACGAGAAUCAAAGAUCGGCUUGUAUAUUCAUCACAAUCUGAAAGGAUGAUUGUGUCGCUCUAUGGGAUGGCAGGCAUUGGUAAGACUACUCUUGCCAACAAACUCUUUCAAGAUCCAUUCAUUUCCAAUAGUUACGACAUACAUGUGUUCGUCACCAUAGGCCCAAAAUAUCGAGUAGCGGAUAUAUUGGUAGAUAUUCUAACACAAAUGAAUCAUGCUGAUGACAUUAUGCUUAUAGAAGGAGAAAAAAAAAUAGUUGAGUUGAAACGAAUGGUGUUUGAAAGUUUAAAUUGUUGGAGAUACUUGAUUGUGUUGGAUGAUGUAUGGGAUAAAGAGCUAUUUUCUGAGUUGGUCAACUUAUUUCCAGACCAGAAAAAUGGAAGUCGAGUAUUGUUGACAACUAGGCUAAGAGAAGUAGCUCAAUGUGCUAACUAUUUAAGUACUUUGAGAAUACCCUUCCUUGAUAAGAAAGAAAGUUGGGCUCUUCUUCGUCACAAGGUGUUUGAUGAAAUGCCUGUUAUUUGUAGUGGUUUUCGAGAUAGGAAUUUUGAAGAAAGAAUUGAUAAACAAUGAAAAGUCGAGGCAAGAACUUUGUUCUCUCUCCUUAAGACAAAAUUGCCCCGCAACAGUGCUUCGGUUUCGGCAAUUGUCUCCCAAGAUAAAACGACUUACAGUUCCAACAGAGCAGCACAACAACUGCUGGAACACAACGAACGAAAAGACGUUUUGGACUUUUAUUGACACGAAAGAAAGAUAUUAUGCAGCGAAUAUGCUUAUGCUUAUGAAUGCUUGGAUGAUUGAGUGAGAUUGCUGGAACACUUAGGGCUGUAUUUAUAGUUUUCAGAAAGUUGUGUUCCAAAAGACACAACUCUAGAAAAUGAAAGGAGCUGAAAAAGCAUUGUGUCUUUUCGCAGGGGUUACACACCAAUUCGUGUAUGAUGCUAGAUUAAUUAAUUAAGCCCAAAAACUUAAUUACUUCUAGGCCCAAAACCGACCCAACUCCAAACCAAACAUUUCCUUCGUGUAUGAUGCUAGAUUAAUUAAUUAAGCCCAAAAACUUACCCAACUCCAAACCAAACAUUUCCAAAGUCCAAAGUCCAAAGUCCAAAGUCCAUCGGCCUCGGGCUCGGGCUCGGGCUCGGGCUCGGUCCGGGCGGGCGGCGGCGGCGCGCGUGUGGCUUGGUACUUGAUCCCUCUCUUGAUUAUACCUCUAGCUAUCCAUUUGACACUAUUUAAAGUGUUCUCAUUAAUGCUUUUUUCGUGAUGUGGGACAAGUGACUUUUCACCUCCCACCAAGCCCUUUGAGCUUACUUUAGCUCAUUGAAGUACUUUACUUUGUGCAUUUAUUUCUCAUUCAUCCCAUAUUGGAUUUGAGCAUUUAAACACACUACAAUUAUCUACUCGAAGAGUAGAUUUUGUUUCCCAUAAUUUUAUACUUCAAUAUUUCCCACAUUUGAGGUAAACACCUCAAUUUUCCAACAAUGCCUUGCCCUCAUGAACUCGAGAAACCUGGAAAGAAGAUUGCUGAGAAUUGUGAAGGUCUUCCUCUUACAAUCAUCACGGUUGCCAAUAUCCUAUCAAAAGCCGACAAGACAAUAGAGUACUGGAACGAGGUAGCGGAUGAUAAAAAAAAUUCAGUAUACAAGGAUGCAUAUGAUCAAAUGUCAAAAGUACUUUAUCCUAGCUAUGACUACUUAGAUCAACAUUUAAAAGCAUGUUUUCUCUACCUUGGAUCUUUCCCACAAAAUCAUUCGGUACAUGGAUACCAACUAAUCAACUUGUGGAGUGUUGAAGGAUUUCUUAACCCAAAUCCGACGCAUUACUCAGACGCAACCGUGGCUUUCGAAAAAGGCACCUAUGCUUAUUUGGAUGAGCUUCAUUCGAAAAAUGUUAUCAUGUACCAUAAAGAAAAACACGGUCAACACCUUCAUUCAUCCUUUUGGUACAUGUGUAACAAAGAAGCUGCCAAGACCAAGUUUUUCUAUGCCUUCAAUUGUCGUGCCGAUGCUUUACCAGAAGAAGGUAUAAAAUAUCAACGCAGAUUGUGCAUUCGCAAUAAUAUUCUAUUUGCCAUUGAAGAUGUAAAAGAUUCAAUGGCAUCUGCUGCAACGGUACGCUCUCUCCUCUGUACCGGUGUUUUUCAAGAAUAUCCUGUACCGUUGUGUUUGGAACAUUUAAGGUUGCUCAGGGUAUUGGAAGCUAUUUCUAUUAGAUUUUAUGAGUUCCCAAUGGAAGUAUUGAAACUAGCUCAGUUAAGAUACCUCGCCCUCACUUAUGAUGGAAACCUCCCUACUUCUAUUUCCAAACUCUGGAACCUCCAGCACUUGAUUGUUGAUCGACAUCUAAGCAUCAUAAAGUCUGGUGGGAAUUUAUCAUAUCUGCCUAUUGAGAUAUGGAAUAUGAAAGAAUUGAAGCAUAUUCAGACCAUGGGAAGCAACCUACCACAUCCUUGUGAAGGAUCUCUCCUACCAAACCUAUUAAAACUAAGAGAUGUUGGUCCUCAAAGUUGUACCAAAGAUGUGCUUCAAAACAUCCCUAAUAUGAAAGAGUUGGCAAUUAAAAUCGAACUGCCUCCUGAUGCUACUGAGCCGUUGAGAUGCUUUGAUCACAUUUCUCAUCUCCAUCAACUAGGACAACUAGAAUGCUACAUUAUGAAUCCUAUAUUGAAGACACAGGUUGUCUCCCCACUUGCUCCUCUUUCAGACUUGCCAUCUAGUCUUACGAUGUUAACUUUGAGCGGCUUAGGAUAUCCGUGGGAAGAAAUGAACAAGAUUUCUUCGUUGCCAAAUCUGAGACAUCUCAAAUUGAAAUGCUACGCCUUUCGAGGCCCAAAGUGGGAAGUUCACGACAACGAAUUCCAAAGAAUCGAAGUUCUUAAUAUUGAAGACACCGAUCUAGUGCACUGGAAGUUUGUGACGACAAGUUCUUGUUUUUAUGAGAUUAAGUGGUUUAGCUUCGAACAUUGCUACAAGUUAAAAGAGAUCCCUCUUUCAUUUGGUACGUCUCUUGAAUUCAUUGACGUAGUUGAAUGCAACCCUAUGGCUGUGAAUUGUGCAAAGAAGUUAAAGAAGGAGUGGGACGACAAAUAUGGCGGUUAUGGACGUCCAUUAGAUCUUAAUGUUCGUUCUUCACUGUAAUGAUGGGAUAUUGGGAUGACCAAAACACUUUACUAUAACAUUGAUUCUUUAAAAGGUUAGUCAUUCCAUUUUUAUUUCUAUCAAUUAAUGAAUUUUGAACACUACUAAUAUUUUAGUCCACACAUUCAGGUAUAUUGUUUCAAGAGCCACAGGAGAAAUUACAAGAGAAAAUUUGAUCACACGAGAAAUUACAUUCAGCAUUGCUUGCAUCUUGGAUUUGGAGAAACGUACUUUGCAUUUUCGAACCGACCAAAUAAAAGCGUGUUUGAAUAUUUUGUCAUCCAUUUCUUGAUAAUGUUAUUUUGGUGUGGUUGAUUAAUUUUAGGGUUUUUUUGGUUUUUUUUUUUCUCUUCUUUUCUUUCUUUCUGUAACUUUUUUUUUUCGUUUACACAACAAUAUUGUUGUGAUUGACAGUAAUAUUAACUAUCUUACUGUUAAACACAGUAAAAUUAACUAAAUUACAGUUUAGCACAGUAAUAUUGUUAUAUUAAUCUCUAGCACAGUAAUAUUAACACAACAAAACUCAUUAUUAUUGUGUAAUAGAGUAAUAUUCCUAUAUUGACCGUUCAACAAAUGUAAACAUAAUAAAAAGCCAAAAGAAUUAAUAUUACUGUGAGUGACAGUAAUAUUACUAUAACAACAGUAAUAUUACCAUCAACCACAGUAAUAUUACAAUAAUAGACAGUACUAUUAUUACGUUACUCCGUGAAUAACUCAAAAAAAACAAACAAAAUACAAACAAAAUAAUAAUAUUGAUGUGGUUGACAACAAUAUUACUAUAACAACAGUAAUAUUACCGUCAACCACAGUAAUAUUAUUGUGUUUACAGUAAUAUUACAAUAAUAGACAGUAAUAUUAUUACGUUACUCCGUGAAUAAUUCAAACAAAGCAAAAACCCCAAAAAAACAAUAAUAUUGAUGUUGUUGACAGUAAUAUUAUUGUGUUUACAGUUAUUUUACUGUCAACGACAGUAAUAUAAUUACGUUGACUUGUCAACAAAUCUAACGAAAUAAAAAAAAUAACAAAAAAUAAAAAAUAAUAAUAUUACGUUAAUUUACUGUCAACGGCAGAACAAUUACAUAAAUGUAUUGUCAACGGCAGUAUAAUUACGUUAAUUAACUAUCAUUGACAGUAUAAUUACGUUAAUUUACUGUCAGUGACAGCACAAUUACGGUCAAUGUUUAGCGACGGACGUAAAAAAAAACAAAAAAAAAAAAACUUAAAAAACUCUAAAAAAAGUCAACGCCGGAAACCGGCGAAAAAAUCCGGAAGAAAAGAGAAGAAAAAAGAAAAGAAAAAAAAAUGAAAAAGUCAACGCGGGAAACCGGCGAAAAAUCCAAAAGAAAAAAAAAUUGAAAAGUCAACGUUGGAGGCUGGAAAAAAAAAUUUGGGGUCAAAUUGAAUAAUCUGUAAAAUUUAGGGUCAAAUUGAGGUUAAAUUAAGUUAAGGAUGAAAUUGUAGCAUAUUAAAAAUUGGGUAUAAAGGGUUGACGGUAAUAUUUGGAUAUACAUGAAUGUUUUCUUUAUUUAUAAUAAAUAUUAAAGGGAUGAGCUUAUUGGUGAAAGAGAUAUAGCCCAUGAACCUAGAAUAAUAGAGGUGUAUGGUUGGAGACUUUAUCACAAAAAUCCCUUAUAUUUAAAUCAAAGUGGUGAAAAAUUAAUUGUUGAGAAAGUGUGGAUUAUUUCUAGAGAGAUUCUUGUGCCUAAUUUUUAUAGCUCGUCGGCCUCGUCCAAUUGCGCACCAUCCAAUUUUAAAAUUUGAAUGCUCAUGUUGCAAUUAUAGAAAAUAUAUACAAUUAUAUAUAUAUAUAUAUAUAUAUAUAUAUAUAUAUAUAUAUAUAUAUAUAUAUAUAUAUAUAUAUAUAUAUAUAUAUAUAUAUAUAUAUAUAUAUAUAUAUAUAUAUAUAUAUAUAUAUAUAUAUAUAUAUAUAUAUAUACUAGUUGAGGAGCACCGCGCAAUGCGCGGUGCCGGUGCCCUGUUUAUAUAUUUGCAAAAUGUGUUUUGUUUAUACUGGCAUGAGGAAAAGAAGAAACGGGGAAGGGAGAAACCACGGGCAACAGGUGAAAAGCAAUUCAAUUUCCCCAAACCACGACAAAAAACGAACCUAAACUGAAACCGAAACCGAAACCGAAACCAUGAGAUAAGGAGCAUGCUUACAAAAUAAAAAUAAUUUCCAGCGUGUAUUUAUGCAAGUUACAUAUUAAAAAGAAGGCAUAUAUGGCACCCAACAGAAGUUGUUUUUGCGUAACUUUAAGUAGACAUGAAACACAGAGCCCAAAACAUAUGUUCGCUUCUAAACAACACCGAAGUUGAACCAAUCUACAAAUCACAUAUCGCCUAAACUAAAACCAAAACCGAAACAAAAACCCAAAACAUGAGAUAAGGAGCAUGCUUACAAAAAUAGAAAUAAUUUACGAUAGGAAGACAAAGUUUCUCACCUGUAUCCUAUUUCAAAAAAUAACAUCAUACUGCACAAACGCCAAAGCAGUUGAUCAUCCACACAUAUAACUUCUCACUUACCUCGUUCCUGCUCCCCGGACAGCACAUCGGCAAGUUUCUUCUCCCCAUCAGCUGCUGCUUCUUUUGCAUUGCACAAAAAAAAUCAGAAAUUAGCGAAAGUUUACUGAAAUAAAUUCAAUUGAACUUGAUAUGAUAAAUAUACCGAGUAAUUUUAUAGAACAAAACAUCUAUGUUACUCAAAUGACUCGUGCCGAAUUUUCAUUCCAGAAAGACAAACAAAAGCACUUGCAUCAAACUAAACAAGAUUUAACUAUUCCACACACACACAAAAAAAAAACUAAAGCAAAAGGAAGCUCAUAAGAAAGAGAAGACAGACUUUACAAAGUACGAAAAAUUAUUAGAAAAAACAUGAAAAACUCUGAAAUAUAAACAAAGGACAGUGGUAAUGGCGGACGAGUCUGGGAAGAAAUUAAAUUAAUACAAAGAACAAUGGAAUCGUUCCAACCGAGAGUUGUGGUUGGUUGAGCAACGCUUGCUUGUAAAAUAAAAUCGAUCGAAUCAAUACCAAUACAUAAAAAUUGGGAGAACUGGAGAAGAACAAGAGGAUUAGAAAGAAAAUAGGAUGAGUACCAUGAGUGAGAUCGGGUUGGAGAAAAGGUGAGAUUGGGUUGGAGAGAAGGGGUGGGCACCGACAAUAUCUGAGUAAUCCAAGUCGGAUGUGAUCGAGAAGGGGCAGUGGUCUGCAAUUGGGCGAAAAAUGCGGUGGAAAGUGAUACUGACAGCUGGGGCGGUGGCCUCGAACGAAGCGGCGGCGGCGGCGGCGGCGGCGGCGGAAGACCUGUUUGAGGGCGGCAGCGGAGGGCUGCGGUCAGAGUCAGCAAUUGUAGGCCCGUGCACCAUCGUUCAACACCUGGAUGCACGCCGUUUCUACAUUCUCAUUUCCCUUAAGAUAGCUACUCAAUAUAUAUCCUGCCAGCAAAUCAAAUAUGUCAUGCCGUCAUUUAGGAGUAUUUAAUUCAACAUGAACAUUGUAAAGAACUCAAAUAUUUCAAAGAAAUGUUGUAUAUAUCUGACGAAUUUAUAAAGUAAGGCCUUGUUUCGUGGUAAGAUAAGUAAAUAAAAAAUUAGGUCUUAUUUAGUGAAAUAACUUGUCGGCCCGGCCAGAACGUUUGUGAAACGAGCUCUUAUCUAGGCUUGGAGGGUGUUUGGCUAAGCUUUUAAACAGUUGAUAAGCUCUUACAUCUGAUAAGAUGUUUUUAGAGCUGAUAAGCUGUUACAUCUUAUUUUUAUGAUUAAUUUAUAGAGUGUUUGGAUAAUAAGCUUAUUUCCUAUUUUUACUCAUUAUAAGAUCUUAAAUAAAAAGGUGGGGUAGAUGUACUUAUUUAAAAAGAUCUUAUUUGGUCUCCAACAGCUUAUUUUUAAAAAAAUUAAGAUCUUUUUUUAAAAAUUUACCAAACACUUUAGAAGAGCUUAUAAGCUCUAAAACAUCUUAUAAGCUCUUUUUAACAUCUUAUAAGCUUAGCCAAACACCCUCUUAAUCUUAUAUUGGGAACCAAACGAGGCCUAACAAGAUAAAAUUAAUAUGGAGCAUCAUCAAAUCCCACAGCAUUAGCACAAUUCAUACUAAUUAUUACUGAGGUAAAGGAAAUUAAAAAAACUGAAGUUUUGGUGUACUCUUAAAUAAAAUGUUUAAUCGAAUACUCGGGUGCAAGAAUAGAACUCCGAAUCACACAACACAGCGUUUGGGUACUACUGACAGGCAAAAACAAAGUCUCCACAGAACAGCUAAAAGGCAAAAAACUAAUCUCAAGCCAUUAUUUUAAUUCAGUGUUAAUACAAAUAUAUUAUGAUUUAUGCCCAAUAUUUUCAAUUUCGGAAUGCAUCUGAAAAAUAAAGGCCUGAUAUAUGUUGUACAAAUUGAUUGUGACCAGUAUUACACUCUCGAAAAAAAUCAAUAAAUUAUCAAACAAGGAAUCAGCAAAACAGAAUUUCCAGAAUAUAUGUUUUCAGAUUAGGAGAUAGUUGAAAAACAUUUUACACACACACACACAACGUACCGUAUCGACGGAGGCGGCGUCGAUAAGUAUUCGCCGGAGAGAAGAAAGAUCCCCACCACGAACCCAUUUUCAAUCAAAUUGAAUGAGAGUAAUCACUGUUCAAAUGCCCAUGGAUUUGUAGAAUCACAGUAUCAAUUAAAUCUAAUGAAAUCCCAGCUUUAAUAGAUUCGAGCAGCAAAUUAUUAGAAAAAACAUGAAAAACUCUCAAAUAUAAACAAAGGAUAGUGGUAAUGGAGAACGAGUCUGGGAAGAAAAUAAAUUAAUACAAAGAACAAUGGAAGCGUUCCAACCAAGAGUUGUGGUUGGUUGAGCAACGCUUGCUUGUAAAAUAAAAUCGAUCGAAUCAAUACCAAUACAUAAAAAUUGGGAGAACUGGAGAAGAACAAGAGGAUUAGAAAGAAAUAGGGAGAACUGUAAAAUAAAUUAAAAACCUUUACAGCUGCUUAUUUGAUAAAUAGGUCUCCUUCUGUGCCCUUGAAUGGGGAAUUGCCUGAAUCUAAAUGGUGUGGUAAACCUGUUGAUUCAUCAAAUUUGAAAGUUUUUGGCUGUACUGUAUUUGUUCAUCAAAAGCUUGAUAAACUUGACCCCAGAUCUGUGAAAUAAGUUUUCUUAGGAUACCCUGAAGGGGUCAAGGGUUAUAGGUGUUGGUUGUAUGGUGAUUAGGGUUUUAAAACUGUGAUUAGAAGGAAUGUUGUGUUUAAUGAAAAUGAAUUUCCAUGCUUAUCUGUUCCUAAUGUUGUUUCACCUGAUACCACUUCCACUGAGGUGGAGAUUCCACAUGUUAAUUAUGUUCAAACUGAAAAAAAAAACUCUGAUGAUGAAGUUGUUAAUAAUGAGAUGCCUGAAAAUACUGUUUUUGAUCAAAAUGUUAAUCUUGAUGUGCUCUCUGUGAAUGAUCUUGGUGAUUACCAACUUGCUAGGGACAGAGAUAGAAGAAACAUUGUUAGGCCUCAUCAUUUGAAUGAUUACCAACUUGCUUCUCAUGUGUUUCAUGUGUUUGAUUCUCUAGAUGGUAAUGAACCUAAGUCUUAUAGGGAAGCUUUGAAUUCUAAUGAGUCUGUUGAUCGGUUAAAUGCUAUGAAUGAUGAAAUGAAGUCUUUACAUGUUAAUCAUACUUGGAUUAUUGUACCUAAACUUCCUACAUGCUCUUUAGUUGACUGUAAGUGGUUGUUUAAGGUUAAACAUGAGUCUGACUCUGUUAGAUACAAGGCUAGGCUAGUGGCUAAUGGGUUUACCCAAAAGGAAGAUAUUGAUUACACUGAAUUAUUUGCUCCUGUUGUGAAAUUCACCACUGUUAGAAUCAUGCUUGCUUUAAUUGCUCAUUUUGACUGGGAAUUAAAACAAAUGGAUGUAAAAACUGAUUUUCUGCAUAGUGAAUUAGAUGAGCAAAUAUAUAUGUGGCAGCCUGAGGGUUUUAUUGAUAAAAAAUAUCCUGAUUAUGUAUGUCUGUUAAAGAAAUCUUUGUAUGGACUGAAACAGUCACCUAGGCAAUGGAACAAGAUAUUUGAUGCAUGCAUGAUGUCUUUANNNNNNNNNNNNNNNNNNNNNNNNNNNNNNNNNNNNNNNNNNNNNNNNNNNNNNNNNNNNNNNNNNNNNNNNNNNNNNNNNNNNNNNNNNNNNNNNNNNNUGCUUAUAUUUUAAAGAAUCUUGCUAGUCCUUGCAUUCCAAACUGUUAAUCAUGUGAUUAAAUGCAUUAGUGAUGAGUUUGAUAUGAAACUUCUUGGUGAUGCAAAAAGAAUUCUUGGCAUGGACAUAAUCAGAGAUAGACCUGGCUGUACUUUAUUCCUGAAUCAAUCCUCCUAUAUAUUGAAAAAAUUCUUGAUAAAUUUUCUAUGUUGUCUGCCACACAUGUAUCUGUUCCUCUUGCUUCUCAUUUUUUGUUAAGUAAGGAUCAGUCUCCCAAGACUGAACCUGAAAUCUCUGAAAUGAAAAAAGUGCCAUAUGCCAAUGCCAUUGGGUCUGUUAUGUAUUUGAUGGUUAGUACUAGACCUGACAUUGCAUAUUCUGUGAGUUGCUUGAGUAGAUAUAUGUCUAAUCCAGGUUUGCCCCAUUGGGAGGCAUUAAAUUGGCUGCUUAGAUAUUUGAAAGGUGUUAAUACUGGUCUGAUGUUUUCUAAAGGCAAAACUGAAAUUGAACUAUGUGGCUAUGUUGACUCAAAUUUUGCCAAUGAUAGGGACAAUAGAAAAUCUUCUACCUCUUAUGUGUUCACCUUAAAUGGUGCUUGUGUUAGUUGGAAAUAUCAACUCCAAAACAUUGUUGCUCUCUCUACUACUGAAUCUGAAUAUAUAGCUGCUACUGAAGCUAUAAAAGAAGCCAUCUGGCUUAAGGGGCUGUUGUUGGAAGUUGAUAUUCUUAAUUCUAAAGUGGUUGUAUUAUCUGAUAGUCAAUCUGGCAUUCAACUGUGCAAAAACCCUGUUUUUCAUGACAGAACUAAACACAUUUAUGUGAAGUUCCAUUUCAUUCGUGAUGUAGUUUAAAAAGGGGUUAUUGACCUUGAGAAAAUUCCAUCUGAGUUCAAUCUAGCUGACAUGGGAACAAAAUGUCUGCCUUCUGAAAAAUUCUGCUCUUGUUUGAAAAACUUGAACAUUCUUUCAAAACCUUAACUUGUUGUGUGCUAGUUUGUAGUAUGUGUGACUUGAUAUUUAUGCUUUCUUUGUGAUUGCUUGUUAAAUCUAUUUCUGUGUGAAUAAGAUUAUGCUUUCUAUGUGAUUGCAUUACUGCAUUUAUUCUAAAUGCACAUAAGUUGUAUUCUGAGUGAACAAACUUGAUACACUUGUAUGAACUGUGUGCUCCUACUGGUGUGUCAAAAACCAGCAAUGAUGACUUCCAAAAAUUUUUUUGAGAAAUUUUCACUAAUGAUUCACAUUUGGUCCAAGGUGGAGAAUUGUUUGGUUUUUGGCCCAAAUGUGUUUUGGGCCAUAGAGCCCAAUUGCCAUCCUUUAUUAUAUACACCACCAUUGAGCCAAGCCCAAAAGGAGUAAGUGAGCCCAAGUCCAUAUCUGAGCCCAAUCCAUCUGUUGGAUUUCUGGCUGAUUCUGGACCGUCUAUUUCCUCACUUAAAUACUUUUUUCUCUCUCUUAAUUUCACUAAUUCUGAAACCCUAGCUUUUCUCUCUUCUUCUCCGCCGCUCCUGGUUCUGUCUUCUUCCUCCCUUGUACUGCCUUGACUGAUAAUGGCUGGAGGUUAAAGAGCAUGGUACAGUGCCGACUUUGACUCUCCAGUACAGCCUUCACCGGCUCUAUUUGACUUCAGUCCCUAUAUAUAUUGGCAUGGAGGUUGGAAAAAGAUAAGACACAGAUAAAACCCUAAAUCCGACCUAAAUCCCUAAGUUUUCUAUUUGUGAGUUCUAAAAUUGGGGUUUUUUGGUGAGUGGGUAAGUUGAGUGCUGGGUAAAAUUUGAGUGCUUGAUUUCUGGGUAAUCUAGGGUUUGAGUGUUGAGAGAGAUAGAAAAUUAGAAAAUUCGUUCUUUUGUGGUGGUGUAUAUUGAAAGUGUGAAUCUCUGGUGUGAUAAUUGGAAGACUGAGCUGAAAAUCUCAAAAUCUCAAUCUAUAUAUCUAUCACCUUUCAUUCUUUUCUUUCUGUUAUAUAUAUAUAUAUAUAUAUAUAUAUAUAUAUAUAUAUAUAUAUAUAUAUAUUCUCCUUGGCAGUAAUCAAUACUGCUCAAGGAGAACUUAUAUAUUAUUCAGUGGCUUUAUGGAGCUGGGCAGUUUGAUACCCUACAGAUACAAAGUGAAUUAGGGAUACAAAUUUUAUCGAAAAAAACUUUAGUAGAAUGGAUAACUGUCGUAUAUUUCUUUAUUUUACAACAAAUUGCAAUUCUACUAACAAUUUUUCGUUUGAUCAAUAUGCACAUAUGAUAUCGUAGAUUAUGACACACUUCAGUCUACGCUCGAUUUUUGUCAUUAGUUGCUGCCUUCAGUUUUUCCAGCAAUAGUUCCGAUCCUCACUGCUUAUUGAGAUAAUGUCAUAUAUUUUUUGCAGGUAUUAUUGCUUCUUGGUGCCCUUGACACUUCCGAUCCUCUUUGUUGCCGUUUAUUUUCAUUGGUUGAGCAUGAAAUUGUUCAAGCACGCAUAAUUUUUACUUCAACGGGUAUCAGCUGGCAGCCACUGCGAGAAAUGAAUGGUACAUUGCAUGUUUUCUUGUCUAUAUCAGUUGGGAAUCGGAUUAAGAAGAGGAGAGAUAACAAUGAAACAACAACUACUUCCCAUCGUUUUCCCACAAAGAGUGAGCAUUAACGUUGUCAACACACGAAAUUCGCUUUGUACAAGUCACGACAAAAGGGUUGGAGUCAACUACUUCGAUCUCUCUAACACGCCCUAAAAUUUGUCCUCUAACAAUCUUUUCUAGUUUGUAGCUGUGUUUAGGUGCUCAAGAGAUUCGAAGUUGUUAUCUCCGAUUGUCCAGUCAACAAAAUCACUGUCUUCAAUCGAAAGAUAUUCAAGUCCUCGGAAUUCCUUGCCACGAGUUUCCCAUUUCGCCCCUCGAAAGGCAUAGCAUUGCAGUUUCAGCACUUUCAAAUCCGGCAACGAAGCUUCCCACGGAUAUCCUCAAACUCAACCUUUUUAGACUCUGUGGAAAAAUCGAAAGAGGAGCCACAACCUCGAAAAUAGGAUUCAUAAUUGUACAUUUAAGUACUUGUAGUCCACGGAGUUGAGAAAUAUGAUCAAAGCAGCUCAAGGGUUGAAACGGAUGAAAUCGAGUCGUAUCGUACCUAGUAAUUUUAAUGUGGCAUUUAGCGUUGUGAAUAAAUUAGUUUAUUGACUAUAAGUAGCUAAGAAUUCAAGUCCAUUAGUUGGGCUUUCACAUAUAAACUAGGACAUAUUUUAACCAAAAUUCAUGGGCUUGAAACUUUUAGUAAUAUUGGGCCUACUAUUAUAAUUAAACAACUACAAGUUCUUAAGCUUAUGGUAACAUCUCUCUCCAUACUUACUUAUAGAAGGGUAAAAUUGGUAUAAAAAAAAUUAUGCAUUAAAAUAAAAAACAUAUAAGUAAAAUGGGAGGAUGGAGUACAACAAAGAAACAAUCUUGGCUUUAGAGCCGAAAGAAGAAAAGGUUAAUUGAAUUAUUUACCUUGGGAAAAGGGAAGAACAUUCCAAUAAACAAGAGGGUUAAUUAAUUAAUUGAACAUUAAAGAGAUACCAAACCAACAAGUAAAGAAUAGUUUUUUACUACUUAAUUAUUUAUUAUUUACUUUGCUAAUUUAUAAAUUAUACUUUAAUUUACCAGUUAGUGGUAUCUGCCCUCCAAUUGUACAGUCACUAAUCACUAUCCCUUCUUGAUUAUAAAGUCUAGUGUUCUUGUUUAGAUCUCUAUACAAGUUCAUAUUAUGAGAUUUUUUAAAAUAUAAUCAACAUUUGAAGCUUAAAAAACAAUUUCAUUAAAGGACUUUAAAUAAAAAUCAUGGGACAAUUUUGAAUGGUCAACUCAUACCUAGAAUUAACUACUAUUCCACUAACAAUCAUGUUCGUAUAUUCUUUAUGAUUUUUAAGAUGAGAUAUUGCAUUUAAGACUAUUUUGUUUUUUUGCAAUUAUUAGUGUGUGUGAAUCCGUGUAAAAUCUAAAAUAGUACUCCGUUCGUUUCUAAUUAACUGUUAUUUUUAGCUUGCACAAGUAUUAAGAAUCUCAAUAAAUGUGUCUUGAUUUUAGGAAAAACACAUUAGAAAAACUAAAAUAACCUUAAUCAUUUAAUGAUGUGAUAAGAUUGAGUUAAUACUUAGAGUUGAAUUAAUAAGGUUAAAACAGGAAAACAAAUUACAUUUAAUGCAGCAUUUAAAAUCUAAAGUGACAGAUAAUAACGUGCGGACAAUCACAAAAUGGCUAGCAAGUCUUCCUAAGAAUUAAUAUUUAGAACUAUCAUGUGCCCGUAAGGAUGGUCUAGCAGGUAGAGUAAGAAGAAUACAGUGUCUAACAAUGAGGGUUAAAUCAAUUUGAAAACAUAUGGAAUUCAAAUUAAACUAAGCCUAUGAAAAAUUUAAUUUAACUAGUCGUGUCUACAAAACAAAAGUUAUUGACUCUUUAGUGAUAAUUACAAAUUAAACAUGUACCUAACUUUUUAUAUUAUUUUUGUAAGAUUAGAUUUUACAUGAAAACUUUUUUAAGUAGGAAUGCAAUCAAAUCAGUGUGUACGUGUGUGUCAAUAUACAUUGUAUAUAUAAAUACUUAUGUAUAAAUUAAAAUAAUAUACUAUGGGAGUCAAAAAUCUUAUCCAACACUAAUGUAAAAUUUAUUUAAUACAUGCAUAUCCCUUUUGAAGAAAGAAAAAAUUAUACUAAUAAUUAAUAAGCCCUUUUUUUUUUGAAUUUUGAGGAUCAAUGUUUAAUGUGGUUAUUAUUUAAGAGAUGCAUCUCUUUUGAAGAAAUAAAAUAAGAGAUGCAUCUCUUUUGAAGAAAUAAAAGAUUAAUAAUAUUAAGCUCUUUCUAAAGGCACUCAAGAAUGUAAAAUAAAUUAACUUGCUAAUUAUCGUAAUGAAUGAAUGCCGAAUAUAUCUUCAUGGUUCUUGAAAAAAAAAAUUCGGAAUCUAAUAUAUACUUCAAUUAUGUUUAAAAAAAUUGGAAAUCGGAACUUUCGGAAUUAAGAUAAAAAAAAAAUACUGUUACAAAAUAAAAUAUAUUCAGAUCAGAACUGGCAGAGAGUUACUAGAGAUGUUGCGGGGUAUGGUCUUUUUCUUUUCUUUCUUUUUAGGGGAUUUCGUACAACUUAAAUCAUAACGAGUAGCAAGUCAAUGAGCCAAAGAAAAACCGGAACGUCUAACAGAAGAAAAGUCGCAAGAAUCAAACGAACUAAGAAGAGAAAAACAAUCAGUUACGAAAACUCCUAUGGGAGCUGAAGAAGCAACAUUUGCCUUGAGAGCGUUGAUCUACACCUUCCACCACAAUCGACCCUUUUCAAUUCACCGGAAAGAAAGUUCAGAAAUUUAGUUCCAAUUUCAACCCUUAAUUGGAACUAACCAAGCAGCUUACCGAUGGAAUUUUUAAGGAAAAAAUACAAAUAAAACGAAAAAAAGGAUACACAGUUGUAAUAUUACAAUAACCAGUAAAAAUUUCAGUUUUAUUUAUAAAAUUCUCAUCUUCAAUCUAUCUACUAGUGCCGAUAAUUUAUUUUAUGUCGGUUUUUACUUGAAAAUUAAAAAUAUACGACUAAGAACAUAUUUAGAAUCAACAUAGAAUAUUAAUUGACACGAUAAGAUAGUACGUUGAUAAAUACUUUACAAUUAUGACUUAUUUGGUCAUGGAUUCGAGACUUCGAGUACUCGAACGGAAAUUGAGAAACCAAUGACUAUCCUCAUUACUGAAGACAAAAACAAAUUAUAGAAUAUUAAAUUUAUAGAAUUUAAUGUAAUAUUGCAAUAUAAAACUAAUAAUAGUGGAUCGAUUAUAAUAUUAAUAGAUUUUAAAAUUAUGGAUUAAAAAACAAUUAUAUUAGUCUAAUAUUAAUUGAAGACAUUAUAUUGGGGGCCCUAUAGAUCAUGGCCCUCUUCCCCUGUCUACUUUUAACAACCUUUACAAGAAAAAGAAAAACCCUUAAAAAAAGAAAAACUCAGAAACUUAUGGGCCAUUAUUUAAUAAGUUAAAAUUGCGAGUACCAAAGCUUUUAUUAUAUAUUUUCUGUAUGGAGCCUAUUUAUUGUCUAUGCACUUCUAUAUUUUAUUUCCAAUAUUUUAUUAUUUGACGUAACAUUAUAAACUUACAUUUUUUUCUCAAUAUUUUAUUAUUUAAUUGUCAAGAUAAAAUUAGUUAAAAUAAGAUUAUAAUUUUUUGUGACUCAUUGUAUAAUUAAAACUAUGGGAGGUCCAAUACUCAAUUCUUCGUAAACUUAUAUUUUUGUAAUUAUGGGUUGGCCCGAAAAAUAAUUGACUAAUUGAACAUUAAAUAAAACUUGAUUAUUUAAUUAAUUUUAAUAUAGGCAAAAUACAGUUUUAGUCCCUCAUAUUUGUACCGAUUUCACAUUUGGUCCUUAAUGUAAAAAAAACACAUUUGGUCCCUCAUGUUUCAACACUUUUAGUCAUUUCCGUCAAAUUUUCGUUAGAACUAACGGAAUCAGACGUGUCUCUAUCACUGCCUUAACUGACGGAGUAGCAGUAAAUUGACGAAAAAGGACCAAAAGUGUUAAAUUAUUGAAACAUGAGGGACCAAAUGUAUUUUUUUGUGAACAUUGGGGAUCAAAUGUGAAAUCGAUGCAAACUUGAGGGGUGAAAAUUGUACUUUCCCCAAUUUAAUAUAUAAUAUCAAUGAGGAUAUAUAGCUUGAUUAUUGAAAAAUCAUGUCUAGACCAGACAAUGCUUUAAGUCCAAGUUAAAGUUGAGGAUAUUAAAAAAAAAUAUAGCUGAAAUGGCAAAUUUAUAUGCUUAAAUAUUUAAUUAAGCAACAAUCAUUGAAUCACAUUGAAAUUCAUUAUUCCGCAUAAAUGGGUGAUUUAACAACAUUUAAAAUACAAAAAAAAAGAAAAUGACAAUGGAUAAAUUUGUGAUUUGUUCAAAAAAAUAUUCAAUAUAUUUAUACUUAUAAAUAAAUUACAAAGACAUAAAUUGUAUGUACGUAAUUUUCCUAAAGGAUAAAUUUCUAUAUAUUUUCUUACAAAAGAACUCGUAACAACUUAAUUCUUCGUACAAUAGCUUGCAAACCACACAAGAACCCAAUGAGUUUUAUUUAAUUUUGAACUAACUAUUUAAAUUAGUUAUAAAUUGGCAAUUAUCUAAUUCUUUUUUAUGGUGUAUGAUCAUGUGCAAAAACCCAAUGGGUCUCGUGAUUAGAUUCCCUAAUAGACAUACUUGUAAGAUAAUUUAAGUAAAAUAUAAUGUUAAAAAAAUUGCAUGCCAAAAGUCACGAGCCACGCAACAUGUGUUAACAAAUCCAAAUUAUAUUCUUUAACAUUAACCUGCUGUCACGCGACAUCACGUGAUCCCACGAUUUACUUACAAUUUUUUAAAAAUAAAAUAUAUUUAUAUAUAUAAGAAAACACAAAACAAUAUCUUUUUUAUGUACUAAAUUUAGACUUCAUUUGAUUACUACGUGCCAUCAAUAAGUCAAAAUGGGCACCCAUUUAUGAAGACAUACAAAAAAAGGAAUUGAUGCGGUGACGGAGUCGGCAUAGAGCCGAAGGGGGCCAUGGCCCCUAUAAUAAUUCUUAAAUUUCUAUUUUGUAUAUAACUAUUUAGAAAAAUUCUUGUAUAAUUAGUAUUAUCGGCUCUCCUCAUAAAAGUGUUAAUAUACUUUGGUAUUCGCGAACUUAAAAUCCUGAUUGAACGAUAUAUUAAGAUAUAAAAUAACAAGUUUAAUACAAUUAUUAAUGAAAGAACUCUUCUUGGUCAUGUUACUUCUUAAAAUAAUUAAGAGCUGAAGAAUUAGAUUUUUUUUUUUUUUGCAGUAUCCAUUUUACAAUAUACUAUUUCAUAAUUUUAUAAAAUUAAAUUCAAGAUUAAAAUUUAUUUUACAAACAUAUCAACUUCUAAGUUAAUUCAAGAUUAAAAUUUAUUAAAACUACAUAAUUGACAUUGAGAGAGAGAAAAGGAGAGAGAAGCAUACGUUGGAUGUUAGAUAUUUUUUAAAAGGAUAAAUUUCACUUGUUGGAUGUUAGAUAUUUUUUAACAAGAUAAAUUUCACUUUCCCUCUUGUAUUAUGGUUCGAUAUCACUUUAUUCUCUUCUAUUCUCAAUUGCAUUGAUUUGGCCCCAUGUACUUGGAAAAUUGUCUCAAUGUGACCCUUGCCGUUAGUCUCUAGACAUUUGACCUUAACACCAUUUGAUUUAAGUCUGAAAAUUACAAAAAAACCACACCUCCUACUUUAAAUAAUUAUUAAUUUUUAAAAUUUUUUUUAAUAAAAAGAGAGAGAGAGAGAGAGAGAGAGAGAGAGAGAGCAUUGAAAGAGAUGGCUUAUGGUGCUGCUGGUAGUCUGGAGCUGACAAUUGAGCGGCUUUUGAAAUCAUCUUAUAUUUCGAUUGUUCAAAAUUCAUCUCCACAAAUCAUCAAACUUUUGUACAAAGAGAUUCUUUCCUUAAAAGAAGCUCUCAGAGUAUUCGAUAAAAAGAGGAGCACCAUCAACAUGAAGAUGGUGAAAAGUUUGGAGGCGGAAAUGGUAGAGGCAAUAUACAAAUUCGAAGAUGUAAUCGACCCUCAUCUCUCAAAUCAGUUCCAUUCACAAUCUGAAGCAGAAGAAGAGACGGCCGAUCAUCCUCCAUCAAUGAUAUUCUCGGUAGAUGUGAAGGAAAUAAAGCAAGAUGUCGAUUCCUUUAUCGAAACAAUGAACAAGAUGAAGAGGGCCUAUAUCCACGAAUUACACAAUCCCUCACCUGAAGAAGAUGAUGAUGAUGAUUUUGUGGCAUCAAAAACUCAUUUUCGGGGAAAUGAGCCUAUCAUGGUUGGAUUAUCUGAUAUAUUUAUGUCAAUAGAAAAUUGGCUUAAUUCCUCAAAUUCUGAAAGGAUUAUUGUGUCGCUGGUCGGGAUGGCUGGCAUUGGUAAGACUACUCUUUCCAAGAAACUCUUUCAUGAUCCAUUCAUUGUGAGUUGUUAUAGCAGGCUCGUGUUCGUGACCAUAGGCCCUAAAUAUCGUCUAGCGGAUAUCUUGGUGGAUAUUCUAACACAAGUGAAUCCCGACUUUGAUGAAAUAAUGCUUAUGAAAGGAGAAAAAGUAUUAGCUGGAUUGAAAAGGAUGGUUUACGAAAGUUUAAAGUAUUUGAGAUACUUGAUCGUGUUGGAUGAUGUAUGGGAAAUAGACCUCUGUUCUGUGCUGUUGGAGUUAUUUCCAGAUGACAAAAAUGGAAGUCGAGUGUUGGUCACAACUAGGAUGAAAAAAGUAGCUGAUUGUGCUAAGCCUUUGAAUAUUUGCAAAAUACCCUUCCUUGAUAAGAAAGAAAGUUGGGAUCUUCUUCGCGAGAAGGUGUUUGGUGAAGAAGAACCGUGCUCUUAUAGACUUGAGAAAGCUGGAAAGAAGAUUGCCGAGAAUUGUGAAGGUCUUCCUCUUACAAUCAUCACGGUUGCCAAUAUCCUGUCAAAAGUUGACAAGACAAUAGAGUACUGGAACGAGGUAGCGGAUGAUAAACAAAAUUCAGUAUAUAAGGAUGCAUAUGAACAAAUGUCAAAGGUACUAUAUCCAAGCUAUGACUACUUAGAUCAACAUUUAAAAGCAUGUUUUCUCUACAUUGGAGCUUUCCCACAAAAUUAUUUACUAGACCAGUCCCAACUAGCCAACUUGUCGAGUGCUGAAGGAUUUCUUAACUCAGAAUCAGUGCAUUACUAUGAGGAGACCAUGGAUUAUGCAUAUGAUAGCUUUGGAUAUUGUGAUGACCUUUAUGCCACAAAUGUUAUCAUGUUCGACAAUGAAACAUUUGAUUUUUACCUUCAUUCGUCCUUUUGGUACUUGUGUAACAAAGAAGCUGCCAGGACCAAGUUGUUCUAUGCCUUAAAUUGCCAUGGCGAUACUCUACCGGAAGAAGGUAUAGAAAGCCAGCGCCGAUUGUGCAUCCGUAAUAAUAUUCUACUUGCCAUCAAAGAUGUGCACAACUCAAUUGCAUCUGAUUCAAAGGUACGAUCUCUCCUUUGUACCGGUUAUUUUCAUAAAUAUCCAGUACCGCUGUUUUUGGAACAUUUGAGGUUGCUGAGGGUAUUGGAUGCUCUUUCUAUUAGAUUCUAUGAGUUCCCGAUGGAAGUAUUGAAACUAGUUCAAUUAAGAUACCUCGCCCUCCUUUAUAAUGGAAACCUCCCUUCUUCCAUUUCCAAACUCUGGAACCUUCAAUACUUGAUUGUUGUUCGACAUCCAAGGAUAGUAAAAUCUGUUGGGAAUCUAUUGUAUCUGCCUAUUGAGAUAUGGAAUAUGAAUGAAUUGAAGUAUCUUUACACCUGCGGAAGAGACCUACCACAUCCUUGUUGUGAAGGAUCUCUCCUACCAAACCUAUUAAAACUAGGUGGUGUCGGUCCUCAAAGUUGUGCCAAAUCUGUGCUCGAAAAAAUCCCUAAAUUGAAGGCGUUAUCGAUUGAUAUCGAGCUGGCUCCUGAUGCUACAGAGCCCUUGACAUGCUUUGAUCACGUUUCCCAUCUCCAUCAACUACAAGAACUAAGAUGUUACAUUAUGAAUCCUACAUUGAAGACAGAGGUUGUUACCCCACUUGUUCCUCUUUCAGACUUCCCAUUAAGUCUUACAGCGUUAGUUUUGAGUGGCUUAGGAUCUCCGUGGGAAGAAAUGAGAAAGAUUUCUUCAUUGCCAAAUCUUACACAUCUCGAACUGAAAUUCUAUGCUUUUCGAGGCCCAAAAUGGGAGGUUCGUGACAACGAAUUCCAAAGUCUCUUAUAUCUUGAGAUUGAAGACAUCAAUCUGGAGCAAUGGACAUUUCAAAAUUGUCUAUGCCUCCCUGUGAUUCAGGGCCUUCACAUCGCACAUUGCUACAAGUUAAAAGAGAUCCCUCUCACAUUUGGUAAAUCUCUUCUAAGCAUUAAAAUAGUCGAAUGCAACCCUAUGGCUGUGAAAUGUGCAAUCAAGUUAAAAGAGGAGUGGGACGACAAAUAUGCUGGUCGUGAACGUUUGUUAGAACUUGUUGUUCGUUCUUCACUGUAACAAUGGGAACACCAAACCGUGAGUGACUCUACCAUAUCAUUGAUUCUUCAAAAGGUUAGUCGUUAAAUUUUUAUAUCUAUCGAAAAUACUAAUAUUUUAGUCAAUGCCCAUUCAGGUAAAAGGAAUUAAACAACCUUAAAUUUUUUAGUAUUAAAUUUGAAUUAACAUAUAUAUAUAUUUUAUUAUAAUUUCAUCAUACAGUGAAUAUUACCAAAGAUAUACUCAGUAUAUAUGCAUACAUUCUCCUACAAAACAAGAGAAAUAGACAAUAUAGAUAUAUGGUUGAUAACACAUAUAAUAGGAUCAUAUAAGUUGCGUUUGGAUGAAACAGUUUGAAUUUGCUACAACAGAGAUAGAUUUUAUUAUAGAGUAAAUUACGAAAACUCCGUGAACUUAGGCUAAAUAACGAAAAAAACCCACAUAUUCGUAAUUACCAAAAACCCCUGAGGUUUGUUUCCGUCUUACACCAACCCUUUACAGUAUGAGUUUUCACGUAUUUUUUUUAAUUCCAAGAAAUAGACUUUACACAAUUGCACAUAUUUUCUUUUAUUUCUCACCUAUUUAAUAAAAGGUAUAAUAGAUUGUACAAAUUUUCUGUUAAAAAACUCGGUUAACAGUUAAUCAGAAUGGGAUUUCGGUUAUUACGGAUAGGUGGUGGUGUUUUUCGUUAUUUAGCCUAAGUUCAGGGAGGUUUUCGUAAUUUACCCUUUAUCAUAUUACAAAUUAAUUUAUUUGAUUACUGAUUAAUGAAUUUGCUAUUAUGGAUUAAAAAAAAAAAUUAACAUCCGAAAUCAUUGAACAUUCUCCUUUAUUACAGGUGUAUCGUCUCGAGAGCCGUAGGCUGAUUGAUCACGAGAGAAAUUACAUCGACAUUGUUUGCAUCAAGAAAUCGGAGGAACGUACUUUCAGUUUUGAGACGGACAAAUCAAAGCGUGUUUGAAUAUUUUGUUAAUGUUAUUUGGUGUGUUUAAUUUUUCUUGAUUGAUUUUUUAUUACAUCCUCAUCAGUUAUAUGUUGUGAGGUUAAAAUUAAGACUAUUGCGCAAUUAAGAAAGGUGCACGUGUGUCGCACAUAUUGUCGAAUUUACAAAUUUUACUCGUCUCUGCCAAAAAAGGUAAAUCAAAGAUAACUACAUACAUACGAUAACCGAAGUAUAAGGAACAUAUAUGCUAGUUAGUCAUAUUUUCCUAUCGGAAAAAACUCCGUGUUUAGUCUCUUGAUUUCAUAUUUCAAAGAACUUAAAAAAAGCCCUCUGUUUCAUUACUUGAAGUUAGGUGUAAAAUACUCCCCUUUGACAGUUUUCGCGGAGCAAAAUCUCACCUUAGAAAACACAUAGCAAAUGAAAAGAAAAUCGAGGAUUGUUAUAAGCAUAUGCAGCCUCGAAACACAAUAUCAAACAUCAAAUAAAACGAGAAAUGGAGGGUUGCGUAUUUAUGAAAUUCCUCUUAAAAUUCUACAUUUACAUGGAUGGGGGUAUCUUUUCUCUGUCAUGUGCGGUGCACAUGCUGUUUUCCGUCAAACAACCCCACCCCCAACACAACUACUCUCCAUGAAAGCUCUCUAAUGGUGCAUCAACCGUUGCACACAUUCGGGAGCCGUCGUCUACCUGCAAUUGCAAACGUCUGGAUCUUGAUGUCGUGAGGGAGGUACGGUGGUUAUGAUGGCGGCGGCUGUGGUGGAGGUGGUUUUGGAGUCGACCUCACUCAUGUACGAAUCAAGGUUCACAUAAUUUAGAAUCGAGUUUUGGGAGGUAAGCUGCCAACCCUCGAACCCCAGAACGAAUUGGAGCCGGUUUAGAUCUAUUUUGUGCUGCCGACUUCCAAGCGACGCCGUUUCGGAGUUCGAGUGCUGGUUGGAGGUGAGGCCGACGAUGCCGUUUCGGGGUAGAAAUCGAGAUUGUUGUUUUCUGAUGACGAAGACGUCGGAGAUGGUGUGAAGCUGGUUGAGUGAACAUUUUUGUUUAUUUUGGAGAAGAUGGCUUUUUUGAAAAGGUCAAGGAUUGAAUUGAAUUUUUUUGAAUAUAGAAUUUUGGGGCGAAUCUGUAAUUUUUGAAAUUUAUAAUUAGAAGGGCAUUUUGGUCCUUUCGGGUUUAAAAUACACCCAGUCGCACAAUCCGCAUGUGGAGCACACGAUAAGCUGGCAGGGCCCUUGUUGCCUUUGACUAAUUUUCAUACGGGGCUAUUGCUAAUUCUUUUAACAUGAUGAUUUUUAGCAAUUUUAGAUUAUACAGGGGUGGUUUUUGCAAAAAAAAAAAAACAUAAUACAAUACAACCUGUUCAUUAGAAAAGUUAAUAAAUGGCCGACAUGGAUUAAUAAAUAAAUAUUCCUUUGCACAUGCUUCCAGAGCAAUAACUUCAACAAACAAUGCCUAUGAAGAAAUUUAUUCAAAAAAAAUCAGAUGCUGACAGUGAUUUGUCAAACAGAGAGAGAGAGAGUUGAAAGAUGGCUUAUGGUGCUGUUUCUUCUCUUGAGCUGACAAUUGAGCGCCUUUUGAAUUCAUCAAAUAUUCCGAUUGUUCAAAAUUCAUCCCCACAAAUCCUAAAACAUAUGUAUGAGAAUAUUCUUUCCUUAAAAGAAGAUCUGGGAGAAUUCUUUAUAAAAUAUUCUUUCCUUAUAUUACUCUUAAGCUGAAAUGGAAGGUGUGCGAAAGUUUAAGUGAAUUGAGAUACUUGAUCGUGUUGGAUGAUGUAUGGUACACGGAUCUCUGUUAUGAGUUCGCCAACGUAUUUCCAGACGACAAAAAUGGAAGUGUAGCAUUGCUGACAACUAGGCUAACAGAAGUAAGUAAAUGUGUCCACCCUUUGAAUUCUCACAGACUACCCUUCCUUGAUAAGAAAGAAAGUUGGGAACUUCUUCGUCACAAGGUGUUUGAUGCAAUGCCUUGCCCUCGUGAACUCGAGAAAUCUGGAAAGAAGAUUGCGGAGAAUUGUGAAGGUCUUCCACUUACAAUAGUUACAGUUGCCCACAUCCUUUCCAAAACUGACAAGACUUCGGUGUACUGGAACCAGGUAGCUAAUGAUAAACAAAAUUCGGUUUACAAGGAUGCAUAUGAUCAAAUGUCCAAUGUACUAUAUCCAAGCUAUGACUAUUUACCUCAACAUUUGAAAGCAUGCUUUCUCUACUUAGGAGCUUUCCCACAAGAUUAUAUGGUGUGGAGGCGCCAACUGAUCGACUUGUGGAGUGCUGAAGGAUUUCUUAACCGAAAAUCAACCAUGACUUCAACUGAUUAUACGUUUGCUUAUGUAGGAGCGCUUCUUUCAAAUAAUGUUAUCAUCUACAAUGAAGAAAAGUUUAUAUAUCACCUUCAUUCAUCAUUUUGGUACUUGUGUAACAAAGAAGCUACCAAGAAUAAGUUUUUCUAUGCAUUCAAUUGUCUUGCCGAUGCUCUACCAAAAGAAGGUAUCAACUACCAGCUGCGCCGAUUGUGCAUCCGAAAUAAUGUUCUACUUGCCAUUGAAGAUGCGCACGAUUCAAUUGCAUCUGCUUCAACGGUACGCUCUCUCCUAUGUACCGGUCCAUAUCAUCAAUAUCCUGUACCAUUUUGUUUGGAACAAUUAAGGUUGCUCAGGGUAUUGGAAGCUCUUUCUAUUAAAUCCUAUGAGUUCCCAAUGGAAGUGUUGAAACUAUUGCAGCUAAGAUACCUCGCCCUCACUUACGAUGGAAACCUCCCUACUUUCAUUUCCAAACUAUUCAACCUUCAGUACUUGAUUGUUCAUCAUCAGUACCGGAUCGUAAAAUCUGUUGGGAAUCCAUAUUAUCUGCCUAUUGAGAUAUGGAAUAUGAAAGAAUUGAAGUCUCUCGAGAUCCGGGGAAGAGACCUACCACAUCCUUGUGAAGGAUCCCUCCUAUCAAACCUCACAACUCUAACUGGUGUCGGUCCUCAAAGUUGUACCAAAGAUGUGCUUGAAAAAAUCCCUAAUCUGAAGGAGUUAACAAUCCAAAUCGAACUAGUUCCGGUUGCUUCUAAGCCCUUCAGUUGCUUUGAUCACAUUUACAAUCUGCAUCAACUACAAGAAUUAGAAUGUGAAAUUACAAAUCCUAUUUUCAAGGCUCAGGUUGUUACCCGAUUUGGUCCUCUUUUAGACUUGCCAUCAACUCUUACAAAGUUAACUUUGAGCGGCUUAGGAUAUCUGUGGGAAGAAAUGAAAAAAAUUUCUUCAUUGCCAAAUCUUACAGACCUGGUAUUGCAAUGCUAUGCCUUUCGAGGCCCGAAGUGGGAGGUUCAUGACCACGAAUUCCAAAAGCUUUCAAAUUGAAGACACCGAUCUGGUGCACUGGAAGUUUGUGACAACAAAUUUCUGCUUCCCUGCUAUUAAGGUUCUUGGCAUCGAACAUUGCUACAAGUUAAAAGAGAUCUCUCUCACGUUCGGUACAUCUCUUGAAAAUAUUUAUUUAGUUGACUGCAACCCUAUGGUUGUGAAUUGGGCAAACAGUUUAAAAGGGGAGUGGGACGACAAAUAUGGCGGUCAUGGACGUCGAUUAUACGUUAUUGUUCGUUAUUCAUUGUACUGUACUGAUGGGAACACCAGAAUAUUGAUACUUGAAAAGGUUAGUCAUUCAAUUUUUAUUUCUAUCUGAGGGUGAAUUUGUAUCAAAAGGGUUCGAAUUUGAGGUCUAACAGGCCGAUAAGUUCGAUUAUUUUUUUUUAAAUAUUUUUUAUUACCAAAGAUCUACUCAAUUGUAUGUAUAUGCAUACAUUCUCCUACAAAAUAACUAUAAAUAGACAAUACACAUAUAUGGUUGAUAACACGUGUAUUGGGAUAAUGUAAGUUGCGCUUGGAUGAAACUGUUGGAAUAACAAAACAAGUGCACGUCCGUUGCACGUAUUAUGUUAAUACGAAGCUUGGAUAUUCAUGAGUUAUCGUUAGAUGGUGAAUGAUUUGGUUUUGAGUUUUCUUGUAUUCAUAUAUUGUUCAAGUAAUUCUCAUCUUCAACUCGUGUGCAAUACUCGACUCAAUUUCCUUCUCGUCUUGUCUUGUUUGAUGUUCAUCCUAAUAUUUUAGUUAAUAGACAGUUUUUUUUAGUUAGUCGAUUGAGUUGUUUGCUUAGUCGACUAAGGUUUUUUAGUUAGUUGCUAAUUAUUUGAUUUAGCAGAAUGCAACAGUAAGUUAUAUUUUCAUCGGAAAAAAAAAGGCGCAAGUCCCGACAAUUGUGAGCAAUAAAUCUUUCUCGACGAAGAGUAAUGGUAGGUGAUCAUUUGUUGAGUCUCUCGAUUUCAUUAUCUGAAAUUAGGCGGAACAGUUUAUUUGGUGAUUUUAUGACAAUUAUAAAACUUUAGGCUUUACCUUAGGAUUUUUUCGUAAUUUGCCCUACUUUUUUUCUUGGGUGCAAAAUGUCAAUAUGGAUUGAGUAUAGGUACUUGAGUAAUUACAAGGAGCUAAUUGCAUAGAACCCCCUAUGCAAUUUUAUUUUUUAUUUUUUUGGGUAAAAUUCAUUUUGCACCCCUGUACUAUGCGAAAUGUAUCAUUUACCCCCCUGAAGUAUAGAAAACAUCAAACACCCCCCUGCCGUUAGUUUUUUUUUUCUAAUUCCGUUAGUCAAACCCUUUGACCGACUAUUGCAAAGAAAUGUUGGCUUUUUUAUUUUAUUAAUGAAAAUACCCAAAAAAAUUCUAUAUAUAGGAUGCUUCGUUUUGACAAAUGUCCACCGGAUUUUUCACCUUUUUCAGCCCUUUUUUUCACUUUAUUCAAUCAUUUACUUAACAUUUUCAGCCAUUUUUCUUAUAAAAAAGCUGAAUAGUCGAAUAAAUAAGAAUGAAGCUUUGCAGAUUAUGAAUGUAAACCAACAAAAAGGAAAACUAAAAGCCCUGAAAUCUAAAAGAAACCCUAAAAUUGGAAUAAAACCAUAUGAAAGAAUUGCAAAUUAAAAACAAAGAUUUUCAUAUUAUAAUGGAAAAAUCCUCGAAAAGGAAAACCAAAAAUAAAAUCAAAUUCUAAAAUCGACAAAAAACCCUAAUUUGAACGAACACUAGAAAUCGUCAACAAUCCACAAAAAAUAUGCCUAGAAAAAAUUAGGAAUUAUAUCAAACAUAAAAACAGAGUAAAAGAGUCAUUGCACACUCAAAAUUUAACACUGUUAAAAAUUUGACCAUUGACCGUUAAAAAUAGAGGGUGUUUGAUGUUUUCUAUACAUUAGGGGAUAAAUGAUACAUUUUACAUAGUACAUGGUGCAAAAUGAAUUUUACCCUAUUUUUUUUUAGAUGACCUCCUAUGUAAUUUCGAAUCAUCAAAAAAACCCUUUGCCUUAAAAAAAAUUAGCAAAGACCUCCCAAUAUAUUAUGGCUAUUUACCUAUGUAAGUUCAGGUGGUUUAAUGCUAUUUACCUAAUUUUAUUUGGCCUCUUUUGUAUUGUUGGAAAAAUAUGACAAGAGAAAACAAAAAAAAAAAAAAAAACUGAAUUUCUCAUGUGGGUUUCCGGAUGAUUUGGAGGAGGAUGAGGGAAGAGGCCAUUGAUUUGGAGUUAGGAGGCCCGGCCUCUCUCUCUCUCCCUCUCUCUCUCUCUCUCUCACACACACACACACACAAAAAUGCAUUUCAUUUUUGGCUUUGAUUGAAUUUUAGCUUCCCUUUUGCUUGUUGAUUUGCAAUGGAUUAUUUGAUGGUGGGGGAGACUUUUGGUGGUUGUAGGUGUGGUGGAGAAGAGAUAUCUGGUUUUGGGUGAUUUGGGAAGAUGGCUUUUUAGAAAAUAUUGGGGAUUGAAUUGAAAAGUUUGAGAACUUCAUUUUAAUUUGGGCCUUAUUAGAAUUAUGGGGUGAAUUUAGAAUUUUUCAAAUUUCUAAUUUAAAGGGUAUUUGAGUCUUUUCGCGUCAAAAAACACAAUCAUUCGCACAUUUCACGCGUGCUACACAUGUUCGGCUCGCAGGUGUGUUAUUGCCUUUAACUAAUUUUCAUAAGGAGGUGUUUGCUAAUUUUUUUUGAAAUAAGUGUUUUUUCAGCAAUUCAAAAUUACAUAGGGAUAAUUUUUGCAAAAACCCCUAAUUAUAAGUGAUGAUAUAUGAAACUAAAGUUGAUAUAUAUAAGAAGGGAAAAUUACAUUUUCACCCCUUAAGUUUGCACUAAUUUCACAUUUGGUCCCCAUGUUCACAAAAAACACAGUUGGUCCUUUAUGUUUCAAUAAUUUAACAUUUUUGGUCAUUUCCAUCAAUUUACCGUUAAUUCGUCAGUUAAGUAAUGAGGGGCACACGCUUGAUUCCGUUAGUACUAACCGAAAAUUGACGAAAAAGAAUAAAAGUGUUGAAUUUUUGAAACAUGAGAGACCAAAUAGGGUUUUUGUGAACACGAGGGACUAAACGUGAAAUCAAUGCAAAAUUAAGAGAUGAAACUGUAUUUAUCCUAAGUAAGAAUGAAGCACUUGCUGAACCAAUUAAUCUUAAUUAUUGUCCGAAAAUUAAUGCUUAACUUGCAGUGAGGCAAAUGAUUUCACCAACAGCUUAAUCAUCUCGAGAACUGGUUUGUAUUUGUAUGUAUAUAAACCGCGCAUUCAAGAAAUGGACUUUGACUUAAUCUCCUUGGAUAGUAACAAAGAGAAUAAUACAACUUUGGCAUUCAGCAUUGUUUCCAUCUUGGAUUUGGAGAAACGUAUUUUCAGUUCUGGGACCGACAAAUAAACGUCAUUUGAUAUUUAGUUAUUUGUCAUUUAUUAUUAUUAUUUUAUUUUAUUAUGUUCAUCUUCACUAGUUAUAUGUUGUGAGGUUUAAAAUUAAGACUUUUAUGCAAUCUUUACAUAUAAAAGAAAGGUUUUCCCCGAAACCCUAGUGGCAGUUUUCGUAAAAAAAAUUGUAGACCUAGGGGCUUUUACGUCCGUUCAUGUUUGUAACACCCCGCGUUUUCGGUAAAAUAAUUUUACCACCUUUAUGUGCAUAUUUGUGAAAUUAGAAUUUAUAAUAAUUCUUGCAUGGUUAGUAUUUACGUGAAUUAGGUAAUUAUGUGAAAUAUAUGAAUUAUGUGAUUAUGUGAAUUAUGUGAUUAGGAAAUAUUUCGAGAUAUUAUGUCGAAAUAAAUUAUUUUUCAUAAACUAGGAUUUUAUUCUUGCACAUGAAUUUAAAUGAGCAUUUCAUCAUAUUUAUGCAUGCACAAAAUUUUAGAAAAUAAAUUUUAUCAUGCAUUUUAGGAUUUUUAAUUAAUGUAGAAAAUUAGAAAAUCCUCCCCACAUUUUCUUGAAUUUUCGGAAAUCACACACACACACACAUGAUUUAAAAAUUGCAUAUUAAUUAGUAGUAGACAUGCAUUGGUGUGGUUGUACUUUGUGCACGGAAAGAAAUACCCAAGCCUAGCCCCCUACUCUAUAGACUAGGUAUGCUUUUCCACUCCCACACACAACUUUAAGGCCAAAAGUCUUUCUUUCUUCUUCCUCUCCCCUUCAUUUUUUCGGUAGCCAUAUCACCACCACCAUAGCCACCACCUUCUCAAGCUUGAACCACCCAAGAACCACCACCACUUCAACUUUCGAAAAUUUCAAAAUCACCCCGACAAAAAGAUGUAUUUUCCUUUCUUCUCCAUUGGCUUUGAACUCUCCAAAAACUUUAUAAAUACAUCCAAUGCCCAAGAUCAAAAUACACUCUCCAGCUCCAAUCUCACUAUCUAUAAGUUUCAGGUCUCCUAUUUCAACAAAAGGAGAAUUUUAGGAGAAUUAUCUAUAAGCUUCUUCUUCCUCUUCUUUUCUUUUUUCUUUUCGAAAAGAGCUUAUCUCUUCUUCAUCCAAGUUCUUCUUGUUCUUCUUGUUCUUUUCUUAAUACAUAAUCUAACUCUUAAUCUCUUGUUGUAUUAGAGAGAAAAUUAAAGAGCUAACAAAUCCUUCCCCUAAAGAGAGAGGUGAGAAUUCUUGAUUCUUGCUCAAACAUGCAACACCACUAGUAUUUUCGGUUUUUAUGUGUUUUUAUUGUUUAUUCUUGCAUAUUAUGUGAUUAUAUGGCUUAGAUGAUGAUUGCAUGUAGUAUUUUGAAAAGAUAACUUUGUUCUUGAAGUUUUAUGUGUUUUUUGAAAAUUUGGGGAAAAAUACUUAAAUUUCUUAUUUGACUUAAUUAGUGCCUUGCAUGUGUUUAUUUCGUGUUUGAUUGUUGAUUUGUGGAAAGAAAAUGAAUUUUGGCCUAGCCAUGAAACUUUCGGAAAUUUGGGGAAAAAAUUUUAAAUUGCUUAUUUGGCUUAAUUAGUGCCUUGCAUGUGUUAAUCUAGUGUUUGAUUGUUGAUUUGUGAAAAGAAAAUGAAUUUUUGGCCUAGCCAUGAAACUUUCGGAUUUUUGGGGAAAAAUGCUUAAAUUGCUUAUUUGGCUUAAUUAGUGCCUUGCAUGUGUUAAUCUAGUGUUUGAUUGUUGAUUUGUGAAAAGAAAUUGAUUUUUUGACUUAGCUAAGGAACUUUCGAAUUUUUGAGGUAAAAUGCUUAAAAUUGCUUAUUUGGUUUAUUUCAUAUUUUGCAUGUGUUGAUCUUGUGUUGAUUGUUGUUUUAAGGCCUUGCAUGUUAAGAUUGGUGAUUGAUUGUUGAUCUAAGGUCUUGCAUGUUAAGAUCUAGUGAUUGAUGGUUGAUCUAAAGUCUUGCAUGUUAAGAUCUAGUGUUUUCUAUGUAAAAUGAUGAAAAAACCAAGAAUUUGUGCUAACUUGAUUUAAAAUACUCUUGCAUGUGAAGAUCUAGUGUAUUUACUUGAAUAAAUGUAAAGAUGGAAGUCUUGAAUUUUAUUCUUGUAAAAAUGCUAGAUUUAGUGAACUUUUGAUGUUAGAUUGUCUUUGUAUGUUAAGAUUUCGGUUACUUUAUGUUUUUAUGGCUAAAUGAUUUUGUGAAACUUUAUGUGUAUUUUCUAUGUGCUCUUGCUUGCUUAUGUGAAUCAUUGGGUGUGAGGAUGAGAGAAGGGUAAGUAGAAGGGUGCAUGUGUGGGUGCAUUAGUGUCAUGAAAUUUUAAAAGAUAAAACUAUGAUGAAAAGUCUUUCGAGGUUACGGUAAAUUUCCCGGGUACGGCGAGUCGGUACCGUAGGGCCUAGGGGUGGUUUGAUCCCACGUAGAUAGACAUGAUUCGAAAUAUAUGAGGUUAUUUACCGGUAACUUAGAUUGACUCUUCCGAGGGAUUCCCGAUGAUUUUUCAUGUCAUGCAUGUUGUAUUAUGGUGUUGAGGAUAUAGAUGGGAAAAUCUCAUUCUAUGGUCUUGGGAUCGUAGGGUUAUAAAGGUGGGAAAUUCUCAUUCUAUAAUCUUCAAUACGUGUCAUGGCAUAGGGUUAUAAAGGUGGGAUAUUCUCACUCUAUGGUCUUGGGAUCAUAGGGUUAUAAAAGUGGGAAUUAUCUCACUCUAUGCGUGUGACAAUUAUGUGAUGAAGAACUCCGACAAAAAAGGGAAGUAUAUGAUUGUUUUACUUUAUGUUUCAUGUUCAUGUAUAACAUAUAUGUAUGUAUAUAUAUAGAUAUAUGUAUGCUCUAUGUGUUAUGUGUAUUCGAUAAUACUUCAAGAUUCUCAUUGAGUCCUCAAAGGCUCAUAUAGGUGUUGUAUGUUUGUAGGUAUACCCGAUUUGGAGCUCGAGGAGUGAAGUUGGGAAUCGAGCUCGAAAAUCGGAAGGAGAUCGUAUGGAGGGGUUGUGGAUUGUGUUGGCUCUUAAUUUAGUUAUGUGGUUCUAUUUGUAUAAUAUGCUUGUAAAAACUUUUGAUACGGUUUUAGGUAUUUUCUACCGCUCGCUUCCUCCGAUCGGUGGGAAUUAUUGAAAGACGAUAUGUGUAAUAGUAAUUAGGAUUACCCUCUUUUGGAUAAUUAAUCGGUAAUCCGUAGGCUUUUGUAAGCGAAAGCAAAUUUUCACUAUCUAUGUGCAUGCAUGCUUUUCGGCUAGUAACUUCUUUAUGUUUUGUCUCGAUGUUUGCAAAUUAUUUUCAUAUAGGUUCUCUGCUCAGAAAAUCAUGAAAUUUUAGGAUUCUCUGCAUCUUUCUGUUCUCAUGAUAUUGAUAAGUCUUUUGCAUUAUUUGGGUAAGUAUUCAAUUAGUUAUGAUUUAUUUCUCACUACUGCAUUGAAACAGGGUUAUUCGGGUGUUUUCUGGUAUAACUGGAGUUUUACUCACUCAAAUUCCUUGUUUCCACUUGGAAAAUGUUUUAAACUUAUUUUUAUGCCUUGGGGUAAAAUUUCGUAGUUUUGGGUCAGUGAGGAAUAUAAUUUAUCAUGAAUUUUCAAAACUCCCUCCCCUGUUCUGGAUUUUAAACCGAGUGACUGUGCCAUUUUAUUUAUUUCUCCUAAAUGGCCAUGCAUAUUCUAAAACUGUUUUAACCGAGUGAUCUAGACCCAUGUUAGAUGGUAUGGUAUUAUUUUGGGGUCAUUCGCAUGAUUAGUUCAAGAGGAAUUAAUUUUUAAAGCUUCUGCAUUUAAUCUGUCCGAACCUGCAUUAAGUCCAUCAUGCCUAGUUACUUUCUAGUCUUGCAUGUAGCAUGCUUUGGUGUUAAUUGGUUGAUUAGGGUUUAGUAUAGUGUGACCUCUCUCCCUCUGAUUUAAAAAGAAAUUUUUUUACGUAAAUUUAUAUCCACAAAAAUCAUUUUUAAAAGUCUUCCGCUGAGAUUACAUAUAAUAAGAGUAAUCGAGAGAGGGGUGUCACAAUAUUGAUCGGUUUUUCGUUUUUUCCUUUUAUAAAAAUAGUUUCGCAAUGAACAAACAGGACAAGCCUCUAUUUUUUUCUCUCUAAAUCAAACAAUCUCUGUUUGUUUAUCCUUCAUAUUUUUUUUUUUUUUUAUUAAAUUCAUUUUUGAUGAAGCAGUUUGGGAAUGAGACUGCUGGAGUGAAGUUCUGCAUGGAUCCUAACAAUCUCUACAACCUGCAUUCGUUCAAGCACUCAAUAAAGGCCGAACUGCACAGUCAUAUUUAUUUAUACUGAAAUGCUAUUCAUAGUGCAAUUUUUACUGCUUUGCAGUGCAAUUUAUUUCAUUUGUAACUUUUCUAAAAAAAACAAAUUCGCUCGCUAUUUCAUGUAUUAUUACACGAAAUUCACUCAAUAAUUUCGUGUAUUUUUACACGAAAUAUAAGUGUUUAUUGUUAUAGAACACGAAGGACGAAACUGUUAGAUUGAAAAAAAUCGUGUAUUUCGUGUAAUAAUACACGAAAUUGUACAUCAUAUUUCGUGGAGUUUUCCACGAAAUUGUAGAUCAUAUUUCGUAGAUUUUUCCACGAAAUAUAAUGUAAUGUUUCGUGAAAUUCAGUACGAAAUCACUAUUUGAUUUGUUUUUUAAUUAACCAAUUUAUUUCAGACACUCAAAUUGACCUAAAAAUUCAAAUACAAAUACAAAUUGAACUAGAAUUCAAAUACAACUAGAAAUUGAUCUAAAUUUCAAACACAAAAUUAACCUAAAAAUUCAAAUACAAAUACAAAUUGAACUAGAAUUCAAAUACAACUAGAAAUUGAUCUAAAUUUCAAACACAAAAUUAGCCUAAAAAUUCAAAUACAAAUACAAAUUGAACUAGAAUUCAAAUACAACUACAAAUUGUAUAUUUUAAUGAGUAGCUGGGAUUCAGAUUAUUAUUUAAGAUGGGAACAAUGAUUUUUGUUUUUCAGUUUUUAGUAAAUAGGGAUUUUGUUUCAUUGUCUCAACAUGGAAUUGGUUGCUUCGUUUGAAUUUAUAAAAAAUAAAAAAGGAUCUUGGUAUGUACAAAAAAACAUAAUUUAUGGCUGAAUUGUCAUAAAUUAAUAAGCUAACUAUUAAAAAAUGUAUGUACAAAUUCAAUUCAAUGGAAUCAAAAGAAAGGUUUUUCCCGAAACCCUAGAAGCAAUUUUGUAAAAUGUUUGUAACCCUAGGUUUAUUUUUGUCAAUUUACUUUCAAGUUAAUAUAUUUUCUUUUUUUCUUUUCUCCCGACAUUUUGUUACGUGGUAAUUUGAGUAAAGAAACAUAGUUCGAGAAUUAAGAAAAAAUCGAGAGAUAUGAAUUAGGAGAAUUAUAAUUAGGAGAAGAAUUAGAGACGAGAAUUAAGAGAUGACAAAGGGAGAUUAAUUGAUUCUUAAACUUCAUAAUACGUAACAUUCUAAUUACCCUAUUUAUAAUACUCAUAAAUAAUAAUUAACUACCACCCCACUAACCCCUUAACCACACUAACCCACUAAUGUAAUUCAUGCCCACUAAUAAAAAACUAUCCACUAACAUAUAAUUUGACUAAUUCUAAUUAAAUUAAAUAAUAAAACAUAUCAUUCCCGUCCGCUCAAAAUAUCCUUGUCCUCAAGGAUAUAGUCUUGAUACGUGUAUGGGAUCAUUUUGUGAAUUCAGUUGAUCGGGUGAUCCAUCACAUAUUUGAGAGAGUUGUUCGAACUCUUCAUGGUAAAUGGCAUCAAUGAGUGUUUGUUUCAUGAAACGAGUGAGGGCUUCAGAAGGAUCGUCAAAUUCGGUAGGACUAAAACGGUAGAGCAACGCCUUAGUAAAAUAUUCCCCGGCCGACGAGCCCUUGAACCCAAUUAACCGGCGAUUCCGUUCCAAAGUGAGUCCUUCCAAACGAAAUGAAUCGAGGUGCACCUGCUGAUUUUGGGCAAUACUUUGAAAUUCAAAAUAUUGCUUGGCUUGGAAAAUCCAUUCCGUUGCGUUAUCUGUGGCGACUUUUGGAAUUUGUUGUUUGAGGUUUGUAUUUGGGGCAGGGUAUGGAGUUGAGUGUGUUGUAGGUAUAUUUAUUUUUUGCUUGACCGGUAGUGGUGUUUCUCCCACAACAAAGGAGUUGACAUCAUUUUCGGCUUUGGAGGAGGCUCUUAGAGCUCGAAGUUCGGUGAGAACAACUUGGAGGGUGUUGUGUAUUUUGUCGAAAUUUGAUUCGUGUCGAGCUAGGGUUUCAAUAACCUCAGCACGAAACUCAGCAUCUGAUUGGUUACGUGCCUCCAUGGAACGUAACGGCUCUGAUACCAUUGUUACGUGGUAAUUUGAGUAAAGAAACAUAGUUCGAGAAUUAAGAAGAAAUCGAGAGAUAUGAAUUAGGAGAAUUAUAAUUAGGAGAAGAAUUAGAGACGAGAAUUAAGAGAUGACAAAGGGAGAUUAAUUGAUUCUUAAACUUCAUAAUACGUAACAUUCUAAUUACCCUAUUUAUAAUACUCAUAAAUAAUAAUUAACUACCACCCCACUAACCCCUUAACCACACUAACCCACUAAUGUAAUUCAUGCCCACUAAUAAAAAACUAUCCACUAACAUAUAAUUUGACUAAUUCUAAUUAAAUUAAAUAAUAAAACAUAUCACAUUUUUCUACAAAUUCUCACUUUCUCUAAACCGAUGAAGAAAAACCGUCCUGAAUCCCCUAACUUCUAAUUUGAUGUAUGAAUUUAUGCACUGAAUUAUUGGUUUAUUUUAAUUUUUAUUGAAUUUUCUGGUAACACGUGAGACUUUCGAUGUAUUACAAUCCACUUGAUUGUAUAAUUUUUUUUACUCUCUGAAUACAUCAUAUUUGAUAUGGAAAUUGUGUUAUUUUACUGGUUUGUCCAUCAGCACCUAUUGUUUCUAUUUAUAGCUUUACAUCUUAAUAUAUGGUUUUGUAGAUUUUGAUUUUAGGCACGAUGACUUUGUUGAGCUACCAGGUUUCUUGGCUGAUUUUUUGUAUAUCUACAUACAUACAUAUAUGUUGUUGUUAUUUGUGCACCCUGUAAGAGUUUUUUGAUGAUCCUUUUGUUGCUCUCUGUUAGAGCAUAUAAUUAAAGGAAAUUGUUUUGGUUUUUCGGUAAGCGGUAAUGCGCCUAUAAAUGUAUUGCACUUUUGCAGCCUGUCUAUUUUUUCUGCAUGAUAAAUUUUUUAUUUGUGAUUUUUCUGUAAUUCUGUUGAUAUCCAAUUUAUAAUAAAAUAAAAUAAAAAAACAAAGAAAUCACUAUGGGUUGAGGGAUUGGGUGAAAAAUAAUAGAUAUUUCCACUGUUGUUUAAUUGAUUCCAUACUUGUGCUGAAAUUUAUUCACUAUGUUUUUUUUUAUUUAAUUUGUCCAUUCCAUGUUUAUUGGAAAUGUGAUUCCAUUUAUGUGCAGUAUUUAAGUUUGAUUCCGAAACCUCUUAUGUGAACGAUAUGUAGCUGCAUACAUCUUGCAACGCAUCCAAGGUGAGAUGGUCAUAUUGACUCAAGAUGAAGCACUUUACAGCCAGUAAUUAGAAUUGCCAAAAUUAUCAUAGAUCGUCUUAUGAUCUUUUCAAAGCAUUUGUUCUUUCCUUAUAGAAAUUGCUUCGUGAUCGAUUGAUCCUCUAUUAUGGAGUUUCACUACGUUUGUUUUGUAUUUUUAUUUUUCUUUCUGAAAUUUGCUUUUGACAUCAAUUUUAUUUACAAUUGUACUUUGAUAUUUACGCAUGCAGUGUCUACCUUUAUGGUGUUGGAGUUGUUGUAAUCAUAGGUACGUUCUUUUUUAUAAAUAUUGCCAGUCUCAAGACUGUUAAGUACCAUUAUCAGGAUGAUGUACUUAAUCAGCGAGAACAUAAGAAAUUUCUGUUAUUAACAUCUUUAUUUUAAUCAACAUUUUUGUUAUUCCUAGAAAAUUUAGAUUAAAUACUAAGCAAGUCAUCCUAUAUAUUUAUUUAUUGCAUAAUAUCAGAUUUGCAUUGUUUGGUAAGUAUAACUGAUAAGUUGUUCUCAUUUUUUACAUGACAAGGAAUUCUAGUUAUUAAAAAAGUGUGUGUGUGUCGUAUUGUGUUAAUACGAAGCUUGCAUAUUGAGUUAUAGUUAGACGGUGAAAGUUUUGGUUUUGAGUUCUCGUGUUUCGUAUGUUGUUCAACUAAUUCUCAUCUUCAACUUUCGUGUGCAAUACUCGACUCAACUUCCUUCUCGUCUUGUCUUGUUUGAUGUUCAUCCUAAUAUUUUAGUUAAUAGACAGUUUUUUUUUUAGUUAGUGGAUUGAGUUAUUUGCUUAGUCGACUAAGGUUUUUUAGUUAGUUGCUAAUUAUUUGAUUUAGCAGAAUGCAACAGUAAUAAGUUAUAUUUUCAUCGGAAAAAAAAGGCGCAAGUCCCGACAAUUUUGAGCAGUAAAUCUUUCUCGACGAAGAGUAAUGGUAGGUGAUCAUUUGUUGAGCUCGAUUCCAUUACCUGAAGUUUAGGCGGAACAGUUCAUUUGAUGGAAACACAUUUCUAUUUUUUCCAUUAUUACCAGGAACAUCCUCAAAACUUUUAAAUAUUUACGGAAAUGACCCCGAAACGUUUCCGACAAGUGUCAUGGUGUUUCGAUUUCCGAAAUGCGAAAACGCGUUUACCGAAGUUUCCGUGCACCAUAGCGUUUCAUUUAUGGGAUUUUAUAAUUUGUGGGAUGAAAUUGUAAGAUUAAAGUGAAAUUGAGGCUGAAUCAAAAAAAGAAGUAAAAAAAGGGUUGAAUGUGUUAUUUUAGAAGGCUCACGUACUCCACACGUGACUUAAUCGGCUCCCAAAUUGGUCUAUAUAUAGAGGGCAAAUUACCAAAACCCCCCUGAGGCAAGCCUAAAUAACGAAAAUCCCCCCACGUUCUCGUAAUUACGAAAACCCCCCUUGACUAACGGUUGACCGAAUUUUUUUAACCGAAAACGUGAAAUGUCUAUUAUAUCCUUUUGUUAAAUAUGUGAAAAUAAAAGGGCAAAUUACCAAAACCCCCCUGAGGUAAGCCUAAAUAACGAAAAUCCCCCCACGUUCUCGUAAUUACGAAAACCCCCCUUGACUAACGGUUGACCGAAUUUUUUUUAUUUAUAUAUUUUAAUUGAUUUUAUUUAUCCAGAGGAGUAUUAAACCGAUAUUGUAUAUUAAAUAUAAACGAAAACCCCCACUUACAUGUUGUAUAUUAAAUAUAAAUUAAUCUUUAAAAAACAAAAAAAAGAAAUAAAAACAAAAAAAAGAAAUAAAAACAAAAAAAACAAAAAACAAAAAAGGAGAAAAAUAUAUUGAGUCUUCUUCUUCCCUUCGUCCUUCGGAAGAGACGACCCAAUCUCCAGUCCUCCUUCGGAAUCAUUCGACUUGCACAACGAAAUCGAAUACUUCUCUCCAUCAAGCUUUCUCGCCCUUCCCAAUCCGAAAUCCGCAUCGCACAAGUCGAACUUCGGCGAACCGGAAACCCCAACUGUCCUCAUCCCUACAAAUUUCUCACUAUCGGACAUCCAAUUCUCGACACCUUUCAAAACCUCGUCUUUGUUAUUCACCCUGUUUUUAAUAUCCAAAGCUAUAGCCUCCGCAGCAAUUACAAACCCUUCUUCCCCGACAAGUGUUUUGUGCUUGAUUUUCGCUAUUCCGCCACCCAAGCAAUUGCCGAAGUAAUUCAGUGGCAUCGGCGGAUUAGUUCUCCCUCUAACAUCGACCGUCAAAUUUUCCUCUUAAAUUCGACACCUACCUGUUAUGUCGAAAUUUUUGAAAAGAAUCGACACUUGUGUAUCGAAUUAAAAAUCGACAUUUGUGAGCGGCGAUGGAGGACGUUUUUUCGACGGCAAUAGAGGACAUCUUAGACGGCGGCGAUAAAGGACUUAUUUUCCGGCGGCGAGGCAAGUUUUGUCGGUGUGUGGGCGAGUUCUCGGCGGCAGGCAAGAUCCCGGUGAGGCUUUGAAGCUUGAAGUCAAUCUCGAAUGUGUC